CUUAUGUGAUGAAUACACCAGCCAUGCAGCGAUAUGCACCUCGCCUAGACGAAUUAAACCAUGCAAGGAUGGAUCCUUUGGGGUCUCGCCUAGACGAAUUAAACCAUGCAAGGAUGGAUCCUUUGGGGUCUCGCCUAGACGAACCUGCUAUAGUUGGUAGAAACGGUGCUUUUGAACGUAGUGCCCUCCCACCUGGAUAUGGGAGUAGGAUGCCAGGUUUUGCAGCUGGUUCUCACCAUAUGUAUUCACGCCAGAAUUCAGCAGACCGAUUCAAUGGGUAGUUUUAAUGUCCAUUUUUUUGUUCUCCUCUUCUACUUUUGCAUAAAAAUGCUGUAUGCCUUAAUCUGCAGAAAUCAUAGGGUUUUUUUUUUUAGGUGUAUGCUGUAUGCUAAAUCUUCGGUCUCUAUUUCCUUCCUAAAGAACAUUUAGGUUUUUUCAUUUUUUGGUGAUCUGUAUAUGCAAGACCUUGGAGUGGGUAGAUACGUUGUACCACCUACAAGUAUAUGAUAAAUCAGAGUUCACUAUUUGAAGAAUGAGGCUUUCACUCCUCAUUAUUCAAUUAGACACCUUAACAUUCCCUUUAAAUGUAGACUAAGACAUUCAUUCUCUUCGCCGGUCAUGGGAUAUUUUUAACAUAUCUGUUCUCUCUUUUAGAAGUGCAAUUUGCACUACUACCACAUUUAUUCUACAAGUGUUUGACAUUUUCAAACUACCUUGUUUUAUUUAUUUUCCCAACAACAUAUUUCUUAAAAUUUAUUAUUUCAUCUUUAAAUUAAAUUUUAGUAUUUUUUUAAGAAUGUCAAUAGUUAAAACAAUUUUACAUCACAAUUUAACUAAAGAAGUAAUUUAUUUUAAUUUUCAUUUAUUCAACCACCAACUCCUAACAUUUUGCACAUAUACAAGGGUUCUUCAAGUUUUUUUUUUUUUUCAUUUUAAUUUUCAUCUAUUACAUUUUCCCACUGUUAUUUUACACUAGUCAGUAACUAGCACAGUAAAAGAAUGCCUAAAAUUUUAAGGCCACAUAAUUUUAUUCUUAAGCCAAUAAGUAUUUAUUAAGAAAAAUCAAAUUUGAUUAUAAAUAUAACUGAUCUGUAGCAUUAAUUGCUUCAUCAAUUUUAUUUGUUAUCGAAUACCCCGUCAUACUUUCUUUUGAGUCGCUACCAUAAGCUUGACGGUUGCUUAGUAGUUGUCAAUUUCAUGGAGUUAAAGCCACUAAGCCAGCAGUUGCAGAUUACGAGCAACCUUUUUAAAUAAGAAACGGGAGUUAAUAUUAAUAAACAAUAUUUUCAUCUAUUUUUAUAUUAUUAUUUAUUACAUCAAUUGCUUUUUCUUCUUAUUUGUUCUUUUUAAUUAUCACCUCUUCCUUACUCUUCUACGUACCUUCCCCAUUUUCCAAAAAGAGAAAACGAUAGCUUGAUAUAUUCUUCCGACCGAGCAAAUGAGGUGGCCGGAAAAAUAUCGAAGUUGUUACGUUUGAAAGUUACGUGGGUAACUUCUACGUGAGAGAAAGAAAGAAAGAAAGGUGAUUGGUGUAAUAAUCAUUGUAAUGGGUAAAAAAAGAGAAAAAUUUGAGGGGGAAAAUGCAAGAAAAUUAAAAUAUUAAAUACUACAACUAAUUUAUUUUUAGAGCUACACUACUAAAUAAAUAAAAAUUGCGAUGCGAUAUAGGAUUCAUGAAAAAAAUAAAUAAAUAAUAGUUUAAGCAACAUGCCCCAUUUGCAUCCAAAAGUCUCUUUUAUCACCUAUUAUCGUAAAGAAAAGAGUGAAUUAAAAAUUUGAUAAAAGACUAUCGAAGGGGGAAGAGUUUGGCUUAAGUAGACUUAACAUGGAUGAACCAAUUACUAACAAGGAGUAAUAGAUUUCAAGAGCUUAGCAAGAGACUAAAUUCUCUCAUGAAGAAAAGAGGAGGAGAAGUGAAAUUUAUUUAUUAUAGUCAACUUUUAGAAUAUGAUUUAUUUUCAUUUUUGAUUACAUUCUUGGGCCAAUUUUUGGAUUUGUAAUGGACUGCUAGCUUUUUUAUUGUUAUUUUUAAGUCUUUUAGUUAUUAGAUUAAUUAUUGGGCCUUGGACAUAAUUUAGGAUUAUUAGUAGGAGUUAUAAAAAGACUCCCACUUUGUUGGCAAUUUUGAUGAAAACUUCGUAUUAGACACAAUUAAAAGAGUGUUUAUCUUGAUUCUUAUGUGAAAUAUUAAGUUCUUAUAAAAAAAUUAUUCUUUAUGACGUAUCAUCCCAGCUUGUCAAUCUCUCAAGAUUGUGGUGUUGUUUUUUCCAUCUCUUUCUCUAAGUCCGCUUUAUCAUUUUAUUUUCCCCAAUUUCGUAGAGCUCCAAAUUGGUUAUCCAGUUUGUUGAUGUCAAAAAUUGGAUCUGUCAAUCAGGGUUCCAUCAAAAUUACAAUUCCCUUUUUUGUAUUCCACCUUUGAGAGAUCCUUAGAUCCACCAACACUAGUCAUCAUUUUCCUUGACAUUUCUUACACCUACAACCACCUAGAUUCAAAAAAGAAAAAGAGAAAGAGAAAAAGGGAAGAAAAGAAAAUCAAUCAUGGAUGGUGAAGUUGAGAGGUUCAUCAAGGUAUGGCUCACAACCAUCUCAUGUCUAUGAUAUUGUUAUUACAUAGCUUCUAGAAUACCAAAAGGCUUCAUGAGGCUUCUCUCCCUCUUCCCUAUUCUCUACCUCUUCCUCACCCUUCCCUUCAACCUCUCUUCCUUCCACCUAGGUGGCCCCACCACCUUCUUCCUCGUUUGGCUUGACACUUUCAAACUCAUUCUUUUCUCCUUCAACCAUGGCCCUCUUACCCUAUCACCCCCAAACAUUCUCCAUUUCAUUCCCAUAGCUUCCCUCCCCAUCAACCCCAAACAACACUCACCAACCAAAAACAACCACACAAACAACACCCAAAAUCUAAAAUGGCUUUUGCUCCUAAAAAUGCUUAUUUUUGCAAUGAUCAUACGUGCUUAUGACUAUAGAGAAAAGUUGCACCCUCAUUUCAUCUUAGUCCUCUAUUGCUGUCACAUGUACCUUGGCAUAGAACUUGUGUUAGCCCUUAGUGCUAUCUCAAUUCGAACCCUUUUAGGGUUUGAAAUUGAACCACAAUUCAAUGAACUCUACCUUUCCACAUCCCUUCAAGACUUUUGGGGUCAUAGGUGGAAUCUCAUGGUUAUCCGUAUUCUAUGCCCCACCAUAUAUUACCCCAUAUACCGUAUUUUCAUAUGCUUUGUGGGUUCCUCUUGUGUCAUGACAAGUGCCAUGUUGGCCACGUUCCUUGUGUCAUGGCUCAUGCAUGAGUUAAUAUACUAUUACCUCACACGUGUGACUCUCACGUGGGAAGUCAUGUGCUUUUUUGUGCUUCACGGUGUGCGCACCGCGGCGGAGAUGGCGACGAAGAAGGUGAUGCUCCGUCGUGGGUGGCGAUUGCAUCUCGUUGCGUUAGGACCGCUUGUGGUGGCAUUCUUGGUGGUCAUCGGAAGGUGCCUCAUACUUCUUAAAUUAAUUUUUUUUUCAAACCUAUUUUCUUUUAUCAUGGAUUAUAGUUUAUUUGGUUGGUGUUGAGUAAUAAAACUAUUGACAUUUACACAUAUAUAAGAAAUUAAAAUUAUAUUUUACAAGAGAAAAACAAUAUAAUAAUUAGCUUUAACAUUAUACUUCUAAAAAUAAAAUAAAUGUGUAAAUAGAAUGGAGCAUUUGGUAGGGAAUUUUUUUUUCACACACUAAAAUGAUGAGUCCUUGAAUCAUGAUUCACAUAUAUAAGUAAGUUUUUUUUAGUUGAUCAUAAAUAUUUUUAAAAUUAUUUAUAUAAUAAGUUUCUAAAAAUUAAAGAGUUACGUGAUAUUGAGAAUUAUAUUAUAUUUUUAUAAUUUUUUAAUGAGAAUCAAAAUGUAAAGUGUUUUUAAAAUAAUAAUAUUUGAUUGAUUGAAUAAAUUUAAAGAUUAUUUUAUUCUAAUCAUAAAGAUUCAACCAUUAAUUUAUUAAAUAAAUCACCAUUGAUAAAUCAAUUGUUUGUGUUGAAUUAUUGAAAGGUUAAAUAGAACAAUAAAUGAGAAAUCGAAAGAAUAUUAUAUAAAUCCAUUAUAUUAUAAAAGGAUCUCUGAAAACUAUAAAAUUAUAUUUCAAAUACGAUUAUAAUGUUUUAUAUUUAAAUAUUUUAAAUGAAUAUUUAAAUCAAUCAAAUAAUUUAUGUUGUGAUAUAUAUAUAUAUAUAUAUAUAUAUAUAUAUAUAUAUAUAUAUAUAUAUAUAUAUAUAUAUAUAUAUAUAUAUUGUUGUUGUUGUUGUUAUUGUUAAAUAUUUCCUUUAAAUCUAAAUGCAUGGAAAAUAAUCUUUAGAUUAACACAAAUAAUCAACAUAAUAGGAGGAUCGUGUUUUUCUUUUUCAUGUGUGAAAUUGUCUUGGACUAACGACAAUUAUCCACAGUGAGUAGGGAUGGAAAUGAGCCAAGACAAGCCAAGCUUUACUAGGCUUGAGCUCAGUGACUUGAGCUCGGCUUGAGUUAAAUACGUAAGGUUUGAGCUUGGCUCAUUACCUGUCAUAGGUUUUUUUUAAGACUCGGUUCGGCUUACAUAAAGGUCUGGCUUGGCCCACGAGCCUAUUUAAAAACUUGCUUAAAGACGUCUUUGAUUAAUUAAUUAUUUUAAAACCAAGUGAAAUACUAACUAAAAAAAGAAACUAAUAAAAUUUCGUAUAAGUAAUGUACAAAUAAAAAAAUAAUUGAUAAACAAAAUCAUAUUGAAUUCAAGUCGUUAAAGCACAAAGUAUAUCAAAAAAAAAUAAAAAGAGCAUAAUAUUAAAAAAUGUAUGGAUUAGAGAUGAUUUACACUAAUAUAGCCAAACAAAAAUUAUUAUUAGUUAAAUUAACAAUUUUUAAUCCAAUUUUUUUGAAUAUAUAAUUAUAUUAAAUAUUUUUUUAAAAAAUAUAUCUACAAUAAUUUCAUCUUAGUCUACUUAAGCCAUAUCUUAUAUACUAUUAAUCGAGGCCGUACCCGAAUCAAAUAAACAUUAAAAAUGUAGUAUCUAGGAAGUGAUUCUAGGUCGUCUCCCAACGAGCAAUGAUCAACCAAACAUUCAUAACAGAUAAUAAUAAAACAUUAACGAAUUGGGGAUUGUUUGUUUUUGUAAAUUAAACAACAAACAAAUUUGAAUUAGAAAAUAACAGAAUUAAAACAUGUUUUCCCUUGAUUCACAAACAAGUCUCUUAUCCUAGGUUACAAGAAUUUAUCUUUAAUCAGUUCAACCACUUAAUCCAACCCUAAAUUAAAUUACUAAGCGAAAAUUAACAUAAGACUGUCAUUAUGCGAUUAAACAACACAUACACCAAUUAAUCAUGAACGAAACUGAUCAUUAAGCAUGAACGUAAAUUAAGCGCAGACAAUUAAUCAAGCACUAAGCAUGCAUAGAUUAAUAGCAACAAAUACAAAGUAACUAGUGAAGAGGAAAAAUUGAUCAGUAAGAUUAGUGUCAACCAAAUGGGUUGGAAAAAACACUUGACCUAAAAAAAAACCAUGGAAAGCUCGAGGAGCCACGAAAUGAUGAUCUAUAACAAAUAUCUGAUGAAAAAAAAUCUAUAAACAGCAAGAAAACAAAAGAUAAAUUACAUAAAAAAGCAAAAUCAGAUCUAGAUAAAAAAAACUCAAAUUAUAAAACAACUAAGAAGAAUCAAUAGUAAGUGUCAAAAUUUUAUAUAUUACAGUAAAUGGUGUUCACGGUGAGAGAUGGUGAGUUGUAUGGGCUGCUUUGGUUUGGAAUAUAUGGAAACAGAGGAAACUCUAACAGGGAGAGGUAGGUAGCAGGGGUAACUCUGUUAGAAUCAUAGUGCUGAGGUUGUUUUUGUUAUGGCAUGUUAUAAAUAUCAUCGUCUCCAUGCAAGAAAGGAAUAAAAAAAAGCAAUUUCUUCUCCCUUUCUCUCUUCUAAGGAGGCAUUCCUGAACCUCGAAUCCCAGGAGGUUCACUGUGUGAACCUAACAAACUCGAUCGUCUUUAGGGGAGCAACAUUUAUUUGACACUCAAGUUGUGUUGAAGGAAGCCAUCUUUUACUCCGGAUCAUGGUUUAAAGGUAUUCAAAGAGUUUUUCCCUACUCUUUUUAGCAAUGGCAGGGUCGACCCAAGGCUAAGGCGAUCCAACCUCUAUUUUCUAUUAGUUGAAAUUAAUUAUUUUGUCUCCAUUUUUAUUUAUAAGACUUUUAAAAUGAUAUUUAUUCUAUUUUAUAAAACUCAAUCUAUAAUAUUUUUUUCAUUAAUUAUUUUUAGAUUAAAAAUAUCCAUCAUUAAAAGAAGAAAGAGAAGUAUUGACAAAUUAGACUUGAGAGAAGUAUAAUUACAAGGAUAAUUUUUAAAAAUAUUAUAAACAUAAUACAAACUUAUUAAAAAGGAUGGGACAAACUUAUUAAUCAAUGCAUGGGACAAACUUAUUAAUCACUGGUCAUGGGUGGCAUGUAAUGGAGAAUGUAACAUUCAAUUUUUCGUAAAGUAAAUUAAAAAUAAAUAAAUUUUAAAAAAAAUAAUGAGAUUUUUGUGAUUAAAUAAAUAAGAAGAAAUAAUUUUAUAAAUUAAAAUAAUGUUUGCAAGGUAAAUAAAAUAAAUAUAUGUACUUAGAAAAUAUAACCGACAAACAUCAUUUGAAUCGAAUAAUUAGUUUUCUCUAACAUAAUUAGUUGUCGUACUUAUUUAAAUAUUGGGUAGCCUGAUAUGGUAUGGAUAUGGUGACAAAUAAUUAACAUUAACAAUGGCAAAUUCAGUGCUGGCAUACACGUUCAGCUUUGUCUCAAACUAGCGCUGGUCAUAUCUAUGACUCAAACGUGGAUGAUACUUCAACGUGGAAAUGUAAAAUAUUAUGACUUAAACCAAUAUUACUUUGGCGUUUUCGUAUUAAUUGGUUCAACAACCAUAAUGGAAUAUUUCAAUACAUUGGAAUAAAUAACUACUUUAUAAAUUAACAAUACAUCCAACUUGCUGAAUCAAAGAAUAUUAAAUAUUAAUCAAUUGUCCUCUUACUACGGACAUGGCUAUAUAUAAUGUUGAAGAGCAUCAAGUUUUGCACUCACAACAAACCUAAAAAACAGAGCUAGCUAGACUAAAAUGGCAGAAACUGCAGUGUCCUUGGCUGGUCAGCAUGCGCUUCCAAAAAUAUUGGAAGCUGUCAAAAUGCUGAGAGAUCUCCCAAAAGAAGUUAGAGACAUUACAGAUGAACUUGAAAGCUUUCAAGAGUUCAUCAAUGAUGCUGAUAAAGUGGCUGAAGCUGAACAAGAUGAUGGAAGGCGUCAUAGAAUAAAAGAAAGGGUGAUGCGGCUGAGAGAAGCAGCUUUUCGCAUGGAAGAUGUCAUCGAUGAAUAUAACAUCUCCUGUGAGGAUAAGCAACCUGAUGAUCCUCGAUGUGCAGCUUUACUAUGUGAGGCUGUUGCCUUCAUCAAAACUCAAAUCCUUCUCCUUCAAAGUGCGUAUAAGAUUCAGGAUGUUAAAUCCCUUGUUCGUGCUGAAAGAGAUGGUUUCCAAAGCCAUUUUCCUUUAGAGCAAAGACCAACCAGUUCUAGAGGAAAUCAAGAUAUCACAUGGCAGAAACUUAGAAGGGAUCCUCUCUUUAUUGAGGAAGAUGAGGUUGUGGGGCUUGAUGGCCCUAGAGGUAUAUUGAAAAAUUGGUUGACAAAGGGAAGAGAAAAACGCACUGUCAUCUCUGUGGUGGGAAUUGCAGGGGUGGGAAAAACCACUCUUGCCAAGCAAGUUUAUGACCAGGUGCGUAACAAUUUCGAGUGCCAUGCGUUGAUCACAGUUUCUCAAUCCUUCUCUGCUGAAGGAUUGCUGAGGCAUAUGUUGAAUGAGCUUUGCAAAGAAAAAAAGGAGGACCCUCCCAAGGAUGUUUCUACCAUCGAGUUGUUGACAGAAGAAGUCAGAAACCGCUUGCGCAACAAGAGGUAUGUUGUCUUGUUUGAUGACGUAUGGAAUGGAAAAUUUUGGGAUCACAUUGAAUCUGCUGUAAUUGAUAAUAAAAAUGGAAGUAGGAUAUUAAUCACAACCAGGGAUGAGAAGGUUGCAGAAUAUUGUAGGAAAUCAUCAUUUGUUGAGGUGCUUAAGCUAGAAGAACCUUUAACUGAAAAAGAAUCUUUGAAAUUGUUCUGUAAGAAGGCAUUUCAGUAUAGUUCCGAUGGAGAUUGUCCAGAAGAACUUAAAGAUAUAUCUCUUCAAAUUGUUAGAAAGUGUAAAGGUUUACCUCUAGCAAUAGUGGCCAUUGGUGGUCUUUUGUCUCAAAAAGAUGAAAGUGCACCUGAAUGGGGACAGUUUAGUCGAGAUCUAAGUUUAGACUUGGAGAGGAAUUCUGAGUUAAAUAGUAUAACAAAAAUUUUAGGUUUAAGUUAUGAUGAUUUGCCGAUCAAUCUCAGGUCAUGUUUAUUGUAUUUCGGAAUGUAUCCAGAGGACUAUGAAGUUCAAUCUGAUAGAUUGAUUAGACAGUGGAUAGCUGAAGGGUUUGUCAAACAUGAAACCGGAAAAUCUUUGGAAGAAGUUGGGCAACAAUAUUUAUCAGGGUUGGUCCGUAGAAGUUUGGUGCAAGUAUCCUCACUUAGAAUUGAUGGCAAAGUUAAAAGGUGUCGUGUUCAUGACUUAAUACACGACAUGAUCCUUAGAAAAGUCAAGGAUACAGGAUUUUGUCAGUAUAUUGACGGGCCUGAUCAAUCUGUAUCUAGUAAGAUUGUUCGACGCCUGACAAUUGCAACCGAUGAUUUUAGUGGAAGUAUAGGAAGCUCACCCAUGCGGUCAAUUCUUAUCAUGACAGGAAAGUAUGAAAAAUUAUCUCAAGACUUGGUAAACAAAUUCCCUACAAAUUACAUGCUACUGAAGGUACUUGAUUUUGAAGGUUCUCGUUUACGUUUACGUUAUGUUCCUGAAAAUUUGGGGAAUUUAUGCCACUUGAAGUAUUUAAGCUUCCGGUAUACAUGGAUAGCAAGUCUACCAAAAUCCAUUGGUAAGCUCCAGAAUUUGGAGACCUUGGAUAUAAGAGGCACACAUGUGUCUGAGAUGCCAAAGGAGAUUACGAAGCUUACUAAGCUACGUCAUCUUCUGAGUGAGUAUAUAUCUUUAAUUCAAUGGAAGGAUAUUGGAGGCAUGACAUCCCUACAAGAGAUACCUCCAGUGAUUAUAGAUGAUGAUGGAGUGGUCAUUAGAGAGGUAGGAAAGCUAAAGCAGUUAAGGGAACUGUUGGUGGUAAAAUUUAGGGGAAAACACGAAAAGACUUUGUGUUCCGUAAUAAAUGAGAUGCCACUCUUGGAGAAACUAGAUAUUUAUACAGCUGAUGAGAGUGAAGUAAUUGACUUGUACAUUACGUCACCUAUGUCUACACUUAGGAAGCUUGUCCUAUGGGGGACGUUAACAAGGUUUCCAAAUUGGAUUUCACAGUUCCCAAAUCUUAUGCAACUGUAUUUGAGCGGCUCCAGGUUGACUAAUGAUGCAUUGAAAUCACUAAAAAAUAUGCCAAGGUUGUUGUUCCUCGGUUUAAGUUACAAUGCUUAUGAAGGUGAAACUUUGCAUUUUCAUUGUGGAGGGUUUCAGAAACUAAAGCAACUGUCCCUCGGAAGUUUGGAUCAAUUGAAGUGCAUCCUUAUCGACAGAGGAGCACUGUGUUCUGUGGAAGAAAUUGUUUUACGAGACCUCUCCCAACUCAAAGCAGUUCCCUCUGGAAUUCAACACUUGGAGAAGCUUAAAGAUCUCUAUAUCGACGACAUGCCAACUGAAUUUGAGCAGCGCAUUGCUCCUGAUGGAGGAGAAGACCACUGGAUCAUCCAAGAUGUGCCCCAUGUACGUAUUUGGAGUGAGGAUGCUGCAAAACCUUCUUAUAUAUUCGGCAGAAGUCAUCACUAAGAUGCGUCCAAAUUUGAAAAUAGAAGGUGCGUCUUUUUCACAUCUAUAACUUUGUAGAAUGACAUUCGUGGCCUUUUUCUUUUCUUCAAUAAAAAAUGCAACCAUUAUCUAAUUCCUAAAAUAAUUACUUUUGCCUCAUUUUCUCUUCUAGUAUUUGCUUCAUUUUUCUUUCUCUACAACAUCUCACGUACAAGUUAGGGAUAGAAUUGUCUAACAAGUAUAUGCGUACACCAACCAAAGUUAACGUUUCUUCAUUAUAAGAUUCUCACCAUUCUAAUCCUUUCUAUUAUUGUGCUCAGAAUUGGUAGAUGUUGAGACCUCAACUGGAUUGAGUUUUUUAUUGCCAUGUUGAUAAAUACUUGAACAAUUUUAUUGUAUCAUUUUAAGAAGAAAUUAACUUUGAGUUUUUAUAGGAUCGUAAGCAUAUAUUUCGUGUAAAUGUUGUGGGUUUUUAAAGUUCCAUUAGGAUUGAAGCAUAAUAAUGUCGAUUUUUUUUCAUAAAUUAGAUUGUGUUAAAUGUUCCUAAUUUUGAUGUUUUGAACUUUGACCCACUUUGUACAACCAUGAAUUUUAGGAAAACUCUGAGGGAAGAUUGUAAGAGGUGUUCCAAAUCCAAUGUUUCAGACGUUUCAAUCAUGUGGUUUUUUUAGUGUUAAUUAUUACGCCCAUUUUAGCGUUAUUAACACCAACACAAUACAAAGAAGCUGAAAAUAGUGUUCCUACAAAGACAGACAAUUUUUGACAACUGAAAAAUUCAAGAUUCCCUCAAGUUCUUUCUUUUGCGGCCCGUGAAAUGAUGGAUGCAUGAGUGGAUUGGAGGCAUCAAAUUGAUUUUUUAAGCUUCCUUCUUCUCUUUCUCUUGUUUCCCUUUUUUCUAAAAUGUGUACUCAAAUUUUUGUUAACUUGAUGUAAUUUGAAUUCUUAUCUACAAUUCAAGUUCAUUUCUUUUAAAUUGAUUGUUUGUCUUUGUUUUAAUUUAAUGCCUUUAUAAAUUGGCAUUUGGUCACUUAUAGUGCCUUGAUCGUAUAUUCCUAUCUACAAUUGUGAAAUUGAAAUAAGGAUUGAAUUUAAGGUAUAAUACAACAAGAUUGGAGAUUCUAUUGUAAUAAAUAUCAACAAUUACGAUAAUUUAGAUAUUCUUGAACCUAAUGAUUACCCUAAUUGAGAAACUCUAAAGAUUUAGAAUUUUCAAUUGCGGAAGAGUUAGCACUUUAAUUCAGUUUCCAAUUCUAAAGAUUUGAGUUAAGAUAUAUUCACCUUCAAUUACAAUAGUAAAUAAUAAAUUCAGUUUCCAAUAUGCUUCUAGAACUUGAAUUGGAGUGAAAAUUUGUGUUGUACAUGCUAAACUCGUACGGUAACAAGACAUAUUAGAUUUUGGCUUAGCACUUUAAUCCUCUUAGUAUAGUGCUUCAGCAAUUUUGGUACCCAAACUUUUAUGUUCAGGUUUGAUCCAAUAUUUUUCAAAAAAAAAAAAUAAUGGUUGAAUAUAUGUUAUUAAAACCAAUUUAUAUAUCACUUAUCUGGAGUAAGAUAAAUUUUUCAAGGCUUAAUUUUAUCUUUUUGUCUCAUUCAUUAUUUAUUUUAUUUAAUUUUAUCCUUCUAAUAAUAAAAUCUUUAAUUUGAUUGCUUAAUUCCAAAUCGAUUCAAUUUGGUCUCUUUGGUCCAAAUUCACUUGACGUUGUUUAUUAAUAGUGGGAUGAGAUUGAAUCAAACAAAGGAACAAAUUAAAUUGUUUAUUAAAAUUUAAAAAACAAACAGUGAGAACAAGAAGUUUAUUAAGGGGUCAAGUUGCACCGUUUUGAAAAUUAAAGUACUAAAUUAAAUUGUUUAUUAAUAGAGGACCAAUGCUAAAUAAAGAAAUAGCACGACAAAAAAGUAAGGUUUUUUUUUUACUUUUAAAAUUUUUAUUGAAUUCUAAAAUAUUCAAUUAACUUGCCUAAUUUUUUGUUUAUUCACUCUUUUUUUUUUCCUUUUAAUCCUUGAUGUUGGAAAACUUCAAAACUCUUUUUGAUCACAAACAUAUUUUAACUCUCAUAAAACAACACAACAAUGUUUUUAAAAUCGGACUUUUAUAAGUUAUUGAUAAAUCACUUUGAGUGAUAUUUUGUACAAACUUUUGUGUUAUUUUGUAUGUAUUUUCUUGGUAGAAUUUACAAUUGGACACUAGUUUUGUAUUCCAAAAGUAUAACCACUCAAUUGAGUGAAAGAGUAGGAAAUUAUACAAAUUUAUGAAGAUUUAAGAACUUUACAUAACUUGAUUACUAUCGUGGUACAUUGAUCACGGUCGUGGUAAUCAACAUAAUUACAAUAAAGUGAUAAGAGUCCUCCCAAACAGCGUCAAGAUCCAACAAUAGCCAUGGUAAAUUGACCACGAUCAUGGUAAAUCAAGAGGCUCAUAGUCAAUUUAUAAUGGUUCAAGGCUUCAGCGUUACUUCUAACCACGAUUGUAGUGCUCCUUUUCGAGUAAAUAUCUUUAGGAAGCUAUAUAUAGGUUUCUAGACUAUGUAAAAAUCAUUUUUCAAUUAUUUUGAGUUUUAUUCUUAUCUUUUACGAAUUUGAGACAACCUUGAAAGCUUUUAAGAGCCGAAGAACUUAAACAACAUCGCUAGAAUGGAUCAUGAUCAUUGUUCCUACUUAUUGGUAUGUUUAUGUUUAUUUUAUCUAGGAUUGCUAGUGUUGUUCUGAUCAUGAGGAGCUAGUCCUCCUAGUCCGAAGAUUAUUAGAUAACUUUUCAUUUGUACCAUUCUCCUCAUUUUUAAUGAAAUUUCUCAUUGAUUUUAUGUUAAUUAAUUCUCUUUUUUUUUUUACUGUUUAUUUGAAACCAAUCAGUUUAAUACUUAAUCAAUUGCAUAAUACUAAUCAUGUAAUUGGUAGAUUUAGGUAGAGAAUGUUUUAUGUCAAAUUGCAUGAUCAAACUCUUUGGAUAAUCUCCAAUACAUUAGUUAAUCUUUAAUUAAUCUUUCCUAUAAUUGAUUUUCUUUUGACUUAAAUUGAUAGAACCAAUGAUCAUUGGGGUAUUGAUUUAAGGCAAGAAGCAUCUUCUAACCUUGAUCAUAGACUUUAGUUGAUUUUGUGAAUGAGUAAUUAACUGGAGAAAGCAUUUUAUUACAACUAGGGUUGAAGGAAAAUUAGUACUAGUAAGUCAUAACCCUUAAUAACUCUUAUCAUCAAUGAACCCUUUCUUUAUAUUCGUAUAUUUUUUUACUUAUAAAUCCGUAAAAAUAUUUAAAUUAUCUUUUUAAUUACUUCAACUGUUAAUUUAAUAAACUUGACUAAUUGGGAAUACAACUCGUCAUUUGGGUUUGAUAUCCAUACUUUCGAAACCACUAUUAUGAUUGCGUAAGGUACACUUGAGGUAUAACAAACAUAUUGGACAUACAAGGAUGGCAACAUGUAGCAUAUGCAUUUAUGGUUUUGGGAAUAAAAGAAGAAAUCUGAAAUGAAAACACUGUUUGUAUAAAGGAAUUUAAAAUUCGAAGAUUUUAAAUUCUAAGAAUUUCAAAUACCUCAAUUGAAAUUCUUUUAUUUUCAAAAUUUUGUGUUUGUAUAAAAAAAAUUAAAAUUGAGGGUGAAAGAAAAUGAGUCACGAGUUCGAGAAUGCAAUUUCGGACUUUUAGGUGAAAAAGAUGAUGAAGGUUAUAAAGGAAAUACAUAAACUUUUUGGAAAGUUCUAAUGUAAGAAGAGAAUUUCAAUUUCUCACCUUUUACAAGGAAGUUAAAAUUCCACAUUUUUAGUGGUUUAAAAUUAUGUUUUAAAAUUCCAAAAAUUUAAAUUCUUCAAAAAAAAAAAAACAUCCAAACAAUGAAUUUUAUAUUAAAGAAAUUUAAAUUUUCUGAUAAAUUACUUUCCUUAGUUAAAAUUCUAUAUUAAGGAUAUAUUGAUAGAGAAAACAUGAAAGAAAAAAGGAUUCGAGGCCAGCCUCCAAACAAGGCAUGAAAGAAAGCAAACUUAGCUUUUUUCGUAUCAUGUGUGCCUUACAAUUGCUUUGUUUAUACUAAUUCCUUGCUAAAAGAAUUUUUCAUUUUGUGUCAAGGAAUAUUUUAGGAAAUCAUUGGCUAACAAUUUAUGAUUACGCUUGUCUCCCUAAGGCCAACCAGCCAUCAUCUAGCAAUUCUUCAUUCCAGGUCAACUUCCUUUCUCGCUUUUCUUUCUCAUGCGUGGUCUCUGAGGUAAGAGGCCCUCUUUACUUUCUUGCUAUCUGUACCCUUGGUUUCUGUGUUUGUACCUCUGUUUUGUGUUCUCUAUUAACUGGCCCAACUUUUGUAUCAUUCGUAGGCCCUUGUAAAAUUACCUUUUCCUCAAGGUGAUAAUCCUCACAUAAUUGAUCUCAAUUCUCCCACGAGGCGUCAUCCGGGGAUAGCCCUUCCCAUUGCACCAACACUUCCCAAGGCCCUUGUUCUAAAGCUCCCCGAUAAUCUAAUAUGGCUAGCUAAGGGAGUAAUGACUGGUUGGUGUUGAACAAAUUGUUUUGGAAAGUGAACUUCUUGAAUAUGUUCUGGGGAGCCUUUGAAUGCUUUCAACUGGGAGCGGUGAAAAACAGGAUGUAUGCGGACUUCUUCCGGCAAUUUCAAGCGGUAUGCCACGGGUCCUAUGCGUUCCAGAACUUGAAAUGGUCUGCAGAAUCUCUUAGCCAACUUGCCCAUGAUUUCUUGUGGUCCCUUAGCGGAGACUUUUCGGUGGGGCCUUAAUUUAAGCAUAACCCAAUCUCCUGGUUGGUGGAUCACCUCUCUUCGUUUAGCAUCUGCAGUUAUCUUCAUACGGUCUUGUGCUUUGAGAAGCUUCUUGCGAAUGGCCUAAAAUGUUUCUUCUCUGUUGGUCAACAUUUCGUCAACUGCAUCCAGAGCUGAAGAACCCGCGAUAUAUUCAGGAAAAUUAAAGGAUUUGCGCCCGAAUGUGAUCUCAUAUGGAGUGAUGCCUUUUGCCGCAUUCCAUGAAGUGUUAUGAGACCACUCUACCCAGAGAAGAAACUUGCCCCAUUCCCUUGGCCGGUGAUGAACAAAUGUGCGCAAACAUUGCUCUAUGACCCUGUUUAGCACCUCCGUUUGACCAUCACUUUGUGGGUGAUUAGCGGAGCUCAUCCUUAGCCGUGUGCCACUCCGACGAAACAACUCCUGCCAGAAUUUGCUAAUGAACAAGGGGUCGCAGUCGAAGACCAGGCUGCGAGGGAGGCUGUGAAUCUUGUCCAUGAUUUCCAUGAACAACGAGGCUACCGCAUGGGCUGUGUGUGUCGCUAAAAGCAUGCCAAGAUGAACGCCUUUUGAAAAUCGAUCAACCACUACCAGUAUUAACUGUGUUGCUGUGAUAUGGUGGGAGCCCGAUGAUGAAGUCCAGGGAUAAGUCUUCCCAAGGUUGAUGGGGAACUGGCAGAGGGCAUAGUAAUCCUGUUGCUCUUGUUGUCUCGUACUUAGCAUGCUAACAAUCAAUACAUUGCGAGACAAACUUCGUGACAUCUUCUCAAAGUCCUGACGAUUCAAAGUUUUCCGUCAAGCGAGCUAUCAUUUUCGCAAUCCCCAUGUGGCCUCCCGUGGGUGUUGUAUGAUACUCCACUAGUAAUGUGGGAAUCAGGGGCAGGUCCUUUGGUAGCCAAAUUCGUCCCUUCCUGAGGAUCAAGUUAUGAACAAGAGUGAAUCCAGAGUGCUUGUCGGGGUCCAUUGUGAUUGCUUGUCGGAGAUGUCGAUACUCAGGAUGAUCCUCCAAUUGGUGGCGCGGUUCUUCAAAGAAAAGAGGGCAAGGGACAGAAAGGCUCAUGUAGAAUGAAUUGGAACCACGUGAGCGCCCUGCCUUCCAUGUAGAACGAAGCUAUGGUAAGUCUUUCAUUCUUUGGUGUGCCAUGGUAUUCGAAGAAUUGGUUGAUUUUGAAAAUCCAACCAAGUGGUUCGGUGCCAUCAAAAUGAGGCACAUCUAAUUUCAUUCGGUGAUUGUUUGCAGGUACCGAUGGUGAUGGUGGAGGUGUUGGAGAAGAAGAUGACGAGAGGAUGGGAGUGACACGAUUAAGGAGUUCAUCAAUUUUCUGAGUGAGUGAGUGCAUGGAUUCGCCUAGGGAUAGUUGAUGAUUGGUGAGUCUGAGUAAAACUUCAUCAAGCUUAUCGAAGGUACCCAUGGUGUGGACCGGAUGGAACGAUAGCACCAAAAUUGAUAGAGAAAACUUGAAAGAAAACUGGAUUCGAGGCCAGCACCUCCAGACAAGGCAAGAAAGAAAGGAAACUUAGCUUUUUUCAUAUCAUGUGUGCCUUACAAUUGCUUUAUUUAUACUAAUUCCUUGCUAACAGAAUUUGUCAUUUUGUGCCAAGGAAUAUUUUAGGAAAUCAAUGGCUAACAAUUUAUGGUUACGCUUGUCACCCUAAGGCCAACCAGCCAUCAUCUACAAAGGCAGACAAUUUUUUACAACGGAAAAUUCAAGAUUCCCUCAAAUUAUUUCUUUUGUAGCCCGUGAAAUGGUGGAUGAGUGGAUUUGAGCCAUCAAAGGGCAAGAUUCAUCAAAUUAAUUUUUUAAGCGAUAUAUAUAUAUAUAUAUAUAUAUAUAUAUAUAUAUAUAUAUAAUUUAGAUAUCUUCUCGAUCUUCCUAUAAUGGAAAACAUGAAUAAACUAUAGGAAAUUGUAAUUCUACCUUAAUUAGUGAUUUUGAAUGAGAUUUGAUUAAGUAGUUAUGUUAAAUAUUUGGAAAACUCUUUUUAUUGUACAUAAUAAUUAUAUUGGGUUCAAAGAGAUUAUUUUUAAUGGGAAAUAUCUUUUCUUUGAUGAAUUAAGGCAUUGUUCUUCACUUCUCCCUUAAAAAAAUUGAAGAAAAAAAAAAGAAAAGUGCAUCCCCUUUGGCGUCCCCUGCAGGAGACAAUCAUAGAAGAAAGUCGAGCCACCUCUCUCUCUCUCUCUGGCGGCAAUAUAUAACAAUUAAAAGGAAAAUAUAAGCCAUUAGUAUUAUUCAGUAACAACAAGAAUUAUUGAACCAGUCAACGCUUACUUUCGAAUAUAAUAUAUAUUGUGUGUAUUGUGUUGCAUAUUUUAUAACACAUCUUCAAUUAUUUACAUAUAAUAUCAUUCCUGUCUAAAGUCUUCUAUAGCACAUGAUGAUUAAAAAAAUGUCCGAGACUCACCCUAUAACAAUACUCAUAAUUUCCGUUGACAUUUCACAUACUCAACUCAUAGAUUCAAGGAGAGGAGAUGUAUGGUGAAAUUGAAAGGUUCAUCAAAGUAUGGAUUUCAGCCAUCUUAGGUUUAUGUUAUUGUUAUUACAUGGCUGCAAGAAUACCAAAGGGCUUCUUGAGACUUCUCUCCCUUCUCCCUAUUCUCUACCUCUUCAUCAUCCUUCCCUUGAACAUCUCUUCACCUAACUUAGUUGGAUACACUUCCUUCUUCCUUGUUCAACUUGGCAUUUUCAAGCUCCUACUUUUUUCCUUCAACAAAGGCCCUCUUGCCCUAUCACCCCCAAACAUUGUCCAUUUCAUCUCCAUAGCUUCCCUCCCCAUCACCCCAAAACAACAUCCACCAACCAAUAAAAAUAACACCACCAACACCCAAAAGCCAAAAUGGCUAUUGCCCUUAAAAUUGCUUAUUUUUGCAAUGAUCGCACGUGUUUAUGAGUACAAUGAAUACUUCCACCCUCAUUUCAUAUUAGUCCUUUAUUGUCUUCACUUGUACCUUGGCUUAGAGCUUGUUUUUGCUCUUAUUGCAACCCCGGUUCAAACCCUUUUUGGCUUAAAGAUAGAACCACACUUCAACAAACCCUACCUUUCGUCCCCACUUCAAGAUUUUUGGGGUCAUAGAUGCAACCUUAUGGUUAGACAUGGCAAGAAAACCCAUACCGGUGGGUACCCGCCCGAAUCCUUCCCGACUUUGACAGGUAAUACCCGAGUUGACCGGGUAUGGGUUCGGGUUCGGGUUCGGGUUUUUCCCGAUAAUUAAAAGCUGGAUACGGGUACGGGUAUGGGAUUACUAGAUCCGUCCCGACCUCGAACCCGAACCCGCCUGCCACUUGAAAUCUUUAAAACUUUUGCAUAAUUUAAUCAAAAGACAGAAUUUUUAUUACUAGUUAAUUUUAUUUUAAAUUUUUUACAUAAUUUAAUAUUAUUUUUUUAAAGAUUUUUGUAGACACGUGCGCUAUGAUAAAUUUAUAGAUAUAUAAGUGGUUAAAAAUAAAUGUUUAACAAUCAAUUUAUUUUUUCUAAAAUCAAAUUUUUAAUAUUUUUUUACAAAAAAAUUAUUUUUCUAAUUUGAAUUGGGUAUGGGAUGGAAUCAGGGAUACCCGAUACUCGACGGGUACUCGAUGGGUACGGGGAUGGGAUAAUAAACUUUAACCCGUCGGGUGUCGGGUACGGGUAUGGGGAUAUGUUGGGGAGUCGGGAUAAGGGAUUGUGGAGACAAUACCCGUACUCCCCCCGCCCCAUUGCCAUGUCUACUUAUGGUUUCUUGUCUUCUACGCUCUACAGUAUACAACCACGUAAGCUGUAUGAUUACGGGUUUAGUGGGUCCCUCAUGUGCCACGUCAGCUGCCAUGUUGGCCACGUUCCUUGUGUCUGGGCUUGUGCUUGAGUUAAUCUAUUAUCAUGUUACACGUGUACCUCCCACGUGGGAAGUUACGUGUUUUUUUGUGCUUCACAGUGUGUGCACGGUGGCGGAGGUGGCUGUUAAGAAGGUGGUUCUCCGUCGUGGAUGGCGGCUGCACCGUGCCGUGUCAGGGCCACUCGUGGUGGCAUUCUUGGCUAUCUCGGCGAAUUGGCUGUUUUUUCAUCAAUUGUUGAGGAAUGAAAUGGAUAGGAAGUCCAGUGAAGAGUAUGUAAUUUUGGUGGAUUUUGUUAAGUCUAAGAUAUAACAUUGAGAAUGUUUAACUCUUGAGAGUAAACGUUAAAGGAUGAGAGAGACUUAUAAUUGUAAUAUUUACCUUAAAGGGUAAAACAUUUCAUUUUUUUUAAGAAUUAUUUAAUUGUGAAUAAGGCAUAUAUGUUGAAUAUGUUGAAAAAUGAUGAGUGUGACUCAACAGCUAACAUCUGAAAAUGUGCAAGUCUAAAAACAUUAAAGUAUUUUAUGUUUUUAUUGGAUUUACGUGGGUGUAUAAAAAAAUAUAUGGGUGUAUGAGUUUAGGUUUGAAGGCAAAAAAAUCUUUAUUUAAAUAUUUGAAAAAAAAAGAAACUUAAUUGCACAUAGUGUUUCAAAUGAAAGAUACACAUACGUGGUUUAAAAAAAAAUACCAUCUCUAUCUUGGAUUAAUCCAUUGUUCUUUCUUACAAAAUUGGAAAAAUAAAAUAAAGGAAAAGUGUGUCCCCCCUUGCAGCAAUAAGAAUUAAUCUAAGGAAAAUAUCAUCCAUUAGGAGAUUUAUAAUUAAAGUGUGUCCCCCCUUGUAGCAAUAACAACUAGUUAGUAAUAAAUGAUUGAACGACUGUUACAGCUGGCUAAGUUUCCUUCUAGAUUAGUCAAAGGCAAGAUCGAGAGGCACAGAAGCGUGGCAAUUAAUUUGGGUAGCUAUAAUCUGCUGCCUGUAGAACUUCAGAAAUAAAAUUGUCUUUAGAAGUGGUAAUUUGUCGUUUGAAGACUUGCUUGGAAUCUGUAAGAUUUAGAACAUGAUCUUGGUUGCACGCCAGAAUAUUUAAAGGCUUCAGUUAUUCCUUCUUUGACUGGUUAAAUAGCCCAAUGAUGACUAUAAUGGUUUUUUUAUUAUUAAAAUGGAUUAAAAAUUAAAAUUAUCAUAAUGGAUUUAUCAAGAAAGUAUUUAUCAAAAUAGAUGAUUUUUGUCACAUAGGAUUAUAGAAAAAAGUGACAUCUUAUGUUUUUUGUGUAUUUUAUAGCAUGAGGCACCAUUCUCGUAUACUCCAUUUUUGCCAAGGCUAAAUUCAUAUUUAAUGAUUAGAUCUUAUGAGACAGUUUUACUCAAUUUAAUGAUGAUCAAGCUAAUAUAAAAUACUUAUAAAAUUAAACUCUUGUCUUUACAACAAUUUAAAAUAGUAUAAAUGUAUAAUUAAAUAUGAAAAAAAGAGAUAUGUAAGCUUAGUAACGAAGAAUAAAGUAAUAAGAGUAUGUAUUUGUAUUUCUUUUGAUAAUGAAGAAUAUUUUUUUGAGACAAAAUAAGACGUAUAAAUUUCAAUUUUUUUAUAUAUAAUUUUUUGGUUGAGUGUCUUUCAGUAAACGACAUCAUGUUUUAAGAUUUUAGUGUCAGCCUCAACUUUUUGGCAUCUAGAGUUGAAUGGGGACAUUCUUUAGUUGUUAUCGCCAAAUUAGGAGCAUAUCAUAACUAAGAUCCUUAUGCUCUCUUAAACCCUAAAACAAGGUAGGAAAUAAUUAAAGUAGGCUUAAGGGUUUUUUUAAAAAAGAAACAUCAUUAUCAUUUUUGGCUCAAAUAGGUGCAAGGGAUAAAUUAUCAUCAAAGGUUGGCUUUUUGGCUAAGUGGCUGAAAAUAAGAAGAAACAUGACCUUGAUCAUUUCCACCUCAUGUAAUUAAUCAAACAGUCUAAGAAUGAUGCAAAAGCGGGAAAUUAAAAACAGACGUUCUCUCACAAGUAAGUUUCACACAACUCACCGGAACAAAACAAAGUUGUUGGCUUACCGCACAUGAUUUCUUCCCGACGGACUAACCUUUUCCUCUCUUUGUUGUGAUUCAUACUCCACUACUUGAACUAACAUUUUCCUUCAUGGAACCAGCAUUUUUCACAAAAAUUGGUAUGCAACAUUUCAAGUGUCGAAGUCCUUCAGAAAAAGCUCAAAAAGUGACUUCAUAAUUAUCAUGCAAUUUUUAUUCAAUGACAUAAAAUGACUAAAUUUAAACUACUAGAAUUAAAUUGUUGAAAUUAAAGUAAGAUAAAGAAAAACAAAAACUAAAGACAAGAAACAUAAAGAAACAAGAAAAGAAGAAAUCCUAAUAAGAAGAUUUGGGUCUCAAUCUUGUGAGGGCCCUAGAUCCCAAUCAUUUGCUAGAUAUGCAAUAUGGUCUCAUCCUUAGUUCCGACUUUAGUGAUAUCUCUGACCUCAGAGGGCUCACCCCCCCCCAUAUCAGUAGAGGGUUGGACUCCUGGUGGGCCAUGAUUGAAUCCUGUUGCUCCUUGAUUGAAUCAAGACGGACCUCCUUGGUUGUAACCUUGGAAUCCGUGGCGAUUUGGUAUGCCCAUGUAGUUUACUUCUCUGGAAGGGUCUUCUUGAAUUGUACAUUGUCCAGGCUCGCGUAUUCCUCCACAUGUAUGGCACCCCCCUACCUACAUCACAGAAGAGUUAGAAGGACUUACCGCUUGUAGUUGCUGUGGUAGCUUGCUGAGAGUCUCGGUCAGGGCUUCUAUUUGUCUAGAUAGCAGCUUAUUUUGUGCCAAGGUUGCAUCUUGCGUUGUGAGUUCCAGAAGGCUUCUCUUGGUUGGUGCAUAUGUGCAAUCACGAACAAUGGCGUGAUCACUUGCCACCAUAUUUUCUAUUAACUCCAUCGCCUCCUCCGGUGUUUUUAGCUUGAUCUUACCUCCUACGGAUGCAUCUAGUAGCUGCUUUGAUUGAGGUCUCAGACCAUCUAUGAAAAUGUUGAGUUGGACCGGCUCACUGUAUCCAUGUGUAGGUGUUUUCCUUAGCAGUCCACGGAAGUGGUCGAGUGCCUCGCUGAGGGAUUCAUCGGGAAAUUGAUGGAAGGAAGAGAUUUCCAUCUUCCCCUUAACAGUCUUUGAUUCAGGGAAGUAUUUCUUUAAGAAUUUCUCUACAACUUAUUCCCAUGUCCGCAAGCUGUUACCUUUGAAGGAGUGUAGCCACCUUUUUGUUUCCCCUGCUAGUGAAAAAGAGAAAAGAUUGAGGCGUGUUGCAUUUUCAGGAACCCCGGCUAUCUUCACCGAGUUACAAAUGUCGAAGUAUGUGGCUAGAUGUGCAUAUGGAUCUUCACUUGGUAGGCCGUGAAAUAGAUUCCCUUGAAUCAGUUGCAUGAGAGAGUGAGGAUAAGAGAUGUUGGCCGCUUGAACCUUCGGCCUUGCAAUGCUUGUAAAAAAUUAUGGAGUAGUUGCACUAGAGUAAUCCUUUAAUGUGACUCGGCGUGCAUGUUCGUCCUCCAUAUGGACGUGGAUUUAUGGAGAAGGAGGAUGUGAGGUGUGACUGCUUCCUUAUGCUUCUUGUUCCCUUUUUCUUCUUGUAGCAUUGUUGCGUUUGCAAGUGGCUUCAAUUUCCAAGUUGAUAGGAACUAUUUCUCCAGUUGCAGUUCUACAUCGCAUGCACAAAAACAAGCACUACCCGUGCAAAUUAUGGAAGAAAUAAUGGAAGAAAAAAAUUGAAAAAAUAAAGAAAAAGGAAAAGUGCGAAAUAAAGAAUAGAAGAAUUUCUUACAAAUUGAAAAGGUAUGGCAACCAAGUAUGAAGAAAAAAUCCCCGACAACGGCUCCAAAAACUUGUUAACUCGUUGACAAGUGUACCAAAUUGUCACAAGUAGUAAAGUACUCGGAAGUCCGAGUGUCGAAUCCACAGGGAUUUUGUGUUGUACUUAUCUUGGAUACUUUUCAAUUUAUAAAGGAAUAAAAGAAAGAGUAGAAGAUAGAAGGCAAUAAUAGUAAAUUAUAAAUAAAAACCAAAAGAAUUAAAGAGAGAAUUCAAUGGAAUGCGAAUGUUAGGACCUAACAUGCCUUGUUUGCCUAGGAUGUAUGAGUUUAUGAUUUUUCUUUAUCAAUUUAGGUGAUUUUAUUCUACCCACAUCUGUUCAUUUACUUGCCCCUGAUUCCUCACGAUGACAAACCUAUUUUAUUCAUCUAUCUCCCAAAUUCCUUUGCAAAGACUUAACAAAUAAAAUGCAUGAAGUAUGAAUUCUAGAUGUUUGCAAGAAUACAUGGGCAUAAAAUUAUCAUUCUAUUCCUAGCAAUGACUUUCUCAUGAAAUCCUUUCUUUUUGUUCUAUUAGAAGUUACCCUCUUCCGAGUGUCUAACCCCUAAAACUAAUGCAUGCAUAUUUUUUUUAAAUCUUAUUUAGAAGUUACCCUCUCCCGAGUGUCUAACCCCUAAAAGAAUAUAAAGAUGAAUAAUGUAAGAUAAAAGCAGAAAAGAUAAUAGAAUAGAAAAACCUAGAAAAUAAUCUUGUUGCAUUGAUAAAUAUGAAGUACAUCAUACAUAUCUUUGGCUUUUUAGGCUUGCCAGGCCCUAACUAGGGGGUUUAGCCACUCAUGGCCAUUAAGGGCUUUACAAUGGAAGGGGUGAAAGAAAGAUGAUAAAAAGAGAGAAGAGAGUAAGAAUUCUCAGGCUUUAAGUAGUAGUGAGAGUGCUCUGAGACUUGGUGGGUUUUCUCCUUGGCCUGACUAUCCAUUUAUAGCUAAUGAAGUGGACUUGGGCUUGAUUCAAAAAAUCUUCCUUAUCUAUCUUUUUGAUAUCUUUUGGAUCUUAUAAAUCUUAUCUUUCCUACAUCUGCAAGUCAUAGAUAAGAAAAAUAUCAAUUCAUAUCUUUUAAGCAAAAAAUAACUGCUAAAUAAAUAUCUUUAAAGAUAUUUUUAAAUUAGCUCAUAUUUAGCAGUUAUCAAUAUCUUUUGGAUCUUGUAAUCUUAUCUUUUCAUAUCUGCAAUGAUGUAAGCUCCAUUGGAGCUUGUAGGCCUAGGAUCUUCUUCAUCAAUGGAUUCCUUUGCUUCUUGGAAGAUGAAUGACAGCGGAAUGGAGAAGGAAGAGAGAGAGGAGAUGCCACUUCAAGGAGAAGAUGAGUCUAGAAGAAGCUCACCACCAUAGCAAGCCAUGGAUAAGAGCUUGGAGGAAGAAGGAGAUGAAUGAAGGGAGAGGAAAAGAAGAGCAUGAAUUUUUGUGCUCUAAAAGAGCUCUGAAAUCUGAAGUUUAAUUUUCAAAUGAUCAAAGUUGUAAAAAUGCACACACAUAGCCUCUAUUUAUAGCCUAAGUGUCACACAAAAUUGGAGGGAAAUUUGAAUUUCUAUUCAAAUUUCACUUGAAUUUGAAAUUGAAUUUGUGGAGCCAAAUUUUGAAGCCAAAAUUUCACUAAUUAUGAUUAGUGAAUUUCAGAUAUAGUUCAUCCCACUAAUCCAAGAUCAAGUCCAAGAUUCUCCACUAAGUGUGCUUAGGUGUCAUGAGGCAUGUAAAGCAUGAAGGACAUGCACAAAGUGUGACUAUAUGAUGUAGCAAUGGGGUGUAGCAAGCAAAUGCUCACCUCCCCCUGUAAAAUUUAAUUGGAUUGGGCUUCUACCAAUUUAAUUAAAUUUAUUUCUCAACACACACAUCAAAUAUUCACUUAAUGCAUGUAAAAUUACAAAACUACCCCUAAUACAAAAACUAGUCUAGGUGCCCUAAAAUACAAGGGCUGGAAAAUCCUACAUUUCUAGGGUAUCCUACCUACAUUAUGGAGCCCUAAAUACAAGGCCCAAAAUUAAUGAAACCUUAAUCUAAUAUGUACAAAGAUAAGUGGGCUCAUACUUAGCCCAUGGGCCCGAAAUCUACCCUAAGGCUCAUGAGAACCCUAGGGCCGUCUCUUGCAUCUUUGGCCCAAUCUUCUUGGAGUCUUCUAUCCAAUGCCCUUGGGGUGUAAGAUUGCAUCAUGCAAGCCAUAAAUAAUAAAAGUAUCAAUUCUUAUCAUUUAAACCAAAAAUAACUGCUAAAUAAAUAUUUUCAAAGAUAUUUUCAAUAUAUUUUUAUUAUAAAAUAACUCAUAUUUAGCAGUUAUCAAAUGUAAAAUAAUUUUACAUUGUCAUCCAAUAAAAAAAAUCAUUAGUUAUAACUUUUAAAGUAUAUUUAUUAUAGGAGAUGAGGAGGUGGGCGAAUUUGUGAUUGCUAAAUCAGUGUGGAUGAAACCUUGGGUGAAGGUGUAGGAGGCUUCGAGGUUAUUGUUGGCUUUGUAGUGGGUUACUGAUUUGGAAAUGUUCCAUGCUAUAUUUGAAUUAGAUUGCUAGGGAGUGGUAGAUAGAGUGUUGGCUGCCAAAUCUGAUUUUUCUGAGGCAGCUUUGAUCAACCAAUGACUACAGACAAUUGAUAAUGCCAGUCCAUCUUUUUAUCAUAUGACACCUUCUUGUAUUACUUUUGUUAUUAAUAAUGAAAAGCUGUAAGGAGAUAAAAGUUGGUUGGAUGAGUACGAAAGAAGGGAAGGAGGAAAAGGUUGCAGGUUUGAUCUCUCUUGCUAACAAAAACUAACAACGAUUUGGCAAAUGUAGAAUUUGCAUUUCUGGAAAUAAAAGAAGAAAUGUGAAAUGAAAACACCUAAGGAGAUUUAUUUACCAGGAAAAUUCUACGGGUAAAGGAAUGCAAUCGUACAACAAUGAAUUUAUCUAUUAUAUCAUCAUACAGCAGGAAAAGGUUGCAGUUCCAUAACAAGUGUUGGAUUAUCACAGCAAUGGAAAAAAUAUAAUGAAUUUCUAGAAAUACACAAAAAGAAUAAUUGCAUUAAGGGAUGCCCUUUGACCCAAGUAGGAUAUGAUGCCAGACAAAUUGUUUGGAGUUUGAUCCAAAAGGAAAUUUAUCAAAUGCUAAUAAUACCAACAGUCAAUUAGUAAUGCUCCUGAUAUAUUGCUCCAAAUUCUGCUCUCCAUGCCUGAUCGUCAUAUGUAUAGGAGGAAGUUGGAUUGUGUGCCACAUCAGAAUCCUCUCUAUACAGUGGUUGUAGUGCAGAUUCAGGUAAUUUGCUCUCUGUAGUGUACUGCUUCAUGGUAUUAAUCUCAGUCUUGUGUUUUCUUUUCAUCUUCGCAAUUUGCAUCUUCAAAUUUUCAUUAUCUUGUUGCCAAUUUGGAAAGUUCUCCUGUAUAACAUAAGAAAUAUAUUACUCAGGAAAAGAAUAAUCAGAAAUGUGUUAAGACAGAACAUAUGCUGAAGCUGAAGCUUCUCAACCACAGUUACUGGUUUUUAAGUCACAUUAUGUUCCCUUCCUGUUUUUAUUAGUAACUUUGGUAUUUGAUAAAUAGGGAGGCCAAAGAAAUUACUGCAAUACAAAUUAUAUAAUCCAUUUUAAGAACAUUCCCUGUUUCCUAUUACCCUUUUAACAAAUAAUAGAAUAGCAGAAGAGCAUUCCCUGCAAUAUAAAUUAUAUAAUCCACAGUUACCGGCUGCACUUAUGUCUCACUCUCAAUGGAGAAAGAAUGUAGUGGGAAGUUUGCAAGGCAAUGGCGUUUAUGUGAAGGGGAAACAGGAACAUGAAAGGACACAAGGAAAGGGUUCUGGUGGUAGACAGAGGAAAAAGUCCAAGUCUAGAAAAUGCAAGAAAGAGAAGAGUGUUACAAACGCAACCAAAAGGGGCAUUUCAAUAGGUAUUGCCCAGAGUUGAAGAAAUUUGGUGAAAGGGCAUCCCAUUUAGUAAAUGUGGCAAAAAGACUAAUGAUUCAAACUACUACAGUGAGGGAGAUGUUCUCUCUGGUUCAUGCAAUCAGUUGACAGAUGCAUGGAUUCUUGAUUUUGGAAGUUCUUACCAUAUGACUCCCAAAAAGGAGUAGUUCAGCAUACACACGUUAGGUAAUUUUGGCAGUGUCUAUAUAGGUAACGACAGAGAGUGUGUUGUUGUUGGAAUGAGACAGGUGCAGAUUGCUAUGGAUAAUGGUGGAGUCAGAAUGUAGUGUGAUGUCCGUCAUAUCCCUGAGUUGAGGAAGAAUUUGAUCUUACUUAGUACCUUGUAGGCCAAUGAUUUUAGUUACAGAACUGAUGGAGAUCGAGAUACCCUCAGAGUGUGUAAGGGGGUGUUGACUAUGAUGAAAGCACAACACACUGUACAAAAUAUUUAUAGGCUGCUAGGGAGCAUAAUUGUAAGUCAAGUUGCAUCCACUAAGUCUAAUGAUGAUGCUACCAAAUUAUGGCACCUGUUUUGGGUCAUCUCAGUGAGCAUGAGAUGGUGGAGCUUCAUAAGAGAGGGCUCUUGAAAGUAAUUCAGAGUUGCAAGUUAGACUUGUGCGAGCAUUAUUUGCUUAGGAAACAAACUAGAGUGCGGUUUAAAGUUACGAAACAUACCACCAAAAGGAUUCUAGAUAAUGUGCAUACUAAUGUGUGGGGUCCUACUAGAGAUUCGUCCAUGGUGAUUCUCACUAUUUUGUGACCUUCAUUGAUGAUUUUUCUGGCAAGGUCUAGGUGUACUUCAUGAAAUAGAAAUUUGAAGUCUUUGAGAAUUUCAAGUUGUGGAAAACUAAGGUGGAGAAUCAGGCGGGCAAAAAGACCAGGUACUUGAGAUCUGAUAAUAGCACAAAAUACACAAACUCGUUGUUUCAGAAAUUUUGUGAGGAACAUGGCAUUCAGAGGCAUUUCUCAAUGUGGAAAACACCACAAUAGAAUGGUGUUGUAGAGAGGCUGAAUAGGCCCCUUACUGAAAGGGCUCAGCGUCUGAGGUUGCAAGCUAACCUUUCUAAAGGAUUUUGGGCAAAAGUGGUGAAUAUGGCGUGUUAUCUACUUGAUUGAUCACCAUGAGCAUCAUUGGGUGGGGAAGUUGCAGGGGAAGUUUGGAGGGGUAACCCUAUUGAUUUUAAUAAUUUGAGAAUAUUUGGGUGUUCUAAUUUUUGUGCAUAUAUCCAGUGAUGAGAGAUCUAAACUUGAUCCAAAGUCAAAAAAAUGUGUUUUUAUAAUUUAUUCCAAAGGUGUGAAAGGGUUUAAGUUUCGGGAUCUAAUUUUCAAGAAGAUGGUGAUUAGCAAGGGUGUAGUGUUUGAUGAGCAAUCCACGUUACCAGAGAUAGUUGAGACAACUAUGUCAGUGUCUACUGGAGCUUUCCCUAACUCCAUUGAGGUUUAGGUGGACUUCAAGUAAUUGUCGGUGAUUCCUGAGAGGAUAGAACCAUGUAGUCCAAGAUUUGAGGUUACACCUAUACCUGAGUCAAGAUCAGUGAGUCUAGGUGGACCACAUCGGGAGUACCAUCUUGUCAAAGAUAAAGAUCACUGCACCAUUAAACCCGUUGUCCGAUAUGGGUUUGAAGAAUUGGCUAAUUUGGCUGCUUUUGCACUUUUCACUAGUGCUAGAGAUCCUUCUACUUUUCAAGAGGUUAUGAACAACCAUAAGAAAGACAAUAUGGUGAAGGAAAUGAAGUCUUUGUAGAAGAAUCAGAUAUAGGAGCGAGUUGAGCUUCCUGCAGGCAACAAAACCAUGGGAUUUGCUAAUGGGUGUACAAGACGAAACCUCUAGUAUCAGAAAAAAAGGGGAAAAGUUCAACGCUCGCCUAUUAGCAAAGGGGUAUGCACAAUAGAAGGGGAUUGAUUAUGAUGAGAUUUCCUCCUCAAUCGUAAGACACACUUCUAUUAAGGCAGUGCUAGCCUCGGUAGCCAAUUGUGGCAUGCACUUGAAGCAAAUGGAUGUGAAGACAACCUUUCGUGACAAUGAUGCAUAGCAACAAAUUUACAUGAAGCAACCAAAGAGGUUUAGUAAAGGUGGAUUGGAUCGAUUCAUUUGUAAGUUGAAGAGGUCUGUGUAUGGAUUGAAGCAAUCUCCAAGGCAGUUUUAUGGAAGAAAUUGGAGAGUCAAUACAUGUCAAAACCCUUAAGGUUUGAGGUUAAGGUGUGGUGUCAAAGACACUUAUGUGGUUGCUCAAGGCUCACUGGUGCAAAUCUCCUUGAUGUUAACCGCCUCGGUUUUCACAAAAAUUGGUAUCAGAGUCAAUGGUUUGAUGUGGUGACCGGGUCAAACGAGUAAAAUGAUGAUGGUUGAUCCAUGAACAUAGGGAUCCCUUGUAUUGAAAGUCUUCUUGGCAGGUGGGUCCAUGCAUGGAGGCUAGGAAGCAGGUCCCACAUGUGUUGUGGCAGCACAAGGUACUAGAGCAUGUUGGUGGAAAUGGUUAGGCGAGCUAAAGGUAGUCACGAUUAAGUUCUAAGGGCCAUCAUUGAAUACUUUUAGGUUGACAAUUACUUUCAUUCGAGGAGGAGACUAUCAUGCGAAAGAGACUCACAUUUAAGGAGAAGAUUGUUGGAGUACAAGUGUGAGGUGAAGUACCACAUUGGAUACAAAUGAAAAGAUUGAAUACCAUAUAAGUGGGGACAAGACCCAUAAAUUUGAACCUUAAGGUUUUGGAUUAAGGUGUGAUGUCAAACUCACUUAUGAGGUUGCUCGAGGCCCAUUGGUUUAAAUAUCCCCGGUGUUUACCCUCUCGAUUUCCCAACUAUAGAUGAACGAAGGCAAAUAUAUAAAUAAAUAAGUUGUAGGACAAAAAAUUAAUUAAGUUUUUUUUUUAAAUUUCUAAUUUUGAAAAUUUUAUUGAAUUUGAUAAUUUUCAAUUGAACUUGCCCAGUUUUUGUUUGUUCACUCUUUUUUUCCUAUUAAUCCUUUAUGUUUGAGAACUUCACCACUCUUUCUGAUAACAAAAAUAUUUUGACUCGCAUAAUACCACACAACAAUGUUUUCUGAAAUGGGACUGUUAUAAUUUAUAUAUAACAAACAUAUUGGACUUACAUAUGGUGGGUCUGCCACGUCUGAAUCAUAUUGCAUUUAGCAAAAAGUUUUGGCAACAUAUAGUGGCAUUUGCAUUUCUGUUCUGGGAAUAAUAGAAGAGAUCUAAGGAGAUCUAUUUACCAGGAAAAACACCAUAAGGAACAAGAAUGCAAUGGUACAACAAUGAAUUUACCUAUUAUAUCAGUACACAACAUGAAUGAUCACAAUUGUUGCAGUUCUAUGACAAGUGUUGGAUGGAUGAUUACAACAUGGAAAAAAUACAAUGAAAUUCUGACAACAAGGACUUCCAUAACAACUUCGAGUGUCAUGCAUGGAUCACAGUGUCUCAAUCCUACACUGUAGAAGAAUUGCUGAAGGAUAUGUUACACAAGCUAUGCAAAGAAAAAUUGGAGACACCUCUUCAUAAUGAUUCAUUGAUAUAUGAAAUGAGAAAUCACUUGUGCCACAAGAGGUAUGUCAUCCUGUUUCAUGACAUAUGGGAUAAAAAGUUUUUGAAUGGUAUUGAUUUUGCUAUAAUUGAUAAAAAUUCUGAUACGAACAAGACAAUAUCAGCAGAAGAAGAACAACAAAAUGCAAACUCAGAGGUGGGAAUCACAAAAGAGGGGGUGCAUAACGAAGUAAAGCCCAAACGAAAGGUGAAGAGGCCCACUUACCUUCACGACUUCGUUUGAAGAAAACUGCCAAAACAGAAGCUUCUGCAAAUCCUUCCCAGAUCGCCUUGCUUGGAAUUGUGAUCCUGCUGAGCAAUUCUUAUCAAUAAAACGGUUAUUGUAAUAUUCCUAGGAUUAUUCCAUAUUAGGAAUUCUAUAAAAACCAUGUAAUAACAAGCAAAGGCAAUAAGAAAAUUACAAGCUUCUUCCUUCUUCUUUCGUGCUCUGCUCCUUCCUCAUUUCUGGAGGUGCUAGACCUCGAAUUCUAGCUCUUGAUACUUUGCACCUAACAUUUUUGGUGCUCUUGUUGUCCUUUUCACCAUGCCAGACUCUCAUUCUCACGAUACUUUCCCACGUUCCCUUGAGGACAUUCUCCUCCGCCUGGGUGACACCAUGAACACUGUGACCCUCAAACUUGAUGAAAUACUCCACCACCUAUCCCCAAGCUCUUCUUCCCCAAACCCUCAGCCAACCCCAAUCCAACCCCAACCUAACCCUGCACCUGCAACAUUACACAAAAUGAAAUUAGAGGUUCCGAGAUUCGAUGGAACUGAACCUCUCGGGUGGAUAUUCAAAAUUAAUCAAUACUUUGAAUAUCACGGCACCCCGGAACGCGAUCGUCUCACAAUCGCCUUGUUUUAUAUGGAGGGACGAGCACUUGCGUGGUUCCAAUGGAUGACCAACAAUGCUCAGUUCACCUCUUGGCCGGGAUUUUUGAAGGCAUUGUAGACCCAUUUUGCCCCGUCACAAUACGAGGACCCUACGGGUGCGCUUUUCAAGUUAACUCAGAAGGGUUCAGUAGGCCAAUACCUGUCGGAAUUUGAGGAUUUAGCGAAUCGUAUUAUCGGGCUCCCUCCUCCCUUCAUUCUCAGCUGCUUUAUCUCGGGGCUGUCGCCGGAGAUACGACGUGAAGUCCAGGCCUUACAACCCCUCACUUUAGUGCAAGCAGCGGGGCUAGCACGUUUGCAGGAAGAGAAAUUAGCCGAUAUACGACCACCGCCUCGACCGCGACCUCCACCCCCACCACAACUUUCCCCUCACACGAACCCUAACCUAAACACCUCUCGUUCACCCUCACUACCACCAUUAUUACUUGCACCACCGCGUCAGCCUCCCCCUGUGAUGAAACGCUUGUCAUCGGAGGAGAUAACCUCACGCCGUGAGUGUGGGUUAUGCUUCAACUGUGACGAGCGUUACCACCGGGGUCACCGCUGCGCCUCUCGUGUGUUCUUACUCAUCACUGAAGAAAAGGACCCUCCUUCAGUUAAUAUAGACCCUAAUAACCCGCAACCCAAUACCAUACCUGACCCACCUGAAGUAACUGACCCAUACCCGGCCCACAUAAGCCUACACUCAUUAUCAGGCCAUCAUGCCCCGGAAACGCUGCGUUUUGAAGGAGUUAUUCAUGCUCAUCCUCUGGUGCUCCUCGUUGACGGAGGAAGCACCCAUAACUUUGUCCAGCAGCAACUGGUCUCUCGAUUGGGGCUACCUUGCCGUUCCACACCACCGCUGCGAGUCAUGGUGGGAAAUGGUCAUCACCUGGAAUGCACUACAAUUUGUGAAGUUGUUCCUAUUUCGAUUCUGAACAUCAAAUUCUUGGUGGACCUUUAUGUUCUACCUAUUGCCGGAGCCAACAUCGUGUUGGGUGUCCAAUGGCUUAAAACAUUAGGCCCUAUCCUCACGGAUUAUAAUUCCUUAAGCAUGCAAUUUUUCUAUCAGCACUGCUUGGUCCAAUUAAAAGGGGAAAGUGAAGCUCAAUUGGGCCUUUUGAACCAUCAUCAGCUUCGUCGUCUCCACCAGACACAUGAACCCGUCACUUACUUUCAUAUAGCCAUCCUUACUGAAAACACUUCACCCACAAGCUCACCACCAUUACCCCAACCCAUCCAACACUUACUAGACCAGUUUUCAGCCUUGUUCCAAGAGCCUCAGGGACUUCCACCAGCCUGAGAAACUGAUCAUCACAUACACCUGCUACCCCAAUCCGAACCCGUGAAUGUGCGCCCCUACCGGUAUCCCCAUUACUAGAAAAACGAGAUUGAACACCAAGUCAACCUCAUGCUUCAGAAGGGACUGAUCCAACCUAGUACAAGCCCCUUCUCCUCUCCCGUCCUUCUUGUAAGGAAACAUGAUGGAAGCUGGAGGUUCUGUGUGGACUACAGGGCCCUCAACGCGGUCACGGUCCGAGACCGGUUUCCUAUUCCCACAAUAGAUGAGCUCUUAGACGAGCUCGGAGGUGCUCAAUAUUUCUCCAAACUUGACCUGUUGCAAGGUUAUCACCAGAUAAGGAUGCAUGGCCCCGAUAUUCCCAAAACGGCAUUUAGAACUCACCACGGCCAUUACGAAUUCAAAGUAAUGCCGUUUGGUCUCUACAACGCACCAUCUUCGUUUUAGGCGACGAUGAACAACAUUUUCCGGCAACACCUCCGUCACUUUAUUAUAGUGUUCUUUGACGAUAUACUCAUUUAUAGUAAUUCCUUUGAGACCCAUAUACAACACUUGACAACAGCAUUCCAGGUCCUCCUCGAUAAUCAAUUUGUUUUGAAAUUAUCAAAAUGCUUUUGCGCGCAGUUGCAGGUUGAAUAUUUAGGCCAUAUGGUCUCGAAGAAGGGAGUAGAACCGGUAGCCUCGAAGGUAGAGGCCAUCCUUCAAUGGCCCAUACCUCAAUCUUCUAGGGUUGUGCGUGGCUUCCUGGGACUUGCCGGAUUCUAUCGGCGUUUCAUAAAGGGAUAUGCCACCAUUGCUUCUCCCCUGGUAAAGCUCACCACAAAAGAACCUUUUUAGUGGACACCCCAAGCACAAUCAGCUUUUGAACACCUUAAGGCAGCUCUGUCCUCAGCUCCGGUACUCACCUUACCAAAUUUUCAGCUCCCAUUCACGGUGGAGACGGACGCCUCCGGCGUCGGAAUGGGUGCAGUUCUUUCUCAAUGUGGCCACCCUAUUGCGUAUUUCAACAAACCUUUCAGCCCUAAGCUUCUCCGCGCCUCCACAUACAUUCAAGAGCUGUUCGCAAUCACUGCCGCAAUUAAAAAAUGGCGCCAAUACCUUCUCGGUCAACGCUUCACGAUUUUGACUGGCCAUCGCAGCCUCAAGGAACUCCUCACCCAGGUUAUACAGACGCCGGAACAACACAUGUACUUAGCUCGCCUCAUGAGCUACGAUUACACAAUUCAAUAUCGGGCCGGAAACCGUAACCAAGCUGUAGAUGCAUUAUCACGAUUACCAUAACAGGGCUCUUCCCUUCUGAUGAUUCUCUUUGUUCCUUCAUUAACAUUCCUCGAGGAGCUUCGCCGACAACUCCAAGCUCACCCAGAAUACGUACGCUGCUGGCAGGAAAUUGAGCAGAAUCCAUCCAAUUUUCCCACCUUCACGAUUUCACAAGAGUUGAUUCUGCAUAAGGGUCACAUUUGGUUACCUCGUGAAUUACCCAUCACCUCCACAUUACUUUUGGAGUAUCACACUACACCCACAGGGGGCCACGCCGGAAUCGCAAAAACAUUAGCAAGGAUAUCGGAAAAUUUUAGCUGGACCGGCAUCCGUGAAGAUGUCAAACAAUUUGUCACCAAUUGCUUGGAUUGCCAGAUAACCAAGUAUGAAACCCAGAAGGUAGCAGGUUUGUUGUGUCCUCUUCCGGUACCUUGCCGGCCAUGGGAGGACCUCUCCCUUGACUUUAUCGUGGGAUUACCACCGUACCAAGGCCACACCACCAUCCUCGUUGUGGUGGACCGCUUCUCGAAGGGGAUACAUUUAGGCACGCUUCCGGCAGCUCACACCGCAUACAUGGUGGCAACCUUAUUCAUCAACGUGGUGGUUAAGAUUCAUAGCGUUCCUCGGAGUCUAGUCUCCGACCGAGAUCCUCUUUUCAUAAGUCACUUUUGGCAGGAAUUAUUCUGAGCUAGCGAUACCCACCUGAGGAUGAGUUCUGCUUACCAUCCUCAGAGUGAUGGUCAAACAGAAGUCAUCAAUAGGGUUGUGGAACAAUACCUGUGUGCCUUCGUGCACCGACGACCUCAGAGAUGGGGUAAGCUUCUUCCAUGGAUAGAGUGGUCCCACAAUACUUCGUGGAAUGCAGGGACAGGGUCAACCCCCUAUGAGGUAACGUUUGGCCGGAAGCCAUUCAAUUUCCCGGAGUACAUCUCCGGCACCUCAAACAUUGAAGCUGUUGAGGAUUUGCUAACUGAUAGAGACGCUACUUUUCAAACCAUUCGUAAGAAAUUGCUAAAGGCACAAGACCAGAUGAAGAAGCAAGCUGAUCACAAGCGUCGGGAGGUGAAUUAUCAGGUGUGCAAUUUGGUUCUUCUCCGGUUACGACCCUACCGGCAAUCUUCGACCAAGGGAAAUUCUUCAGUUUCCGCCAAGCUUGCAAAACGUUUCUACGGUCCAUUCCAAGUUAUUGAAAGAAUUGGCCCUGUUGCCUAUAAGCUCAAGUUACCUGACGAGGCAAAAAUACAUCCAGUAUUCCAUUGUUCUAAGCUCAAACCCUUUCGAGGGACCCCAACACCACCAUCAACAGAGACCUUCCCAUCCACUUUCAUCAAUGAUCAACCCCUGAUUUCUCCCUUGGCCAUCUUAGACCACCGAAGAACAUCACCAGAGGCUCCUUGGGAAGUCUUAGUUCAAUGGAGAGGUCUCUCCCCCGACGAGACCUCAUGGGAAAAUUGGACCAAGCUACAGGAAGAGUAUCACCUUGAGGGCAAGGUGAUUUUACAAGGACCCAGGGAUGAUACGAACAAGACAAUAUCAACAGAAGAAGAACAACAAAAUGCAAACUCAGAGGUGGGAAUCACAAAAGAGGGGGUGCAUAACGAAGUAAAGCCCAAACGAAAGGUGAAGAGGCCCACUUACCUUCACGACUUCGUUUGAAGAAAACUGCCAAAACAGAAGCUUCUGCAAAUCCUUCCCAGAUCGCCUUGCUUGGAAUUGUGAUCCUGCUGAGCAAUUCUUAUCAAUAAAACGGUUAUUGUAAUAUUCCUAGGAUUAUUACAUAUUAGGAAUUCUAUAAAAACCAUGUAAUAACAAACAAAGGCAAUAAGAAAAUUACAAGCUUCUUCUUUCUUCUUUCGUGCUCUGCUCCUUCCUCAUUUCUGGAGGUGUAGACCUCGAAUUCUAGCUCUUGAUACUUUGCACCUAACAAAUUCGGACACAGAGGUAUCAAUCACUACUUCGGACACAGGUUGCAGAGUUUUGUCAGAUAACUUCCUUCAUUCAGGUGUAUAAGCUAGAACCUUUAAGUGACAAAAAAUCUUUGGAAUUGUUAUGAUGUGGAAAGGCAUUUUUUUCGGGUUUUGGUGGAUGCUGUACAAAAGAAUAUGAAGACGUAGGUCUUGAAAUGGUUAGAAAGUGUGAACGUUUACCUCUAGCAAUUGUUGCAUUGGUGGUCUUUUAUAUAGCAAAUGUCAAAGUGCACUUGAAUGGACAGGUUUAGUCAAAAUCUAUGUUCGGAGUUGAAGAGGAAUUCUGAGUUAAUUAGUAUUUAAAAAGAAAAAUUGGUUUGAGUUAUGAUGAUUUUCUGUUCAAUCUCAGAUCAUGUUUAUUGUAUUUUAGAAUGUAUCCGGAAGACUAUGAAGUUAAAUCUGGAAGAUUGAUUACGCAGUGGAUAGCUGAAGGGUUUGUCAAACAUGAAAAUGGAAGAACUUUAGAAGAAGUUGCACAACAACAUUUAAUGGAGUUGAUCACUACAAGUUUGGUGCAAGUAUCUUCAUUUACUAUAGAUGACAAAGUUAAAGGAUGUCGUGUUCAUGACUUAAUACAUGAAAUGAUCCUUGGAAAUAUCAAGGAUACAUGGUUUUGUCUGUAUAUUGAUGAGCAUAAUCAAUUGGUGUCAAGUGCGAUCGUUAGACGCUUAACAAUAGGAUCAGAUUCCAAUGAUUUAAUUGAAAAUACUGAAAGAUCACGCAUUCGGUCAGUUCUAAUUUUCACAAAGCAAAAGUUACCCGAAUACUUAAUCAGUGGAAUACUUGAAAAAUACAUACCAUUGAAGGUACUUGAUUUUGAAGAUGCUAUACUAUAUCAUCUUCCUGAAAAUUGGGGGGGAUUUAAUCCACUUGAAGUAUCUGAGCUUCAUGGUAUACACAGAUAGAAAGUCUUCCAAAAUCCAUUGGUAAGCUCCAGAACUUGGAGACCUUGGAUGUAAGACAAACAAAAGUGUUUCAGAUACCAAAGGAGAUUAGCAAGCUUUUAAAGCUACGUCAUCUUCUGGCUAACGAAAUAUCUUCAAUUGCAGUGAAGGAUAGUAUUGGAGGCAUGACAUCUCUACAAAAAAUAUGCCUUCUGUAAGGAUUAUAGCCACUAAGGUCAAGAGAAUUCCUCUUUCGCCUACAGUGUUCAAUUAUUCUAUAAAUUAUUACACCUUUUAAUUUUAAAAAUUUGUAAAGUAAAGCCGAGACUCAUAUAUUUGCUUCCAUAUACUCCUUUCAUUCUCUUCCAAGUAAAUUAAACUAACAAUUUCCUUUUGAUGUUGGAAAGGGGAACCAUUUAUACAAACUUGGAAGAAUUCAUUAUCAACUUCACUCAACUCCAACAGCUUAGUAAGGUGUGCAAGGGAAAUAAUGGAAAAUUUACUUGGUUUGCAACUGUUUGAAGUUUGAAGAACUAGGCUUUUUCGAAAAGGGUUAUAAUUAUAAUUUUCCACCAGUCCUAAGCCCUGACUAUGUCUCCAUUUUACUUCAAAUUGCUUGUGGUUGAUGCGUUCAAAUUGCUUGAUGAGUUCUUCACAAGUCCUAAGCACCUCUACUUGGUUGAUGCUCGAAUCCGUGGAUGCAAGUGAUGAUAUAUGUGGUUGCAUGUUGAUUUUGGAGGAUCCGUUCGCAUGCACGGAGAAAUUUGGCCCUGUUCUGAUUUUUGGUGUUUUGAUCUGAUCUUGGAUGCAUCUUGUGUUAUUAAAAAGGAUAUUUGGUUGAAGGAAAUGUGAUGUCUAUAUCAUUGUGAAGCUUAAAUGGUACACACAUUUUGGUAAAAAGUGAUAGGUGCUCACUUAGGUUUGAGUAUUCUCUGUUUUCUAUCCAUACUGUUUUAUUUUAUUUAAUGUGUUCUGGAAUGUUAAAAAUAAAAAAAGGUAGUUGAUUUAUGUUGAUAUAUGGGUUGGUAGUAUCCUAUAAAAUUUUCAGAAUUUUUUAUGAUAAUAUUGUUGGAAGAAUAUGGAUUGAACCCUAUGUUCAUUCUCUGCAUUUCCAGUGAGGAUGUUCGUGCUCUGGAUCGAUCAUUAUUUUUCUCUGACAAUUUUUGGAGAGAUAAUUAUUUUUUUGUGUUCUUAAGAUCAUAAGGAGUAUGUCUAAAUAUUUUUGUGUGAAAAUAUUAAUGUCAACAAUUUUAAUAAAAUCUAGAAAAGGAUGAAUGUUCUUUGAUGUUCUGGGUUUUUCUGGGUGAAUGUUGAUACGGUUCUUCACUUACUAGGAUGAAUCUCUGUUGAAUUUUGGGGAAAAAAAUAUUAGGAUGUUUCUGUAUUUGUUUGAUGCAGCUGUAUAAAGCAAUAAAGAAAUAAUAGCUCAAGCUUUUGCUAUAAAUGUGUGGCAGGAAUUGAUCCUACACAUACGAGUUCCUCUAUGCUGUUCUUUUAUUUCCUCUUGUCUAACUUCAUAUAAAGAAUUUUGUAGUCCUUUGGAAUUCCAGUGAAAAUUCAGUCCUCACUGUUUUUUUAUUUAUAUUACAGGAGGAGAAUAAAAAAUAUGACGAAAUUACAAGCGGAUUAGGGAGAGUUAUAUAUCUUAGUACUUCAAGGAUGGGACCCAGCCAUUCACAUUAGGUGAGUUAUAUAUCUUAGUACUUCAAGGAUGGGACCCAGCCAUUCACAUUAGGUGCAAGCACAAGGGCCAGCUAAAGAGGCAAGUAAAUCCUUCCUCUUUUUCUGGCUUACUUUGCUGAUAUGCAUUCUAUAAGAUCUCAUUCAUUUGUUUCCUAAUCACAUUGUUUCUCGUAUUUACAUCAUUGAUAGUGGCAAGGUUCUUUAUAAGUUAUGAUUAUUUUUUCUAUAUAUUUUUUCUGGGCAGAUAGAAAUAUUUUGGACUGCACUUCUUAAUCAUGGUUAGGACCAGGGAUAAUAAAUCUUGUUAUGCUAUCAGGGAAACAAGUUGGUGGAUUCAACAUUAGGAAAAGAAGUUGGGAAUGGAGAACAUCUAACUUUCAUCAAUGCUUCCAUCCGAAAAUUACCACACUCCACGUAAUCUACCACCUAUGCUCAAUGACUUGGGGUAUUCAUGAGUGUAAUUGCUGCCUAGAUUAUUUUAACUUUUGAGUUCAGGUUUUGAUCAUCAAGGCUGGUGGACACUGCAGUGAGGAACAAUUCAUUUGAUGAGAUGUUCUUGCUGGUGGGAUUGGUACUCUAGAUGAGGUGUUUAAGAUACAGGCAUGCACUGAUUCAGCUUGAAUGGAUUGGACCAGAGCUCUUUGUGUUCUCUUCUAGAAGAAGUGUUUGAGAUACAGGCACUGAUUCAGCUUGAAAUGAAUUGGAGUAUGCUUUAUUUCUCUUUGUCUACAUCACACUGAUAGGUGUUAGACAUAAAAUUAUGGCUAAAUUACUAUGUUGGUCUUGUAUCUCUAUUUUAUAUUGUAAUUUAAGCUUCUAUUUGUUAAAAGUUACAAAAUGAUAUUUUAUUUAUUAAAAGCUGUAAAAUGGUUUCUUACAUAAUUUAUUUAUUGUAUCUUUACUUCUGAAGUAAUGUCUUUUUCAGUUGUUUUGGAUAAAUAAAAAAUAAUUAUUUUGAGUUAUAACUAAUAUUCACACACUGGUAGACCCAAAGAUAGCAGAGACAAUAAUGUGUUUUAGGUGGCAUCUUCAAUUUGCAAGACAGCUAGAUUGAGAAAGGACAAAACAAGGCAAGAAAACAUGUGCAAAGGACUGUUAGAUGAUUAUUGAUUGCAUUGUAUUAGUAAUUCUUUUGACUAGUAUGAUCUAUUUUUCACAGGCUGAGAUGACAACAAACUUUCAUCUCAAGUUUGGCACCUUGUUUCCCAUGAUAUAUUUAAUUUGCUCAAACGUUUUUUUGCAGUAUUACAUCUAAUAUAUAUAUAUAUAUAUAUAUUAGUUUAAGAAGCUCUUUUUGAUCUCCUAAUAUAUAAAUUUCGUGUAUGAUAUGACUGAUUGUUGUGUUCAUUCUAACAUGAAUUUAUUCAUUUAAAUGCAAAUUAAAAUAGAUGAAAAGGAUAAAACAUUGGACACGGAAAAGUUUAGGAAUGGUGAUCGGUGGUAAAAUAAUUUAAGGAUCAAAAUCAUAAAUUAUAAGAAAUUUAAGGAUAAAAAAUAUUUUAUCAAAAAAAAAAAUUAUAAGGACAAAAAGUUAAUUUUUUUAUUAAAGAUUAAAUACAAAAUUCAAAAAAGUUAAGGGCCAAAAGUAUAUUAUGUCUGUCAAAAAUACUAAUUAUUCAUCUCGCGUCCACCAAAUUUUCCCUUUUUAUUUUGCUCGUUUCUUUUUAAUAUAUUACUUAUCACAUAUAUCACUUUGUCUCUGUAUCUUUUUUCUUUUCUCUCUCAUCUUUCCAUCUCAAUUCAUCCUAAAACGGGGUAGAAGAAUAUCAUAGUUCUAUUUCUUUUCUUUUGUCAGAACAAGCUUAAGACCUGAUGAAUGAAUGAAGACUUGGCUACAGGGGUAAACAUGCAUGUUAUAUCCAUCAAAUGAAUUUUUUAAUAUACCAAAAAAAUGUUAGUGAAAAUAAAAUAACAUUACUAAAAAGAAAAGAAAAGAUUAUAUAUAUUUUUAGACCAUGAAAAAAUGAAUAUAUUGAAUUAGAGUUAGAGAUAUUCGAAAUCAAGCAAAAGAAAAUACUCCGACGAUAGAAUAAAUCUUCAAGACUUGGGUAUAUUUCUUUUUCUUGGAAGCAGAGUCUAAUGACAAAGAAAAUACAAAAUGACUAACGAAGGAGUGAAGUCAGUUGCUGAAUUAACAUACAACGGAAGAGAUAGAAGCUGGGGCAAUAUAAAAAAUUUAAAAAGAAUAAAUAAAUAAAUUGGAAAAUAAAAAUGUGGCCACUUUAUCUCUUCUUUCAUGUUUAACCAAAAAGAAGACAUAUCUUUUUUCCAUGCGGUUUAACAUUUUUUUUUCUCACACUAGCAUAUUAAUAAGUUGCUCGAUCUGUUUUUUAGACACGCUAAAGAAAAGUCUCUUUUUUUUUUUAAAUCAUCUGUAUACAAUUAUUAGCGGCAAAGCUAGCAUAUAUGAAAAGUGGUUUACGAAAAGUGGACCACAAGAUCACAACUUGCUCACAAAAGAGACGCUGCAAAGCUCAAAGUCUUCGUCUCCGCGUACACAGUGCACUAAGUUACAAAAUAUCAUCUCAGUAUGAUAUAGAUAAAAAGAAUUUAUAAAAACAAAUCUGAUAACCGACACCUGUUAAUCAUGACUAUAGAACUUAUAAAUAGAGAAUCAUGUUAAUUUUAAAAUUUUAUUGAAAUUAUAUGGAUAAGAUAUUAUCAUAAACAGUGUCCGUGUCAUUGUUUGGCUAAGUACAUUUAUUGGUUAUAUAACGUUGCAGAACAUCAAGUUUUGCACUCACAACAAACCAAAAAACAGAGCUAGCUAGCAAGACUAAAAUGGCAGAAACUGCAGUGUCCUUGGCUGGUCAGCAUGCACUUCCAAAAAUAUUGGAAGCUGUCAAAAUGUUGAGAGAUCUCCCAAAAGAAGUUAGAGACAUUACAGAUGAACUUGAAAGCUUUCAAGAUUUCAUCAAUGAUGCUUGUUGAAGAUAUACUUUUGUAACUGCAUAAUAUUUUAUUUUUCAGUUUUUAAGAUAGGAUUUAGUAAAUAAGUUGAUUUCCUAUAUUUUAGGAGUAAGACAGUUUUAAUGGAUUAGCCUAGUCAAUAAGUGGUUCUUAUCUUUAAGGAGCAAGUUAGUUUUAAUAUUCUGUUUUGUUAAUAUCUUGUUAUCUAAUUAGUUUAUCUUUUUCUAUUUAUUGUAUCGCUGCUGAGAACAAUUUGAAUUAGAAUAAAAUAAUUCUAUUUCCUCGACAUACGUAUUGUCUCUCUUCUCUCUUCUGUUUUUUAUAAUUUUCUCUUCAAAACAAACAAUUGGUAUCGAGAGCCUUAUUCUUACGGGACCUCUACCAUGGAAGGUGAAGCAAGUUUUUCCUACAUAACUCUUCCAAUCUUUGAUGGAGAGAAUUAUGAUCUUUGGGAAGUGAAAAUGCAAUCCUACAUGGAGUCUUUGGAUUUAUGGGAUGCUGUGGAAGAGGAUUAUGAAAUAUAUCCGCUGCCUGAAAAUCCCACCACGGCUCAAAUUAAAAAUCACAAGGAAAGAAAGAUGAAGAAGGCAAUGGCGAGGUCAUGUUUGUUCAGUGGUGUUUCACAAAUGAUAUUCAUCAGAAUCAUGACUCUUAAAUCACCCAAAGCAAUUUGGGAUUAUCUGAAAGAAGAAUACGCUGGAGAUGAUAGAAUACGAAGCAUGCAAGUGCUGAAUUUAAGGAGGAAAUUUGAGCUUCAAAGGAUGCAAGAGUCAGAAACAAUCAAAGAAUACUCAAACAAAUUGUUGGGUAUUGCCAACAAGAUAAAGUUAUUGGGAAGUGAUUUUGCUGAUUUGAGAAUUGUAGAGAAAAUUUUGAUAACGGUGCCGGAGAGGUAUGAAGCAUCUAUAGCUUUAUUGGAGAACACAAAGGAUCUGUCGAAAAUCACAUUGGUAGAAGUGCUACAUGCCCUGCAAGCUCAAGAGCAGCGAAGGUUGAUGAGGCAAGAUCAUGUUGUCGAAGGUGCUUUGCCCACCAAACAUCAUGAAGUUGAUGAAAGCAAAAAGGAUUUUUUCAAGAAGAAUCAACCAGCAAGCAGUGAAAACAGUGCAAACAACCAAGGUAAGGAUAAAAAGAAAAAUUAUCCACCUUGUCAGCAUUGUGGCAAAAAAGGUCAUGCACCUUUCAGAUGUUGGAGGAGACCAGAUGCAAAAUGUAAUAAGUGCAACCAGAUAGGACAUGAAGCGGUGAUCUACGCCAACAAAAAUCACCAUGAUGAGGGAGCUCAGAUUGCUAAUCAAGAAGAAGAGGACCAACUGUUUGUGGCCACAUGCUUCUUGAGUAGUGAAUCAAGUGAAAGUUGGUUGAUUGAUAGUGGUUGUACGAACCACAUGACAAAUGAUAAGACUUUAUUCAAGGAUUUGAAGCCAACUAAUGUCUCAAAGGUCAGAAUUGGGAAUGGUGGCUAUAUUCCAGUAAAAGGAAAAGGAACUGUUGCAAUUUCAACGUGUUCAGGUACCAAAUUAGUAUCAGAUGUUCUUUAUGUACCUAACAUUGACCAAAACUUGCUAAGUGUAGGUCAGUUGAUUAAAAAAGAAUUUAAAGUGUCCUUUGAACAUCAACAUUGCUUUAUCUAUGACAAUUUUGGCCGGGAAGUUCUAAGGGUUAAAAUGAAAGGUAAAAGCUUUUCAUUUGAUCCAGCAAAGGAGGAGCAUACAACCUAUUUCACUCAAGUCACACCCACGGAACUCUGGCACAAGAGACUUGAUCAUUGCCAUCUUGAAAGAAUGCUAAACAUGGAAAAAAGGAAAUAUGCAAAAGAAAAUUUGAAGAAGUUUCAAAUGGAGGAAUGCAAAUCUGCUAGCACACUAAUGAAUCAAAAGGAGAAGUUCAGAAAGGAAGAAGGUGUUGAUAACAUUGAUGAAGAAUAUUGUGGGAGCUUGAUUGGAUGUCCAAUGUAUCUCACUUCAACAAGGUCAAACAUUCUAUUUUCUAAAAAGAACAAAACUGGAAUAUUUGUUGACAAUCAAGUAGCCAUUGCUAUUGCAAACAAUCCCGUGUGUCAUGGGAAGAUUAAACAUUUCAACAUCCAGGUUUAUUAUUUGAUAAAGAUGCAACAAAGUGAAGAAGUGAACUUAAUUUACUGCAAGUCUAAAGAUCAAUUAGCUGACAUGUUUACAAAGUCACUACCUAUCAACAAACUUGAACUCAAAGAAUUGGAGUUUGCAGUUCCAAAAGCAAGGAGGAGUGUUGAAGAUAUACUUUUGUAACUGCAUAAUAUUUUAUUUUUCAUUUUUUAAGAUACGAUUUAGUAAAUAAGUUGAUUUCCUAUAUUUUAGGAGUAAGGCAGUUUUAAUGGAUUAGCCUAGUCAAUAAGUGGUUCUUAUCUUUAAGGAGCAAGUUAGUUUUAAUAUUCUGUUUUGCUAAUAUCUUGUUAUCUAAUUAGUUUAUCUUUUGCUAUUUAUUGUAUCGCUGCUGAGAACAAUUUGAAUUAGAAUAAAAUAAUUCUAUUUCCUCCACAUACGUAUUGUCUUUCUUGUCUCCUCUGUUUUUUAUAAUUUCUUCCUCAAAACCAACAAUGCUAAUAAAGUGGCUGAAGCUGAACAAGAUGAUGGAAGGCGUCAUAGAAUAAAGAAAGAGUGAUGCGGCUGAGAGAAGCAGCUUUUCGCAUGGAAGAUGUCAUCGAUGAAUAUAACAUCUCCUGUGAGGAUAAGCAACCUGAUGAUCCUCGAUGUGCAGCUUUACUAUGUGAGGCUGUUGCCUUCAUCAAAACUCAAAUCCUUCUCUUUCAAAGUGCGUAUAAGAUUCAGGAUGUUAAAUCCCUUGCUCGUGCUGAAAGAGAUGGUUUCCAAAGCCAUUUUCCUUUAGAGCAAAGACCAACCAGUUCUAGAGGAAAUCAAGAUGUCACCUGGCAGAAACUUAGAAGGGAUCCUCUCUUUAUUGAGGAGGAUGAGGUUGUGGAGCUCGAUAACGAUAGAGCUACAUUGAAAUAUUGGUUGACAAAUGGAAGAGAAAAGCGCACAGUCAUCUCCGUGGUGGGAAUUGCAGGGGUGGGAAAAACAACUCUUGCCAAGCAAGUUUAUGACCAGGUGCGUAACAAUUUCGAGUGCCAUGCAUUGAUCACAGUUUCUCAAUCCUACUCUGUAGAAGGAUUGCUGAGGCAUAUGNNNNNNNNNNNNNNNNNNNNNNNNNNNNNNNNNNNNNNNNNNNNNNNNNNNNNNNNNNNNNNNNNNNNNNNNNNNNNNNNNNNNNNNNNNNNNNNNNNNNACUCAAAAGAUGAAAGUGCAUCUGAAUGGGGACAAAAAUUUAGACUUGGAGAGGAAUUCUGAGUUAAAUAGUAUAACAAAAAUUUUAGGUUUAAGUUAUGAUGAUUUGCCGAUCAAUCUCAGAUCAUGUUUAUUGUAUUUCGGAAUGUAUCCGGAGGACUAUGAAGUUGGGCAACAAUAUUUAUCAGGGUUGGUCCGUAGAAGUUUGGUGCAAGUAUCCUCAUUUAGAAUUUGAUGGCAAAGUUUAAAAAGUGUCGUGUUUCAUGACUUUAAUACACGACAUGAUCCUUAUAAAAGUCAAGGAUUACAGGGUUUUUGUCAGUAUAUUGACGGGUGUGAUCAAUCUGUAUCAAGUAAGAUUGUUCGACACCUGACAAUUUGCAACCGAUGAUUUUAGUGGAAGUAUAGGAAGCUCACCCAUUCGAUCAAUUCUUAUCAUGACAGGAAAAGAUGAAAAAUUAUCUCAAGACUUGGUAAACAAAUUCCCUACAAAUUACAUGCUACUGAAGGUACUUGAUUUUGAAGGUUCUGGUUUACGUUAUGUUCCUGAAAAUUUGGGGAAUUUAUGCCACUUGAAGUAUUUAAGCUUCCGGUAUACAUGGAUAGAAAGUCUACCAAAAUCCGUUGGUAAGCUCCAGAAUUUGGAGACCUUGGAUAUAAGAGACACAUAUGUGUUUGAGAUUCCAGAGGAGAUUAUGAAGCUUAAAAAGCUACGUCAUCUUCUGAGUAACUAUAUAUCUUCAAUUCAAUGGAAGGAUAUUGGAGGCAUGGCAUCCCUACAAGAGAUACCUCCAGUGAUUAUAGAUGAUGAUGGAGUGGUCAUUGGAGAGGUUGGAAAGCUAAAGCAGUUAAGGGAACUGACAGUGAGAGAUUUUGAGGGAAAACACAAAGAGACUCUGUGUUCCUUGAUAAAUGAGAUGCCACUCUUGGAGAAACUACUUAUUGAUGCAGCUGAUUGGUAUGAAGAAAUUGACUUGUACAUUACGUCACCUAUGUCUACACUUAGGAAGCUUGUCCUAUGGGGGACGUCAACAAGGUUGACAAAUUGGAUUUCACAGUUCCCAAAUCUUGUGCAACUGUGUUAGCGCAACUCCAGGUUGACUAAUGAUGCAUUGAAGUCACUAAAAAAUAUGCCAAGGUUGUUGUUCCUCAUUUUAAGAGACAAUGCUUAUGAAGGUGAAACUUUGCAUUUUCAAUGUGGAGGGUUUCAGAAACUAAAGCAACUGAACCUCGGAAGUUUGGAUCAAUUGAAGUGCAUCCUUAUCGACAGAGGAGCACUGUGUUCUGUGGAAGAAAUUGUUUUAGAAGGCCUCUCCCAACUCAAAACAGUUCCCUCUGGAAUUCAACACCUGGAGAAACUUAAAGAUCUCUAUAUCAACUGCAUGCCAACUGAAUUUGAGCAGCGCAUUGCUCCUGAUGGAGGAGAAGACCACUGGAUCAUCCAAGAUGUGCCCCGUGUAUGUAUUUGGAGCAGGGAUGCUUUAGAACCUUCGCAUCUAUUCGGCAGAAGUCAUCACUAAGAUGCGUCCAAAUUUGAAAAAUGAAGGUGCAUCUUUUUCACAUCUAUAACUUUGUAGAAUGACAUUCGUGGCCUUUUUCUUUUCUUCAAUAAAAAAUGCAACCAUUAUUAUCUAAUUCCUAAAAUAAUUACUUUUGCCUCAUUUUCUCUUCUAGUAUUUGCUUCAUUUUUCUUUCUCUACAACAUCUCACGUACAAGUUAGGGAUAGAAUUGUCUAACAAGUAUAUGCCUACACCAACCAAAGUUAACGUUUCUUCGUCAUAAGAUUCUCACCAUUAUAAUCCUUUCUAUUAUUGUGCUCAGAAUUGGUAGAUGUUGACCUCAACUGGAUUGAGUUUUUUUAUUUCCAUGUUGAUAAGUACUCGAACAAUUUCAUUGUAUCAUUUUAAGAAGAAAUUAACUUGAUGUUUUUAUAGGGUCGUAAGCAUAUAUUUCGUGUAAAUGUAGUGGAUUUUUAAAGUUCCAUUACGAUAAUGUGGAUUUUUUUCAUAAAUUAGAUUGUGUUAAAUGUUCCUAAUUUUUAUGCUUUGAAGUUUGACCGACUUUGUACAAACAUGAAUUUUAGGAAAGCACCAAGGGAAGAUUGUAAGAGGUGUUCAAAUUCGUUCCAAUCUUGCGGUUUUUUGAGUGUUAAUUAUUACGCCCAUUUUAGCGUUAUUAACACCAACACAAUACGAAAAAGCUGAAAAUAGUAUUCCUAUAAAGGCAGACAAUUUUUGACAACUGGAAAACUCAGAUUCCCUCAAGUUCUUUCUUUUGCUGCCUGUGAAAUGGUGGAUGAGUGGAUUUGAGGCAUCAAAGUGCAAGAUUCAUCAAAUUAAUUUUUUAAGCUUCCUUCUUCUCUUUCUCUUUUUUUUUUUGUCUUUUUUCUAAAAUGCGUACUUAAAUUUUUGUUAACUUGAUGUUAUUUGAAUUCUUAUCGAUAAUUCAAGUUCAUUUCUUUUAAAUUGAUUGUUUGUCUUUGUUUUAAUUUAAUGCCUUUAUAAAUUGGCAUUUGGUCACUUAUAGUGCAUUGAUCGUAUAUUCCUAUCGACAACUGUGUGAAAUUGAAAUAAGGAUUGAAUUUAAUAUAUAAUGCAACAAGGUUGGAGAUUCUAUAGGAAUAAAGAUCAACAAUUACGAUAAUUUAGAUUUUCUUGAACCUAAUGAUUGCCCUAAUUGAAAAAUUCUAAAAAUUUAGAAUUUUCAAUUGCGGAAAAGAGUUUUUGAGUUAAGAUAUAUUCACCUUCAAUUACAAUAGUAAAUAAUAAAUUCAGUUUCCAAUUAUGCUUCUAGAACUUGAAUUGGAGUACGUGAAAAUUUGGGUUGUACAUGUUAAGCUUAGAAUGAACUCUUAGUGUAACAAGACAUGUUUGAUUUUGGCUUAGCACUUUAAUCCUCUUACCAUAGUGCUUCAGCAAUUUUGGUACCCAAACUUUUAUGUUCAGGUUUGAUCCCAUAUCUUUCAAAAACAUUUAAUGGUUCAAUAUAUAUUAUUAAACUCAAUUUAUAUAUCACUUAUCUGGAGUAAGAUAAAUUUUCAAGGCUUAAUUUUAUCUUUUUGUCUCAUUCAUUAUUUAUUUUAUUCAAUUUUGUCCUCCUAAUAAUAAAAUCUUUAAUUUGAUCGCUUAAUUCCAAAUCGAUUCAAUUUGAUCUCUUCUGUCCAAAUUCACUUAACAUUGUUUAUUAAUAGUGGGAUGAGAUUGAAUCAAAUAAAGGAACAAAUUAAAUUGUUUAUUAAAAUUGAAAAAACAGUGAGAACAAGAAGUUUAUUAAGGGGUCAAAUUGCACCGUUUUGAAAAUUAAAGUGCUAAGUUAAAUUGUUUAUUAAUAGAGGACCAAUGCUAAAUAAAUAGUAGGAUAAAAAAGUAAUUUUUUUUUACUUUCAAAAAAUUUGAAAAUUUUAUUGAAUUCUAAAAUAUUCAAUUAAUUUGCCUAGUUUUUUUUUUGUUUAUUCACUCUUUUUUUCCGUUUAAUCCUUGAUGUUUCAAAACUUCAAAACUCUUUUUGAUCACAAAUAUAUUUUAACUCAUGAAAAAACACAACAAUAUAAGUGCAUAUGAUGUAUGAAGAUUUUGAUGAUGCCAAAAAGAUUAAAGCUAUUCAACGUUGAUUCAAGUUAAGACAAGAAAUCAAGAGAAACAAUUUACAAUAGACCUUUAUAUGUUAAAAGAAUCUCUUAAAAAGGUUGCAAAUAUUUGGCCUUAAAAGACUUAAGCUUUUAAAUAUCUUAUAAAGUUUUUAAGUAAACAUUACAUUUUGAAACAUAUGUAUUUCUCCCUGGUAAUCGAUUACCAGAGACUGUAAUCGAGUAUCAGAAGCAAAAAUGGUUUUAACGGCUUUUAGAAAAGUUUGAAUUUGAAAUUUAAAAGUUACAAUUGAUUACCACUAUUGUGUAAUCGAUUACUAGUAACAGAAAAUUUUAAAUUCAAACUGAAAAGGCAUAACUCCUCAAAAUUAACUGUAAUCGAUUACCACAUAUUUGUAAUCAAUUACUACCAGUGAGGAAAUUUUGAAAAUAACUCUAAAAAGUCACAACUAUUUACAAGUUUUUUGAAAGAUCACAGAAGGCCUAUAAAUAUGUGACUUGUAUUCGAAAUUUUUCAGAGUUUUUCAGAACAUUCAUCGUCCUAUCCUCUCACAAGAAAACCUUUGAUCAAACACUUGCAAAAUCAUUAAGGAUGCUUAUAAGUUCUUCAAGUUGUAUCAUUCUUUUCUAAAAGAGAGAAAAAUAAUCUUUUGUACUUCAAAGUAAUCUGUUGUUAAUCAAGAGGCAGUGAGUCUCUUGAUUUGUAAAGUUUUUUGAAUACAAGGGAAGGGUAUCCCUGGGUGGUUCAGAAGUUGUAAAGGGAUUUACAAGUUAGUGGAAAUCCCAAGUGGAUUACUUGAGAACUGGACGUAGGCACAGGGCGUGGCCGAACCAGUAUAAAACUGAGUUUACAAUUCUCUCUUCCCUAAACUCUUUUACUUUAUUGCAGUUUAAUUUUACUUUGCACAUUUAAAGAAGCAUCAAGUAAAUUGAAGUUUAAUCAAUUGCAUAAUACUAAUCAUUUGCAUGUAAUUAGUAGAUUUAGGUAGAGAAUGUUUUAUGUCAAAUUGCAUGAUCAAACUAUUUGGGUAAUCUCUUAUAGAUUAGUUAAUCUUUAAUUAAUUUUUUCCUAUAAUUGAUUUUCUUUUGACUUAAAUUGAUAGAUCCAUGAUCAUUGGGGUAUUGAUAUAAGGCAAGGAGCAUCUUCUAACCUUGAUCAUAGACUUUAGUUCAUUUUGUGAAUUAGUAAUUAACUGGAGAAAGAAUUUUAUUACCAUUAGGAUUGAGGGAAAAUUAAUAAUAGUAAGUCAUAACCCCUGAUCACUCUUAUCAUUACUGAACCUUUUCUUUAUAUUCGUAUAUUUGUUUUCUUAUAAAACCAAAACAGUGAAAAUAUUUAAACUAUCCUUUUAAUUACUUCAACUGUUAAUUUAAUAAACUUAACUAAUUGGAAAUACAACUCGUCAUUUGGGUUUGAUAUCUGUGACACCUUUUACUCCAUACAUAUAUGUACUAAUAAGAAAAGAAAUAAGAAAUCAAACUUAAUUAAAAGUUUUUAAAACACAUUUAAAUACAAGCCUUUCAAGAGGGUAGAAGACUCACAUUCACCUUUCUAACAUCAAAAUAAAACUUGUUCAAAUAAUUAAUAAAUUAUUUCGGCUCAAAACAAGGUUGUCCAAGACCUCAUACAAUUAAUAUAGCAACUUAUGCCCUAAUGUCACAUCCUAUCAGAGCAUUGUGUCCCGACAUCUUUCAGCACAAGGUUCCUUACAACAAUUCACCUAGUCAUCUGCUCCCCCGAACAUAAAGUUCGAGAUCAUCACAGGAUUCAAACACAAACAACAAAGGGAGUGAGUUAUCACAUUCCUAACUAAUAGAGAAAAAUAAGACAACAUAUAGGUAUAAAUAUUAUAUAACAAAAUACAAUUUACUUGAGCAUAACUCACGUUAUUUCACCACAUAUCUCAUUCAUUUUCACAACAUUCGCAUACUCAAUAGUUCAAACACAAUAUCAUCAAAUCAAUUAAUAUAAAACAAUACACAAGCGUUAUGCAGCAGAUACACUAAGACUCAAUCCUAUAUACAAUAUGAUACCAUGUCAGUGAAAAACUCGCGGGUGCCUAGGAGUACAUGACAAGACAAAUCACACACUAGCAAGUCAAGUCACUCUCACUAGGUAAUAUCAUAGGGAGACCAGUCAAGGUCACAGUGUUUUGCGAGAAUGCUCCAACCAUAUGGGAUCAACAUAGGCUUAAAGGAGCACUCAAACUGGGUGAUCCCCAAGGCCUACACUCCGAAGAGUCCGUCAGGGCCUCUCCCUCCUGAUUCAGGUCCAACCCAAAAAAUAUUUUAGCACACAAACUCUAUCUAUGAAUUGUACAAAACACACGAGUCCUCAAUUGUUCUCAAAUAUUUAUAACUCGUCGCCCUUUAAGGGUUUAAGCAUUAACUCGUCGCCUUUAAAGGGUCUUAGCAUUAACUCGUCACCCUUAAAGGGACUUAGCAUUAACUCAUCGCUCUUAAAGGGUCUUAGCAUUAACUCGUCACCCUUAAAGGGUCUUAUAGUCGUGUGAUUGUACAAUCCGUAGUUUACAACUCAAUGCACACAACAUCUCAAUCACGUGCAUACUCAGGUUAUCACAUACACUCGAUCUCAAUUACAAUGGUAUAAUCUCAAAAUAGCAUGUUAUCAUCCCUCAUGAAUAAUAAUAUUCACUUUACCUAUGAACUAUGCAAUACAUACAACUACUCAAUUAUUUUCAAAAUCAUUUUAGCUCGUCGGGUUCCCACAGUGGAUCUCAUCACAAUACCCAUCGCCCUUAAAGGGUCUUACAAUUAUGUGAUUGCACAGUUCAUAGCUCACAACACAAUACACAUCUCAAUAUACAUGUAUUCUGUCAUUUAUCACAUGUUCAAUUCAUCACAUACUCACAAUUUGAAUCAUCGUUUCAUAUCCUCAAUAUAACAAUCUAUACAAAAGACUAUCACAACCUGGAGACUAAAACCUCUCAAAUAAUAUUACACAAUUAUAUCAAAAUCAUAGGUCAAAAUAUACAAAUAUCAAGAGCACAAUUUAUCAAGCAAUUCUCAUCAUAACAUCAAUAUUUUAUUUAUAAUCAUAAAGGAAAAAUUGCAAUUUAAUAAACAUCCCAAAAUAAAACCCCAAUUUAAUCCUCUAAGGAUCCCUACACAUGUUCUCACUAACCCCUAAUUGUGAAUAACUCAUCCCUUACCUCUAAGCGGACUCACAUGUUUUCCAACAGCGAUAGCGACAUCUCUAGUGGUUUCCUGAGAUUCCUCCAGCUUUUCCUCCGACUGCUCUGAUAAAGUUCCCAAACGUCAGUGAGACCUUGUGAGAUUUCUUUUUCUCUCUCCAUGAGUAUUAUCUCGCAAAUCCCAACAGUGAAGAUGUGUGUAAUUGAAUUUCGAACCACAUAUCAAAAGUUCAUGAAAAUCUAACGGUUAAAGAAACCGGGAUAGUAGUUUUACUGAGACCAUUUUGGGUUUCUGCGGGAAAAGAGAAAGCUAUGGUGUGAAGGGUAUUUCUCUUAACUCUGACAUGUAUUUCCAAAUCCCAACGAUGAUAAUUCUCGGAAUUGAGUUGUGAACAUGAUGCUCAAAUUUCACGACGAUCCAACGGUGAAUGCGUCCGAAAUCAUCGUUUUUCUGAGACAGGUUUGGUGGGCUGCGGGAAAAAGAAAGAGUUUUGAGAGGAGAAGAGAAAAAACAAAAAUAAGGGAAAGAAGAUGUACCGUUAAUGUGAAACUGACCUAACGCUAUUUAUAGUUAGGUUUAAUCUAUUUAUUUAUUUAUUUAUUAUUUUAUAAAAACAAACGCUAUUUUAUUCUCUAUCAAACAAAUAAAUAAAAUACCUUUUUUAUUUUCUCUCAAAUCAUUAUUUUAAUUAAUAAUUAUAUCUCCUUAUUUAUUUAUUUAUAAAAUCUCAUCAUUUUUCUAAAACUCUAUUUAUUUAUAAAUAACAAUUCUUUUUUUAAAUUAGCUUACGAAAAAUGGGAUGUUAUAAUAUCCAUACUUUCAAAACCACUAUUAUUGGCAUAAGGUACACUUAUCCCUGUGCAAGCCUAUCAUAUUUUGCACAUGAGGUAUAACAGACAUAUUGGACAUACAAGGAUGACAACAUGUAGCAUUUGCAUUUCUGGUUUUGGGAAUAAAAGAAGAAAUCUAAAAUGAAAACACUAAGGAGAUUUAUUUACCAAGGAAAAAUUAGGGGUAAAGAACAAGAAUGCAAUGGUACAACUAUGAAUUUUCCUAUUAUAUCAGUACACAACAUGAAUAAUCACAAUUGGUGUAGUUCUAUAACUAGUGUUGUAUGAUCAGAACAUGAAAAAAAAUACAACAAAUUUCUAGGAAUACAAAAAAGAAAGUGACAUUUAGGAAUUCCCUUUAAUCCAAGUAGGAUCUGAUGCCAGACAAAUUGUUUUGAUUUUUAUCAUAUGCGCAGUCUCUGCUAUCAAAUUGAUAAUAAUACUAACAACAGUUGAAUUAGUAAUGCUCCUGAUAUAUUGCUCGAAAACCUGCUCUUGAUGCCUGAUCAUCAUAAGUAUAGGAGGAAGUUGCAUUAUGCGGCACAUCAAAAUCCUCUCUAUACAGUGGUUGCAAUGCAGACUCCGGUAAUUUGCUCUUUGUACUGUACUGCUUCAUGGUAUUAAUCUCUGUGUUGUGUUUUCUUUCCAGCUUCUCAAUUUGCAUCUUCAAAUUUUCAUUUGCAAAGUUCUGUAUAACAUAAGAAUAAGAAAUGUGUUAAGACGGAACAUAUGCUCAUUCUCCUCAACCGCAGUUACUGGUUUUAAAGUCACAUUAUUCUCCUUUUUUUUAUUUGCAAUUUUGGCAUUUGAUAAUGAGGAGGUCCGAGAAGUUAGUGGAAUAUAAAUGAUAUAAUCCAUCUUAAGAACAUUCUCUGUUUCCUUUUUCCCUUUUAGCAGCUAAAACACCACCACAUAUUUCUUCUUCCACCACAUCAAGUUGUUGAAGUUUGCCGUGUGGCAACACCAACCAAUCCCUCCACCCCAACAUUCUUGUCUCUCACCUUCUUUGACAUACACUGGCUAAGGAUUCCUCAAACGGAGAGUGUUUGCUUCUAUGAAAUUUCCAAACUAUCCACUUUAUUCUUUGACUCCUCGAUUCUUUCAAAUCUUAAACACUCUUUCCCUCACACUGCAUUCUUUCGGAAAGCUUCAUUUAAAGGAAAACGCCCAACUCCUGACUGUACCCUCUGGCAUUCAAUACUUACAGAAACUUGAAGUUUUCAUUGUCUGGAAUAUGUCAACUGAAUUUGAUAAGAGCAUUGCUUCCAAUGGAGGACAAGAUCAUUGGAAGAUCCAACAUGUGCCCCACGUUAGCAUUGCUUCAUCUAGAGACAUGUUAUGCCCCUUGUGAAUCAAACUAAUGAUUUCCUUGUGAUUUUGGAAGAGACCGGGAGUGACUAUUAGAGGAGAAGGCACCAAUUAAUUAAUUCAUCAUCAACUUAAGAGCUUAGACAGGUGAGGGGAGUGAGUACAUCACUCCAUAUUUUGAGCUAGGGAAAUGAAGGAAAAUAUAUAUACUUGGUUUGCUCCUGUUUGAACAUGUUUGAAGUUUGAAGAACUAGGAUUUUGGGUCCCCCACUACAAAAUCCUAGCUAGGGCUUAAGCAUUUGGUCUUAAUUAUUCUUCGUUAUUGUAGUUGUUUUGAUUCUUCGUUAUUGUUAGUAUGUUUCCAUUUCAUUUUUGUGGUGCUUGAUGUGUUUUUAAAUUUGGUGGCUUAUGUUCGAAUCCAUGGAUGCAAGUGGUAAUAUAUAUGUGCGGUUGCAUUCCCUGGUCAUGCAUGGAGAAAUUUGGCUCUGUUCUGAUUUUUGGUGUUUUGAUCUGAGCUUGAAAGCAUUUUAAUUCUUAAGUUAUUAUAUAUGCUAUUUUGAUAUAUAUAGGAAAUGUGAUGUUUAUACGAUUGUGAAGCUUAGAUGGUACAUUCAUGUUGAAAAAAGUGAUUGAUGUUCACUUUGGAUGGAGUAUUCUAUGUUUUCACCCAUUCUGUUAGAUUUGUUUAAUGAGUUGUGGUGUGUUAAAGUUUAAAGGGAAAAAAAAGUAUUCUAUGUUGAUACAUUGGUUCUAUCCAUUUCAUGCAUUGCUGAGACGUAUGUUGGAUGAGCUUUGCAAAGAAAAAAAGGAGGACCCUCCCAAGGAUGUUUCUACCAUCAAGUCGUUGACAAAAGAAGUCAGAAACUGCUUGUGCAAUAAGAGGUAUGUUGUCUUGUUUCAUGACAUAGGGAAUGAAAAAUUUUGGGAUCACAUGAAUCUGCUGUAGUUAAUGAUAAAAAAUGGAAGUAGGAUACUAAUCACAACCAGGAAUGAGAAGGUUGCAGAAUUUUGUAAGAAAUCUUCAUUCGUGGAGGUGCUUAAGCUAUAAGAAUCUUUAAGUGAAGAAGAAUCUUUGAAAUUGUUCGGUAAGAAAGCAUUUCAGAAUAGUUCCGAUGGACAUUGUGCAAAAGAACUUAAAGACAUAUCUCUUGAAAUUGUUAGAAAGUGUAAAGGUUUACCUCUAGUAAUUGUGGCCAUUGGUGGUCUUGUCUCAAAAAGAUGAAAGUGCACCUGAAUGGGGUUUGUUUAGUCAAGAUCUAAGUUUAGGUUUAAGUUAUGAUGAUUUAAGUGGAAGUAUAGGAAGCUCACCCCGGUCAACUCUUAUUAUCAUGGGAAAAUAUGAAAAAUUAUCUGAACAAUUGGUAAGGAAAAUCCCUAUAUAAUGCUAUUGAAGGUUCGGGAUUACGUUAUGUUCCUGAAAAUUUGGGAAUUUAUUCUACGUGAGAUACCUACAGUGACUAUAGAUGAUUGGAAGGAUAUUGGAGAAUUUAUUCUACGUCAUCUUCUAGAUUAUUCUUCGUGUUCAAUUCAAUGGAAGGAUAUUGGAGGCAUAAUAACUUUGUAGAAUGAUAUUCAUGGCCUUGUUCUUUUCUUGAAUAAAACACGCAACCAUUCUUAUCUAAUUCCUAAAAUAAUUACUGUUGCCUCCUUUUCUCUUGUGGUAUUUGCUUCAUUUUUUUUUCUCUACAACAUCACGCAUAGAAGUUAAGGAUAGAAUUGUCUAACGUACAGUACAUGCUUGCAACAAUAAUAGUCAUUGUUUUCUCAUUAGAAGAGUCUCACCGUUAUAAUCCUUUGUAUUAUUGUGCUCAGAAUUGGUGGAUGUUGAGAUCGAAUGGGUUGAGUUUUUUAUUGCCAUGUUGAUAGGCGUUAGAAUUGAGACUUUUCUUGUUAUUAUAAAUGUAAAAUAUGUUGCUGUCAUAUUUCUGAUAUAUAUCAAUUUCGUCAUUUUGUAGUAGGUGGAAUUGGGUGAAAAACCAUGUUUUAAGGAAGUGAGUAAGCUAUGUCAGUAUUAGUUGUAACUUUUUUGCUUGUAACUUUAUAUUUUCACCAAAUGCAAGUCUCUCUAUGUAAGCUGAAAACAAGAGAAUGAAAAUACACUUCCCAUUCCACCAAUUUCUGUUGUGUGCUCUUAUGCUGCUCUCUUCAGUCAUGCUCUUAUGCUGCUCUCUUCAGUCAUGCUCUUAUGCUCUCUUAGUUUUUAGUUUGACGAUAAGUUCUUGAACAAUUUCAUUGUAUCAUUUAAGAAGAAAUUAAUCUGGUGUUUUUACAGGGUUGCAAGCAUUUAUUUCGCUUAAAUUUUGUGGGUUUUUAAUGUUCUAUUAUGGUUGAAGCACAAUGUGGAUUUAUAUAGAUUAGAUUGAGUUAAUUUUUCCUAAUUUUAAUGCUUUGAUCCACUUUUUACCAUCAUGAAUUUCAGGAAAGCUAUGAGAGAAGAUUUGUAAGAGGUGUUUCCAAUGUUGUCCAUGUUAGACUCAUCAUAAUUAAAACCAGGACGUCAGAAUGAAGCUGUAAAUAGUGUUCUUACAGAUGCAGACAAUUUUUUACAACUGGAAGAUCCCCCUCAAGUUCUCUUUUUCCGGCCCUUGAAAUGAUGGAUAUGUGGGUUUGACGAUCAAAGUGGAAGAUUCAUCAUGUUACGGUAAGAGUUGUUCACCAAAACGAAAAAGCUAAACAUGUAACGUAAGCGAAAAAAAUGUGGAUUUCAUGCUAAACAUGUAACGUAAGUGAAAAAAAAAGUUAUAAAUUGUCAGUCCAAAUUAAUUAAACAUUUUUUCAGAAAAUUAUAUAUUUUUAUUUAUUCAAAAGCAAUAUAUAUAAUAAGUUUCAUUACUUUUAUAAUAACUACGUGAUAUAAUUUAUCUUAAGUAAGAUACUAAAAUUCAGGCUUAUUCACUAAGAAAUUAUUUUUUCUUUCAAUGCUUAAAUUUGUUUUACUAUUACUAAAUAGUUUAAUUUGGACGAACAAGUUGUUGGUCUUAGUGGAACUAAACACUAUUCCCUUAAGCUAAAUUUUGGAUUCAAAACUUGUGGAUAGAAAAAAUAUGAUUGGAAUGUAAAAUCUCAUUAAAGGUGGUCAAACAGAUUCUCCAACACAGAUUUGUCAUAAACAAAAUUAAUAAAUACUUUGCAAGAAUGUCAUGAUAACCAAAAAAAUAGUUAAUUUUGGUCCCUUAAGUUUAAAAUCAAUGCAAUUUGAUCCCUUUUAUCCAAAUCGACUUGAUGUUUAUUAAGAGAGUGGGAAGAAGUUCAACAAAAUAUGGAACCAAAUUGAACCGAUUAUUAUUAGUGAAAUGAAGUUGAACAAAAUAAAUAAAUAGGAAGACCAAAAAAGUUUAUUAAGGGAUAAAAUUGUGUCAUUUUGAAAAUUAAUGGACAAAUUGAACCAUUUACUAAUAGUGGGACAACGUUUACAAAAUAAAUAAAUUGUGGGACAACAAAAAGUAAUUAAUCUUUUUUUUAACUAUCAAAAAAUUUGAAAAGGAUUAAUAGUGAUGCACUAACAAUGUUGUUAACUAGUUGGCAAGUGUACCAAAUUGUCACAAGUACUAAAGUACUCGAAAGUCCGAGUGUCGAAUCCACAGGGAUUUUGUGUUGUACUUAUCUUGGAUACUUUUAAAUUUAUAAGGGAAUAAAAGAAAGAGUAGAAGAUAGAAGGCAAUAAUAGUAAAUUAGAAAUAAAAAGCAAAAGAAUUAAAAGUAGAAUAAUUAAAGAGAGAAUUCAAUGAAAUGCGAAUGUUAGGAGCUAGCAUGCCUUGUUUUCCCAGGAUGUAUGAGUUUAUGAUUUCUGUUCAUUUACUUGUCCCUGAUUCCACACGAUGACAAGCCUAUUUUAUUCAUCUAUCUCUCAAAUUCCUUUGCAAAGACUCAACAAAUAAAAUGCAUGAAGUAUGAAUUCUAGAUGUUUGCAAGAAUACAUGGGCAUCAAAUUAUCAUUCUAUUUCUAGCAAUGACUUUCUCAUGAAAUCCUUUCUUUUUAUUCUAUUACAAGUUACCCUCUUCCGAGUGUCUAAUCCCUAAAACUAAUGCAUACAUAUUUUCUUUAAAUCUUAUUUAGAAGUUACCCUCUCCCGGGUGUCUAACCCCUAAAAGGAUAUAAAGAUGAAUAAUGCAAGAUAAAAGCAGAAAAGAUAAUAGAAUAGAAAAACGUAGAAAAUAAUCCUGUUGCAUUGAUAAAUAUGAAGUACAUCAUACAUCUCUUUGGCUUUUUAGGCCUGUCAGGCCCUAACUAGGGAGUUUAGCCACUCAUGGCCAUUGAGGGCUUUACAAUGGAAGGGGUGAAAGAAAGAUGAUAAAAAGAGAGAAGAAAGUAAGAAUUCUCAGGCUUUAAGUAAUAGUGAGAGUACUCUCAGACAUCGUGGGUUUUCUCAUUGGCUUGACUCUCCAUUUAUAGUUGAUGAAGUGGACUUGGGCUUGAUUCAAAAAAUCUUCCUUAUCUAUCUUUUUGAUAUCUUUUGGAUCUUAUAAAUCUUAUCUUUCCUAUAUCUGCAAGUCAUAGAUAAGAAAAAUAUCAAUUCAUAUCUUUUAAGCCAAAAAUAACUGCUAAAUAAAUAUCUUUAAAGAUAUUUUUACAUUAGCUCAUAUUUAGCAAUUAUCAAUAUCUUUUGGAUCUUGUAAUCUUAUCUUUUCAUAUCUAUAAGCCAUAAAUAAUAAAAGUAUCAAUUCUUAUCAUUUAAGCCAAAAAUAACUGCUAAAUAAAUAUUUUCAAAUAUAUUUUCAAUAUAUUUUUAUUAUAAAAUAACUCAUAUUUAGCAGUUAUCAAAAUCUCCCAAAUUAAAACUUUGCUUGUGCUCAAGCAAAUCAGAAUAAAAGCAGGCUCUAAAUGCUUCAACACUUUCAAUGGGUGCAAUUUUUCUCAAAUUCCCUUAGCUGGACCUUCUUGCAUUUGUCAUGAUCUUGCAAUGGAAGCAUAAACAAACACUAAGAUAGAAUUGGUUAGUGACCGAUCGUCGUCUCUUCCCGGCGCUGGACAAGCAGAGAACGUCGCUGCAAGGCAGCCCAGUAUCCUUUGAAUUCACAGUGAUUAUUACUAUUUUCAAUCAAAUUUGGCUUGCCUUACUUUCCUCACAAGGCUGGUGUUUUCCUCUGCUCACAAGUGUCUGGUUUAGUGUUUGCAAUUUAUACGACAUGCAAUUAAUGUUCCCAAUUUUACACUUCAUCUCAGUUAAAGUUAUCAUGCUUACACUUGGUGGAUCACUAACGACUUUUAUUGGCUUGUAAUGUGGCAUGCAUGGCUAAACAAAGAUGUUGAGGUGUUUGGCAAGUGUACCAAAUCGCUCUAAGUAGUAAUUCUUGAAAGUCCGAGUAUCGUUUCCAUAGGGAUUUUAUUGCACUUUAUUGAAUACUCUUCAAUUUGCAAGUACGGAAUAAAUAAAUAUUUAAAAAUUCUAUCUCUUCUCACUUCUUUUUAUUGAAAUGAAUUGGGCCUAUGGUUUGUAAAAGGUGUCCUACUGUGUGCUGUACUAUUGUCUUGGCCACUUAUUCUCAAAAUCCCCCAAAUUAAGACUUUUAUAACCCCAUUUUGCUCUCUUAAAAUCCUAAAGGGUCAGGAUUAUCAUUUUAUUGGCUCAAGGGUUAAUUCAAAAUAAUAUGUUGGCUCAAUCAAGGGUGCAAGGGGUAAAAUUAUGUUGGGUUGGCUUAAAAACAGGCGUUUUUCUCUCACAAUUAAGUUCACACUCUCACCGGGACUAAGCAAGUAUUCGAUGUACCAGUUAUGACCUUGUUCCAUCAAGCUAACCUUUUCCACUCUGUGCUACUCAUGUUCCUUUUCUUGACCUGACUUGUGCUUUCAGAACCAGUGUUUCUACAAGGAUCAGUAGCAUCUCAAGUGUUGAACCUUUCAUAACAAGCUAAAGAAUUAUGAUGCUCAAGUUAUCAUGCACUUAUUACUCAGAAAACACAUACUGAAUACUAAUAUUAUUACUACUACUUCUUUUUACUUACCAAAUAGACUACAAGAAAACAUCAAAACAUAAAAACAUCAAAAUUUCAAAACAUCAAAACAUAAAAACAUGUGCUGCCUCCGCCCAAGUCUGCCCAUGGGCCCCAAUCAGCGCUAGCCAAGUCAGCAAUGAGGUCUUCAUCAACUGUAGGAUCCUCAGUAUCGGCUCUAGAAAGCUCUUCCCCCCUGUUAGUGGAGGGCUGGUCUCCUGGCCAGGCAUUGUGCUGACGAUAAGCCUCUGGAGUGAUGAGCGGUGGGUCCAUCUACAGGUGCAAGGAUAGCCUGUGCAUGUUCUCCAUAAUGAGUUGUUGUCCUAUGUGAAUGGACCUCAGCAUCUAACCAUGCAUGUCCAGGGGUGCUGAGGUGGAAGCAGGUGGAGGGCACGGUCUCUGGGAAGAAGGCUGAGAAGGGGCCUCUGAUGCUAAUGCUAAACCUCUGGUGUGUGUGUGGCGGGUCCCUAGAAAUGUGAUAGAUGGAUUGACGGGGUUCCAGUAGUUCUUCUUAAUGUAAGCAAGGUUGAUCACAGGACUGAGUGACUCAAAAAUCAGGGUAUCAGAGACAACCCCUAAAUCUCACACAGUGUUGUGAUCAACGCUGGAAACCCGAGCCUGGAAAUGCUGGACUGGGCGAUCUAACUGAUCAGAAGAGAAAUGAGGCUGUCCACGUCCAGGUCCAUCUUCAUCACCAAGCCAUAUAUGAGUCGGGCCCUGUCAACAUUAAUAUCAGAAGUAUGAGAAGUAGGAGCAAGAUUAAAAUAAGAGAGAACACUCCAUGUCUGAGCGAGUGUUGUCAGAUCCUUCAGCAGCAGUUUCUAGGGGGCACCAUCAACAUUCAGCACAAAUUGUCCCCCUAGUGUACACAAGGCGGAGAGGAUGGCGUCAUGGUCUGGAGGAGUGCGGAGGUACUGAGAGUAGGCUGGAUACUCCUCUCUAUCUGCCAGGAUGACCGGGGUGUCAACGAAGUCAUUAAUCGUCUCAGCAUCGAAUCUGACCACCUGUCCUCGAACCCUGGAAAACUUCGGAUUACGGUCCUCUGGAUCAUAUAGGUUGGAGUAAAACUCCUUCACCCGAGCAACAUCAAUCCGCUUCUCUGGAAGUCGGGUCAGAACCUGGUCCCAUCUGCGCCUCUGGAACUCCUGGAGGAACUUAUCAAACAUCCCUGGUCCAAGCUUUACAUUCCUCUCCGGAAGGAUGUUCCGGAGCUGAAUGUUGUCCUGGUAUCUGUGCCAAGCAAUCUCGGAUGUGAAACGGGAAGAGUCCCAGGUGGACGCUUCCCCGAAUGUAGGCACGACUCGACGUUUGCGGGAGGCCAUCUGAAAUGAAAACAAGAAACAACAGAAAUAGACUGCAGUUAGUAAAUAGAGGGGGUGCAAAAAGAAAUCAGAAUAGGGGUGUAGUCAGUAAAGAUGUGGGUGAAAAGAGAAAUCCAAAGGGGAGUGUGGUUAGUAAUAAAGUGGGUGCAACAAGUAAGGCGCGAGGCUGAUGGGCCCUAAGGCCCAGCCCCGCGCUUAGCGCGUUCACUGAUGUUCAUGAGCGCGCUUAGUGCGGCAGUGUCGGCUAAGCGCGUGCUUCGGUUUUCUGCUGUUACUUGCUGUGGCUUAGCGCGCUCCUCUUUUCUUCUCCAUGUUACCUGUUCCCGCUAAGCCUAUGUGAAAGGCUUAGCAUGAUGAUACCUGCAAAGUAUUACAGCAAUAGUCCAGAUUCAAAUCUCACCUAUUUUUGUGUAAUCUGCGUGAAAAGGCACAGGGGAGCAGGCAGGUGAAGAGAGAAUUCAGAGAAAAAGAGUGUAGAGAGUGGAAGGCAUAGAAGAAAAGAAGAAAAAUGAGGUGAUUUGAAAUUUAAAAUAAAACAAAAGGGCAGUUUAGGGGUUGGACAGUUUCAAAUUCAUGGCCCUGGAUGCAUUGUUAUCAAAGUUGAGCAACUUAAGAGCCCAAUAUGCUUUGUGCUCCAGCUCCACUGGUAAAUGACAUCCCUUCCCAUACACUAGCUGAAAUGGUGAUAAGCCGAUGGGAGUCUUGAAUGUUGUCCUAUAGGCCCAGAGAGUAUCAUCGAGCUUCAAGGCCUAAUCCUUUCUUGAUGACGCCACUAUCUUCUCCAGGAUUCGUUUGAGCUCCCUGUUAGAAAUUUUUGCUUGGCCGUUUGUCUAAGGGUGGUAAGGUAUGGCCACCUUAUGUCGUACAUCAUAGUGCUCCAGGACUUUCUUCAACUGAUUGUUGCAGAAGUGCAUUCCCCCAUCACUAAUCAAAGCUCGUGGGACUCCAAAACGGGAAAAGAUGUUCUUCUUCAGAAAUUUGAUCACUACCCUGGCAUCGUCUUUCGGUGUGGCUAUGGCUUCCACCCAUUUGGAGACGUAAUCCACAACUACCAAGAUGUAGACGUUCCCGUAUGAAGAAGGAAGGGGCCUCAUGAAGUCUAUGCCCCAACAGUCAAAGAUCUCUACUUCCAUGAUAUUCUGCAAAGGCAUCUCAUUCCUUCGAGAUAUCCUCCCUGUUCUCUGACAUUUAUCACAGCAACGCACAAACUCGUAAGCAUCUUUAAAAAUAGAAGGCCAGAAAAAACCUGAUUGUAGCACUUUUUUUGUUGUUCUGUCCCCACUGUGGUGACCGCCAUAUGGUGAACUGUGGCAGUUCCACAGAAUGCUCCAUGCUUCCUCCUUUGUGACACAUCUCCUUAAUAAAUUAUCUGCUCCUGCCUUGAACAAAUAAGGAUCAUCCCACACAUAGAAGCGUGCAUCGUGCAAGAAUUUCUUCCUCUGACUCCAAUUAAACUCCUCUGGAAUGACUCCCGUGGCUUUGUAGUUAGCCAUGUCUGCAAACCAAGGUCUAGUGGUAACCUGCAAAAGAAACUCAUCAAGAAAUUCUCCUCUUACCUCUGGUUCUUCCUUGGUGACUUCUUCAUUCUUUAAUCGAGAUAGAUGAUCGGCUACCACAUUCUCGGAUCCCUUCUUGUCCCUGAUGAUGAUGUCAAAUUCUUGUAACGGUAGGACCCAUCUAAUCAACCUCGGCUUUGAGUCUGUUUUGGCGAGCAGGUGCUUGAUGGCAGCAUGAUCUGUUAAAAUGGUGACCCUCGACCCUAUCAAGUAUGACCUGAACUUCUCCAAGGCAAAGACAAUGGCUAGCAUCUCCUUUUCUGUGGUUGCAUAAUUCAGCUGUGCUUCAUUAAGGACCUUGCUAGCAUAAUAGAUGGCGUGAAAUACCUUGUCGUGCCUCUGUCUCGGAACUGCUCCUACUGCAUAAUCACUGGCAUCACACAUUAGUUCAAAAUCUUUAUUCCAGUCUGGUGCAAUCAUUACCAGUGCAGUGGUGAGCUUAUUCUUCAGUGUCUGAAAUGCUGCUGAACAUUCUUCAUCAAACUUAAAAACCACGUCCUUAUUCAACAGAUUGCUUAAGGGUCUGGCAAUCUUCGAGAAAUCCUUGAUAAACCUCUUGUAGAAACCUGCAUGCCCUAAGAAACUUCUAACCCCCUUAACAUUAAGUGGUGGUGGCAACUUCUCAAUGACGUCUAUCUUCGCCCGAUCAACCUCAAUCCCUCUAGCUGAGAUCUUGUGGCCUAGGACUAUGCCCUCUCAAACAAUGAAAUGACACUUUUCCUAGUUUAGUACCAAGUUAGUCUCUACGCAACUCUGUAGUACCAUCUCUAGGUUCCUCAAACAGCUGUCAAAUGAGGGUCCAAAAACCGAGAAGUCGUCCAUAAAUACUUCGAUGCUCUUCUCCACCAUGUCUGAAAAAAUGGCCAGCAUGCACCUCUGAAAUGUGGCUGGUGCAUUACAUAACCCGAAUGGCAUUCUUCUAUAAGCAAAGACGCCAAAGGGGCAUGUAAAGGCCGUCUUCUCCUGAUCUCUGGGGUCUACCGCGAUCUGGUUGUAUCCUGAGUAUCCAUCCAAGAAACAGUAGUAUGCCUGCCCUGCAAGUCUCUCCAACAUCUGAUCCAUAAAAGGUAAGGGCAAAUGGUCCUUCCUUGUGGCUUCAUUCAACUUGCGGUAGUCGAUACACAUCCGCCAGCCAGUGAUAGUUCGUGUUGGUAUCAGGUCAUUCCUCUCAUUUCGUACUACUGUCAUUCCGCCCUUCUUGGGAACCACCUAUACUGGGCUUACCCAAGCGCUGUCAAAGAUGGGGUAUAUGAGCCCAGCCUCCAAAAGCUUGAGUACCUCCUUUUUUACCUCUUCCUUCAUUGUUGGAUUCAGUCGCCCCUGGGGUUGUCGGACUGGCUUGUAGUCCUCUUCCAUCAUUAUCCUAUGCAUGCAGUAGGCGGGGCUGAUUCCCUUGAGAUCUGAUAUGUGUCAUCCAAUUGCUUCCCUGUGUUUCUUCAGGACAUCUACUAACCUGUUUUCCUCCUCUGUUGUGAGUGUACUAUUGAUCACUACGGGUUUAUCUUCCUCCAAGAACAUAUACUUCAGAUGAUCAGGCCAUAUCUUCAACUCUAUCUUCUUCUUCUCAGACGGAACUUCCUUCUCUAGCAUCUCGAAUCUGGCUUCUCCCUCAGGAACACUGUCUUGUCGAUCCAAGUCUUCCAAGCAAGUCUUCAGAUCUUCUUCCUCUUCACUGGUUAGAUAGUCUAAAGCAUUUACCAUUGCUUUUUCUAGCAAAGUUUGUGGUGUCUCGAGAAUACUGACAUCUUCCUUAUCAACCUACUCCAUUCUGAAGCACUUCCAACCUUCCUGUGGGUACUUCAUUGCCUUGAAAAGGUCAAAGGUGAUCUUCUGAUUGUCAAUACUCAACUCCAAGUUCUCAUUCCCCAUAUCCACCACACAGUUGGUAGUCAGCAUGAAAGGUCUGCCUAAGAUAAGGGGAAUGUCUGUGUCUUCUUCGAUAUCCAUGAUGACAAAGUCCACCGGAAAAGUGAAGUGGCAUACCUUGACCAGGACAUCUUCUACCACCCCAUAUGGUCUUGUGAUCGAGCGGUCUGCCAGUUGAAGCGUCAUCUUGGUGGGAUAUAUCUUCAAAUUCCCGAUUCUUCUGUACAUUGACAAGGGCAUCAGAUUGAUACUUGCUCCUAGAUCAUUGAGGGCCUCGUUUACCGCUUCCUUCCCUAUGGUGCACGGGAUGGUAACACUUCUGGGGUCCUUAAACUUCUCAGGUAGCUUCCUCUGUAUUAUUGCACUGCAGUUGCCCCCUACCACAAUAUUCUCGUUUUCAAUAUACUUCCCCUUCUUGGUGAGGAUGUCCUUCAUAAAUUUGGAGUAGAGGGGCAUCUGCUGUAAGGCUUCCCCGAAUGACAUGGUGAUUUCCAGCCCUUUGAUUAUUUCCAAGAAAUGUCUAAAGUAACGCUCCUUGUUCUUCUUGGUGGGUACCAUGGGAUAUGGGAGAUCCUGUGGUAGGGCUGGUGGUUCUUCCUUCUUGGCUUCCCUUGCUCUCUGGCUCUUGGUCUUAGGUGGUGAUGCCACCUUCUCUUCUUCUUCUGUCCUCUCUUCCUCUGACCGGUCUUCUCCUUCAGCCUUACCCUCCUCCUGUGCUCUUCUCUUCCCUCAAGUCAGCAUCGCCUUGCAUUCUUCCUUUGGGUUUUUCUCCGUGUUAGCCCCGAAAGUUUUAGUGGGCCGUUCGGCUUUGUCAUGCGCCAGUUGGCCCAUUUGAAAUUCCAAGUUCCGAAUGGCUACGUCCGUGCUCUUUUGAUGUGAUCUCGUCUCCUGGAUAAAUUGCAGCAACAAUUCCUCUAUGUUAGUGGGCUUUUCUUCCUAAUUCAGACCUUGGCUAGGGUGCUGGUAUGGCGGUUGGUAUGGUGGUUGGUUCCUUUGCUCCUUAUAUUGAUUUCCUUGAUUCCUCCACCCUGAUCCUUGCGUGAAUUUUCUUCCUUGAUUGAAUCCCGGUGGCCCGUGAUUAAAUCAUGUUGCCCCUUGAUGGAAUUCGGAUGAAUUUCCCUGGUUGUAGCCCUGGAAUCCGUGACGAUUUGGUAUGCCCAUAUAAUUUACUUCUCGAGAGGAGUCUUGUUGGCUUACACAUUGUCCAGGCUCAUGGGUUCCUCCGCAUGUGGGGCAUCCUUCUACCUGCAAAACAGAAAGGUGAGAAGAACUUACCGCUUGUAAUUGUUGAGGUAGAUUGCUGAGGGUUUCGGUAAGGGCUUCUAUCUGCCUCAUCAACAACUUGUUUUGUGCCAAAGUUAUGUCCUGCGUGCUGAGUUCCAAAAGGCUUCUUUUCGUGGGAACAUAGGUAUGAUCACGAAGGAUUGCUUGAUCGCUAGCUGCCAUGUUCUCGAUGAGCUCCAUCGCUUCUUCGAGAGUCUUCAGUUUGAUCUUCCCUCUUGCGGAUGCAUCUAGUAGCUGUUUCGAUUGAGGCCGCAAGCCAUCGAUGAAUAUGUUUAGCUGUACUGGCUCGCUGUAUCCGUGUGUCGGUGUUUUCCUUAGCAAUCCGUGGAAACGGUCUAGUGCUUCGUUAAGGGAUUCAUCCGGAAAUUGAUGGAAAGAAGAAAUCUCCAUCUUUCCUUCGGCGGUCUUUGACUCUGGGAAGUACUUCUUUAAGAAUUUUUCCACUACUUCUUUCCAUGUUCUUAAGUUGUUUCCUUUAAAGGAGUGCAACCAUCUUUUUGCCUCUCCUGCUAGGGAAAAGGAGAAGAGGUUAAGGCGUAUCACAUCUUCUGAAACUCCGGCGAUUUAAACAGUGUUGCAUAUCUCUAUGUAUGAGGCUAGAUGCGCAUAUGGAUCUUUGCUUGGAAGACCAUGGAAGAGGUUCCCUUGGAUUAACUGAAUAAGAGAGUGCGGGCAGGAGAUGUUGGCUGCUUGAACCUCCGGCCUUGCAAUACUUGUGAAGAACUGAGGAGUGGCGGUAUUAGAGAAGUCCUCAAGUGUGACUCUUCUUGCCGGUUCCCCGUCCAUCUGAGUGUGAUUUGGAGAAAGAGGAGGUGAGGUGUAACUGCUUCCUUCUGUGUCUUGCUCCCUUCUUCUUCUUGCAGCGUUGUUACACCGACAAGUAGCUUCAAUUUCUAAAUUAAUAGGGACAACGUCUCUAGAUGCAGUUCUACCUCGCAUAAAAACAAAAGGCACUAACCGUGCAAUUUAUGGGAGAAGAAAGAAUAGAAGAGAAAGAAUACUAAAAGAAUGAGCCAAGAAAAGAAGAGUUGGGCUUACAAAUUGAUAUAGUAUGGCAAUUAAGUACACGAAUAAAAUCCCCGGCAACGGCGCCAAAAACUUGUUGAGGUGUUUGGCAAGUGUACCAAAUCGCUCUAAGUAGUAAUUCUUGGAAGUUCGAGUAUCGUUUCCACAGGGAUUUUAUUGCACUUUAUUGAAUACUCUUCAAUUUGCAAGUACGGAAUAAAUAAUAAAAAUAGGAAUAGGUGCAAGAAUAAAUUGUUAUUACUAAAUCAAAUAGUUUUAGAAAGAUAACUAAUGAAAAUGUCAAGACCGGACAAACCCAAUUGGCCUACGAUGCAUGUAAAUUUGAUAUUCAUUACCAAUGCAAUUGUAUUAGUUCUACCCACAUCUAUUAAUUUUGCUUGCCCUUGAUGCCUCACGAUGACAAGCCUAUUUUAACUACCUAUCUCCGAAAUGCCUUUGUGAAGAUUCAAUAAUUAAAAUGCAUUAAGGUUAAAUUCUAGAUGUUUCUAAAUGCAUGGGCGUUGAGUUAUCAUUCUAUGCCUAGCAAUGUUAACCCAAUGAUCCUUUUCUUAAUGUGUUCUAUUAGGUAUUACCCUUUCCCAAGCAUAUAACCCCUAAAACUGAUGCAUGCAUUACUUCUUAAAUCCUUACUAGGCAAUACCCUCUCCCGAUCGAAUAAAACCCAAAAACAAUUUAAGACAUAGAUGCAAGAUAAAAAGAAAAGAAUUAGAACAUGAAACCUGGAAUGAAUCCUCUUUGCAUUGAUAACUCUUGAAGUACACCAUAUAUCGUUGGCUUUUUAGGCCUGCCAGGCCCUACCUAAGGGAUUAGCCACUCAUGGCCAUUGAGGGCUUUACAACUGGGGGUGAAAGAAAGAAUGGGGUAAUAAAAAUAAAGAAUAUAGAGAGAAAAGGGAGAGCUCAGACUUGGAAUGCUGAGAGAAUUGCUCUGAGGGGAGGUGUGUUGUUUUCCUUGGACUGACUCUCUAUUUAUAGCAGCUAAAGUGGGCUUUGGGCCUUCGUAAGCGCACUUAGCGCGACACCUCACGCUUAGCGCGUUCAGAACGCGCGCUGAGCGCGCGCUGCAGGCUUAGCGUGUGUUUCUGUGGGAUCGCGCGCUUAGCGCGUGGCUCGCGCUUAGCGCGCGUAACGGGUUCUGCAUCUUCGAGCUUAACGCCUCGCUUAGCGCCUGUGCUGCUUUGCACGCUUAGCGCGCGUGUUGGGCUGGGCCUCCUUCAGACUUUCUUAUUUUUCUUCAUUUCUGUUGCCUUUUUGCUUAAUGUAACUUCAGUUUUCGUAUCUGCAACCAAAAAUUCAAUUUAAUUAAUUUUCUAACUUUUAAUCACAAAUAACUACUAAAUAAUUAAUUUUAGUCCAAAAUUUGACUAAUUCACUACUAUUAAUUCACAAUUAUUUAGCAGUUAUCAAAAGAAAUUAUGGUUUUUCUGGGAUUCAAAAAUUAAGGUUAUAAGAGACCAUUUAUCCUAGAAAAACUUUCACUUAUUCAGUCUAGCGUUUUUUUAACAGCACUUAUGGCACCUAUUUAUUUUCUACCCUUAUUAUUCUUCUUUCCGUUUUUUUUGGAAUGAAACUUUUGGCCUACAAUUGUUUUUUUGAAGACAAACUUUUGGGGCUACAAUUUUUUUUUUGGAAAGAAACUUUGGGCAUACAUUUUUUUAGGGUGCCUUAAUUUGUGCUAUUUUACCUUCGUGAGAUAAUUUUUACCUUAACCCUCUCCCAAAUUAGGAGCAUAUCAUAACUAAGAUCCUUAUGCUCUCUUAAACCCUAAAAAAGGUAGGAAAUAAUUAAAGUAGGCUUAAGGGUUUUUUUAAAAAAGAAACAUCAUUAUCAUUUUUGGCUCAAAUAGGGUGCAAGGGAUAAAUUAUUAUCAAAGGUUGGCUUUCUGGCUAAGUGGCUGAAAAUAAGAAGAAACAUGGCCUUGAUCAUUUCCACCUCAUGCAAUUAAUCAAACAGUCUAAGAAUGAUGCAAAAGCAGGAAAUUAAAAACAGACGUUCUCUCACAAGUAAGUUUCACACAACUCAUUGGGACAAAACAAAGUUGUUGGCUUACCGCACAUGAUUUCUUCCCGACGGACUAACCUUUUCCUCUCUUUGUUGUGAUUCAUACUCCACUACUUGAACUAACAUUUUCCUUCAUGUAACCAGCAUUUUCACAAAAAUUGGUAUGCGACAUUUCAAGUGUCGAAGUCCUUCAGAGAAAGCUCAAAAAGUGACUUCAUAAUUAUCAUGCAAUUUUUAUUCAAUGACAUAAAAUGACUAAAUUUAAACUACUAGAAUUAAAUUUCUGAAAUUAAAGUAAGAUAAAGAAAAACAAAAACUAAAGACAAGAAACAUAAAGAAACAAAAGAAAAGAAGAAAUCCUGAUAAGAAGAUUUGGGUCUCAAUCUUGUGUGGGCCCUGGAUCCCAAUCAGUUGCUAGAUAUGCAAUAUGGUCUCAUCCUUAGUUCCGACUUCAGUGAUAUCUCUGACCUUAGAGGGCUCACCCCCCCCCCCCCCAUCAGUAGAGGGUUGAACUCCUGGUGGGCCAUGAUUGAAUCCUAUUGCUCCUUGAUUGAAUCAAGACGGACCUCCUUGGUUGUAACCUUUGAAUCCGUGGCGAUUUGGUAUAUAUGCCCAUGUAGUUUACUUCUCUAGAAGGGUUUUCUUAAAUUGUACAUUGUCCAGGCUCGUGUAUUCCUCAACAUGUAUGGCAUCCCCCUACCUACAUCACAGAAGAGUUAGAAGGACUUACCGCUUGUAGUUGCUGUGGUAGCUUGCUGAGAGUCUCGGCCAGGGCUUCUAUUUGUCUAGAUAGCAGCUUAUUUUGUGCCAAGGUUGCAUCUUGCGUUGUGAGUUCCAGAAGGCUUCUCUUGGUUGGUGCAUAUGUGAGAUCACGAACAAUGGCGUGAUCACUUGCCACCAUAUUUUCUAUUAACUCCAUCGCCUCCUCCGGUGUUUUUAGCUUGAUCUUACCUCCUGCGGAUGCAUCUAGUAGCUGCUUUGAUUGAGGUCUCGGACCAUCUAUGAAAAUGUUGAGUUGGACCGGCUCACUGUAUCCAUGUGUAGGUGUUUUCCUUAGCAGUCCACGGAAGCGGUCGAGUGCCUCGCUGAGGGAUUCAUCGGGAAAUUGAUGGAAGGAAAAGAUUUCCAUCUUCCCCUUAACAGUCUUUGAUUCAGGGAAGUAUUUCUUUAAGAAUUUCUCUACAACUUAUUCCCAUGUCCGCAAGCUGUUACCUUUGAAGGAGUGUAGCCACCUUUUUGCUUCUCCUGCUAGUGAAAAAGAGAAAAGAUUGAGGCGUGUUGCAUUUUCAGGAACCCCGGCUAUCUUCACCGAGUUACAAAUGUCGAUGUAUGUGGCUAGAUGUGCAUAUGGAUCUUCACUUGGUAGGCCAUGAAAUAGAUUCCCUUGAAUCAGUUGGAUGAGAAAGUGAGGAUAAGAGAUGUUGGCCGCUAGAACCUUCGGCCUUGCAAUGCAUGUAAAAAAUUAUGGAGUAGUUGCACUAGAGUAAUCCUCUAAUGUGACUCGGCGUGCAUGUUCGUCCUCCAUAUGGACGUGGAUUUGUGGAGAAGGAGGAUGUGAGGCAUGACUGCUUCCUUAUGCUUCUUAUUCCCUUUUUCUUCUUGUAGCAUUGUUGCGUUUACAAGUGGCUUCAAUUUCCAAGUUGAUAGGAACUAUUUCUCCAGUUGCAGUUCUACCUCGCAUGCACAAAAACAAGUACUAUCCGUGCAAAUUAUGGAAGAAAUAAUGGAAGAAAAAAAUUGAAAAAAUAAAGAAAAAGGAAAAGUGUGAAAUAAAGAAUAGAAGAAUUUCUUACAAAUUGAAAAGGUAUGACAACCAAGUACGAAGACAAAAUCCCCGACAACGGCGCCAAAAACUUGUUAACUCGUUGACAAGUGUACCAAAUUGUCACAAGUAGUAAAGUACUCGGAAGUCCGAGUGUCGAAUCCAUAGGGAUUUUGUGUUGUACUUAUCUUGGAUACUUUUCAAUUUAUAAGGGAAUAAAAGAAAGAGUAGAAGAUAGAAGGCAAUAAUAGUAAAUUAUAAAUAAAAAGCAAAAGAAUUAAAAGCAGAAUAAUUAAAGAGAGAAUUCAAUGGAAUGCGAAUGUUAGGACCUAGCAUGCCUUGUUUGCCUAGGAUGUAUGAGUUUAUGAUUUUUCUUUAUCAAUUUAGGUGAUUCUAUUCUACCCACAUCUGUUCAUUUACUUGCCCCUGAUUCCUCACAAUGACAAGCCUAUUUUAUUCAUCUAUCUCCUAAAUUCCUUUGCAAAGACUCAACAAAUAAAAUGCAUGAAGUAUGAAUUCUAGAUGUUUGCAAGAAUACAUGGGCAUAAAAUUAUCAUUCUAUUCCUAGCAAUGACUUUCUCAUGAAAUCCUUUCUUUUUGUUCUAUUAGAAGUUAUCCUCUUCCGAGUGUCUAACCCCUAAAACUAAUGCAUGCAUAUUUUCUUUAAAUCUUAUUUAGAAGUUACCUUCUCCCGAGUGUCUAACCCCUAAAAGAAUAUAAAGAUGAAUAAUGCAAGAUAAAAGCAGAAAAGAUAAUUGAAUAGAAAAACCUAGAAAAUAAUCUUGUUGCAUUGAUAAAUAUGAAGUACAUCAUACAUCUCUUUGACUUUUUAGGCCUGUCAGGCCCUAACUAGGGGGUUUAGCCACUCAUGGCCAUUAAGGGCUUUACAAUGGAAGAGGUGAAAGAAAGAUGAUAAAAAGAGAGAAGAGAGUAAGAAUUCUCAAGCUUUAAGUAGUAGUGAGAGUGCUCUGAGACUUGGUGGGUUUUCUCCUUGGCCUGACUCUCCAUUUAUAGCUAAUGAAGUGGACUUGGGCUUGAUUCAAAAAAUCUUCCUUAUCUAUCUUUUUGAUAUCUUGUGGAUCUUAUAAAUCUUAUCUUUCCUACAUCUGCAGGUCAUAGAUAAGAAAAAUAUCAAUUCAUAUCUUUUAAGCCAAAAAUAACUACUAAAUAAAUAUCUUUAAAGAUAUUUUUAAAUUAGCUCAUAUUUAGCAGUUAUCAAUAUCUUUUGGAUCUUGUAAUCUUAUCUUUUCAUAUCUGCAAUGAUGUAAGCUCCAUUGGAGCUUGUAGGCCUAGGAUCUUCUUCAUCAAUGGAUUCCUUUGCUUCUUGGAAGAUGAAUGGCAGUGGAAUGGAGAAGGAAGAGAGGGAAGAGACGCCACUUUAAGGAGAAGAUGAGUCUAGAAGAAGCUCACCACCAUAGCAGGCCAUGGAUAAGAGCUUGGAGGAAGAAGGAGAUGAAUGAAGGGAGAGGAAGAGAAGAGCAUGAAUUUUUGUGCCCUAAAAGAGCUCUGAAAUCUGAAGUUUAAUUUUCAAAUGAUCAAAGUUGUAAAAAUGCACACACAUAGCCUCUAUUUAUAGCCUAAGUGUCACACAAAAUUGGAGGGAAAUUUGAAUUUCUAUUCAAAUUUCACUUGAAUUUGAAAUUGAAUUUGUGGAGCCAAAUUUUGGAGCCAAAAUUUCACUAAUUAUGAUUAGUGAAUUUCAGAUAUAGUUCAUCCCACUAAUCCAAGAUCAAGUCCAAGAUUCUCCACUAGUGUGCUUAGGUGUUAUGAGGCAUGUAAAGCACGAAGGACAUGCACAAAGUGUGACUAUAUGAUGUAGCAAUGAGGUGUAGCAAGCAAAUGCUCACCUCCCCCUCUAAAAUUUAAUUAGAUUGGGCUUCUACCAAUUCAAUUAAAUUUAUUUCUCAACACACACAUCAAAUAUUCACUUAAUGCAUGUAAAAUUACAAAACUACCCCUAAUACAAAAACUAGUCUAGGUGCCCUAAAAUACAAGGGCUGGAAAAUCCUACAUUUCUAGGAUAUCCUACCUACAUUAUGGAGUCCUAAAUACAAGGCCCAAAAUUAAUGAAACCUUAAUCUAAUAUGUACAAAGAUAAGUGGGCUCAUACUUAGCCCAUGGGCUCGAAAUCUACCCUAAGGUUCAUGAGAACCCUAGGGCCUUCUCUUGCAUCUUUGGCCCAAUCUUCUUGGAGUCUUCUAUCCAAUACCCUUGGGGGGUAGGAUUGCAUCAUGCAAGCCAUAAAUAAUAAAAGUAUCAAUUCUUAUCAUUUAAGCCAAAAAUAACUGCUAAAUAAAUAUUUUCAAAGAUAUUUUCAAUAUAUUUUUAUUAUAAAAUAAUUCAUAUUUAGCAGUUAUCAAAUGUAAAAUAAUUUUACAUUUUCAUCCAAUAAAAAAAAUCAUUAUUGUUAUAACUUUUAAAUUAUAUUUAUUAUAGGAGAUGAGGAGGUGGGCGAAUUUGUGAUUGCUAAAUCAGUGUGGAUGAAACCUUGCGUGAAGGUGUAGGAGGCUUCGGGGUUAUUGUUGGCUUUGUAGUGGGUUACUGAUUUGGAAAUGUUCCAUGCUAUGUUUGAAUUAGAUUGCUAGGGAGUGGUAGAUAGAGUGUUGGCUGCCAAAUCUGAUUUUUCUGAGGCAGCUUUGAUCAACCAAUGACUACAGACAAUUGAUAAUGUCAGUCCAUCUUUUUAUCAUAUGACACCUUAUUGUACUACUUUUGUUAUUAAUAAUGAAAAGCUGUAAGGAGAUAAAAGUUGGUUGGAUGAGUACGAAAGAAGGGAAGGAGAAAAAGGUUGCAGGUUUGAUCUCUCUUGCUAAGAAAAACUGACAACGAUUUGGCAAAUGUAGAAUUUGCAUUUCUGGAAAUAAAAGAAGAAAUGUGAAAUGAAAACACCUAAGGAGAUUUAUUUACCAGGAAAAUUCUACGGGUAAAGGAAUGCAAUCGUACAACAAUGAAUUUAUCUAUUAUAUCAUCAUACAGCAGGAAAAGGUUGCAGUUCCAUAACAAGUGUUGGAUUAUCACAGCAAUGGAAAAAAUAUAAUGAAUUUCUAGAAAUACACAAAAAGAAUAAUUGCAUUAAGGGAUGCCCUUUUACCCAAGUAGGAUAUAAUGCCAGACAAAUUGUUUGGAGUUUGAUCCAAAAGGAAAUUUAUCAAAUGCAAAUAAUACCAACAUUCAAUUAGUAAUGCUCCUGAUAUAUUGCUCCAAAUUCGGCUCUCCAUGCCUGAUCGUCAUAUGUAUAGGUGGAAGUUGGAUUAUGUGCCACAUCAGAAUCCUCUCUAUACAGUGGUUGUAGUGCAGAUUCAGGUAAUUUGCUCUCUGUAGUGUACUGCUUCAUGGCAUUAAUCUCAGUCUUGUGUUUUCUUUUCAUCAUCGCAAUUUGCAUCUUCAAAUUUUCAUUAUCUUGUUGCAAAUUUGCAAAGUUCUCCUGUAUAACAUAAGAAAUAUAUUACUCAGGAAAAGAAUAAUCAGAAAUGUGUUAAGACAGAACAUAUGCUGAAGCUGAAGCUUCUCAACCACAGUCACUGGUUUUUAAGUCACAUUAUGUUCCCUUCCUGUUUUUAUUAGUAACUUUGGUAUUUGAUAAAUAGGGAGGCCAAAGAAAUUAGUGCAAUACAAAUUAUAUAAUCCAUUUUAAGAACAUUCCCUGUUUCCUAUUACCCUUUUAACAAAUAAUAGAAUGGCAGAAGAACAUUCCCUGCAAUAUAAAUUAUAUAAUCCACAGUUACCGGCUGCACUUAUGUCUCACUCUCAAUGGAGAAAGAAUGUAGUGGGAAGUUUGCAAGGCAAUGGCGUUUAUGUGAAGGGGAAACAGGAACAUGAAAGGACACAAGGAAAGGGUUCUGGUGGUAGACAGAGGAAAAAGUCCAAGUCUAGAAAAUGCAAGAAAGAGAAGAGUGUUACAAACGCAACCAAAAGGGGCAUUUCAAUAGGUAUUGCCCAAAGUUGAAGAAAUUUGGUGAAAGGGCAUCCCAUUUAGUAAAUGUGGCAAAAAGACUAAUGAUUCAAACUACUACAGAACUGAUGGAGUAGUUCAUGCAAUCAGUUGACAGAUGCAUGGAUUCUUGAUUUUGGAAGUUCUUACCAUAUGACUCCCAAAAAGGAGUAGUUCAGCAUACACACGUUAGGUAAUUUUGGCAGUACCUAUAUAGGUAACGACAGAGAGUGUGUUGUUGUUGGAAUGAGACAGGUGCAGAUUGCUAUGGAUAAUGGUGGAGUGAGAAUGUAGUGUGAUGUCCGUCAUAUCCCUGAGUUGAGGAAGAAUUUGAUCUUACUUAGUACCGUGCAGGCCAAUGAUUUUAGUUACAGAACUGAUGGAGAUCGAGAUACCCUCAGAGUGUGUAAGGGGGUGUUGACUAUGAUAAAAGCACAACACACUGUACAAAAUAUUUAUAGGCUGCUGGGGAGCAUAAUUGUAAGUCGAGUUGCAUCCACUGAGUCUAAUGAUGAUGCUACCAAAUUAUGGCACCUGUUUUGGGUCAUCUCAGUGAGCAUGAGAUGGUGGAGCUUCAUAAGAGAGGGCUCUUGAAAGGAAUUCAGAGUUGCAAGUUAGACUUGUGCGAGCAUUAUUUGCUUAGGAAACAAACUAGAGUGCGGUUUAAAGUUACGAAACAUACCACCAAAAGGAUUCUAGAUAAUGUGCAUACUAAUGGGUGGGGUCCUACUAGAGAUUCGUCCAUGGUGAUUCUCACUAUUUUGUGACCUUCAUUGAUGAUUUUUCUGGCAAGGUCUAGGUGUACUUCAUGAAAUAGAAAUUUGAAGUCUUUGAGAAUUUCAAGUUGUGGAAAACUAAGGUGGAGAAUCAGGCGGGCAAAAAGACUAGGUACUUGAGAUCUGAUAAUAGCACAAAAUACACAAACUCGUUGUUUCAGAAAUUUUGUAAGGAACAUGGCAUUCAGAGGCAUUUCUCAAUGUGGAAAACACCACAAUAGAAUGGUGUUGUAGAGAGGCUGAAUAGGCCCCUUACUGAAAGGGCUCAGCGUCUGAGGUUGCAAGCUAAUCUUUCUAAAGGAUUUUGGGCAAAAGUGGUGAAUAUGGUGUGUUAUCUACUUAAUUGAUCACCGUGAGCAUCAUUGGGUGGGAAAGUUGUAGAGGAAGUUUGGGCGGGUAACCCUAUUGAUUUUAAUAAUUUGAGAAUAUUUGGGUGUUCUAAUUUUUGUGCAUAUAUCCAGUGAUGAGAGAUCUAAACUUGAUCCAAAGUCGAAAAAAUGUAUUUUUAUAAUUUAUUCCAAAGGUGUGAAAGGGUUUAAGUUUCGGGAUCUAAUUUUCAAGAAGAUGGUGAUUAGCAAGGGUGCAGUGUUUGAUGAGCAAUCCACGUUACCAGAGAUAGUUGAGACAACUAUGUCAGUGUCUACUGGAGCUUUCCCCAACUUCAUUGAGGUUUAGGUGGACUUCAAGUAAUUGUCGGUGAUUCCUGAGAGGAUAGAACCAUGUAGUCCAAGAUUUGAGGUUACACCUAUACCUGAGUCAGGAUCGGUGAGUCUAGGUGGACCACAUCAGGAGUACCAUCUUGUCAAAGAUAAAGAUCACUGCAGCAUUAAACCCGUUGUCCAAUAUGGGUUUGAAGAAUUGGCUAAUUUGGUUGCUUUUGCACUUUUCACUAGUGCGAGAUCCUUCUACCAUGAGAAAGACAAUAUGGUGAAGGAAAUGAAGUCUUUGCAGAAGAAUCAGACAAAGGAUCAAGUUGAGCUUCCUGCAGGCAACAAAACCAUGGGAUAUGCUAAUGGGUGUACAAGAGGAAACCUCUAGUAUCAGAAAAAAAAAAGGGGAAAAGUUCAAUGCUCGCCUAUUAGCAAAGGGGUAUGCACAAUAGAAGGGGAUUGAUUAUGAUGAGAUUUCCUCCUCAAUCGUAAGACACACUUCUAUUAAGGCAGUGCUAGCCUCGGUAGCCAAUCGUGACAUGCACUUGGAGCAAAUGGAUGUGAAGACAACCUUUCUUGACAAUGAUGUAGAGCAAUAAAUUUACAUGAAGCAACCAAAGAGGUUUAGUAAAGGUGGAUUGGAUCGACUGAUUUGUAAGUUGAAGAGGUCUGUGAAUGGAUUGAAGCAAUCUCCAAGGCAGUUGUAUGGAAGAAAUUGGAGAGUCAAUACAUGUCAAAACCCUUAAGGUUUGAGGUUAAGGUGUGGUGUCAAAGACACUUAUGUGGUUGCUCAAGGCUCACUGGUGCAAAUCUCCUCGAUGUUAACCGCCUCGGUUUUCACAAAAAUUGGUAUUAGAGUCAAUGGUUUCAUGUGGUGACCGGGUCAAACGAGUAAAAUGAUGAUGGUAGAUCCAUGAACAUAGGGAUCCCUUGUAUUGAAAGUCUUCCUGGCAGGUGGGUCCAUGCAUGGAGGCUAGGAAGCGGGUCCCGCAUGUGUUGUGGCAGCACAAGGUACUAGAGCAUGUUGGUGGAAAUGGUUAGGCGAGCUAAAGGUAGUCACGAUUAAGUUCUAAGGGCCAUCAUUGAAUACUUUUAGGUUGACAAUUUCUUUCAUUCGAGGAGGAGACUAUCAUGCGAAAGAGACUCACAUUUAAGGAGAAUAUUGUUGGAGUACAAGUGUGAGGAAAAGUACCACAUUGGAUACAAAUGAAAAGAUUGAAUAUCAUAUAAGUGGGGACAAGACCCAUAAAUUUAAACCUUAAGGUUUUGGAUUAAAGUGUGAUGUCAAACUCACUUAUGAGGUUGCUCGAGGCCCAUUGGUUUAAAUAUCCCCGGUGUUUACCCUCUCGAUUUCCCAACUAUAGAUGAACGAAGGCAAAUAUAUAAAUAAAUAAGUUGUAGGACAAAAAAUUAAUUAAGUUUUUUUUAAAAUUUCUAAUUUUGAAAAUUUUAUUGACUUUGAAAAUUUUCAAUUGAACUUGCCCAGUUUUUGUUUGUUCACUCUUUUUUUCCUAUUAAUCCUUGAUGUUUGAGAACUUCACCACUCUUUCUGAUAACAAAAAUAUUUUGACUCGCAUAAUACCACACAACAAUGUUUUCUGAAAUGGGACUGUUAUAAUUUAUAUAUAACAAACAUAUUGGACUUACAUAUUGUGGGUCUGCCACGUCUGAAUCAUAUUGCAUUUAGCAAAAAGUUUUGGCAACAUAUAGUGGCAUUUGCAUUUCUGUUCUGGGAAUAAUAGAAGAGAUCUAAGGAGAUCUAUUUACCAGGAAAAACACCAUAAGGAACAAGAAUGCAAUGGUACAACAAUGAAUUUACCUAUUAUAUCAGUACACAACAUGAAUGAUCACAAUUGUUGCAGUUCUAUGACAAGUGUUGGAUGGAUGAUUACAACAUGGAAAAAAAUACAAUGAAAUUCUGACAACAAGGACUUCCAUAACAACUUCGAGUGUCAUGCAUGGAUCACAGUGUCUCAAUCCUACACUGUAGAAGAAUUGCUGAAGGAUACGUUGCACAAGCUAUGCAAAGAAAAAUUGGAGACACCUCUUCACAAUGAUUCAUUGAUAGAUGAAAUGAGAAAUCACUUGCGCCACAAAAGGUAUGUCGUCCUGUUUCAUGACGUAUGGGAUAAAAAGUUUUCGGAUGGUAUUGAUUUUGCUAUAAUUGAUAAAAAUUCGGACACAGGUAUCAAUCACUACUUCGGACACAGGUUGCGGAGUUUUGUCAGAUAACUUCCUUCAUUCAGGUGUAUAAGCUAGAACCUUUAAGUGACGAAAAAUCUUUGGAAUUGUUAUGAUGUGGAAAGGCAUUUUUUUCGGGUUUUGGUGGAUGCUGUACAAAAGAAUAUGAAGACGUAGGUCUUGAAAUGGUUAGAAAGUGUGAACGUUUACCUCUAGCAAUUGUUGCAUUGGUGGUCUUUUAUAUAGCAAAUGUCAAAGUGCACUUGAAUGGACAGGUUUAGUCAAAAUCUAUGUUCGGAGUUGAAGAGGAAUUCUGAGUUAAUUAGUAUUUAAAAAGAAAAAUUGGUUUGAGUUAUGAUGAUUUUCUGUUCAAUCUCAGAUCAUGUUUAUUGUAUUUUAGAAUGUAUCCGGAAGACUAUGAAGUUAAAUCUGGAAGAUUGAUUACGCAGUGGAUAGCUGAAGGGUUUGUCAAACAUGAAAAUGGAAGAACUUUAGAAGAAGUUGCACAACAACAUUUAAUGGAGUUGAUCACUACAAGUUUGGUGCAAGUAUCUUCAUUUACUAUAGAUGACAAAGUUAAAGGAUGUCGUGUUCAUGACUUAAUACAUGAAAUGAUCCUUGGAAAUAUCAAGGAUACAUGGAUUUGUCUGUAUAUUGAUGAGCAUAAUCAAUUGGUGUCAAGUGCGAUCGUUAGACGCUUAACAAUAGGAUCAGAUUCCAAUGAUUUAAUUGAAAAUACUGAAAGAUCACGCAUUCGGUCAGUUCUAAUUUUCACAAAGCAAAAGUUACCCGAAUACUUAAUCAGUGGAAUACUUGAAAAAUACAUACCAUUGAAGGUACUUGAUUUUGAAGAUGCUAUACUAUAUCAUCUUCCUGAAAAUUGGGGGAAUUUAAUCCACUUGAAGUAUCUGAGCUUCAUGGUAUACACAGAUAGAAAGUCUUCCAAAAUCCAUUGGUAAGCUCCAGAACUUGGAGACCUUGGAUGUAAGACAAACAGAAGUGUUUCAGAUACCAAAGGAGAUUAGCAAGCUUUUAAAGCUACGUCAUCUUCUGGCUAACGAAAUUGUUAGAUUUCAUCUCAAAACCAAUUGGCAUUAAGUGAAGUUGCCCAACAGAUAUAUAAGCUGCACUCCAAGGAUUGAGGCAGCCGAUGUGGGACUUGGCUAUUUCCCAAUAGAAAUAUCUUCAAUUGCAGUGAAGGAUAGCAUUGGAGGCAUGACAUCUCUACAAAAUAUAUGCCUUCUGUAAGGAUUAUAGCGACUAAGGUCAAGAGAUUUCCUCUUUCGCCUACAGUGUUCAAUUAUUCUAUAAAUUAUUACACCUUUUAAUUUUAAAAAUUUGUAAAGUAAAGCCGAGACUCAUAUAUUUGCUUCCAUAUACUCCUUUCAUUCUCUUCCAAGUAAAUUAAACUAACAAUUUCCUUUUGAUGUUGGAAAGGGGAACCAUUUAUACAAACUUGGAAGAAUUCAUUAUCAACUUCACUCAACUCCAACAGCUUAGUAAGGUGUGCAAGGGAAAUAAUGGAAAAUUUACUUGGUUUGCAACUGUUUGAAGUUUGAAGAACUAGGCUUUUUCGAAAAGGGUUAUAAUUAUAAUUUUCCACCAGUCCUAAGCCCUGACUAUGUCUCCAUUUUACUUCAAAUUGCUUGUGGUUGAUGCGUUCAAAUUGCUUGAUGAGUUCUUCACAAGUCCUAAGCACCUCUACUUGGUUGAUGCUCGAAUCCGUGGAUGCAAGUGAUGAUAUAUGUGGUUGCAUGUUGAUUUUGGAGGAUCCGUUCGCAUGCACGGAGAAAUUUGGCCCUGUUCUGAUUUUUGGUGUUUUGAUCUGAUCUUGGAUGCAUCUUGUGUUAUUAAAAAGGAUAUUUGGUUGAAGGAAAUGUGAUGUCUAUAUCAUUGUGAAGCUUAAAUGGUACACACAUUUUGGUAAAAAGUGAUAGGUGCUCACUUAGGUUUGAGUAUUCUCUGUUUUCUAUCCAUACUGUUUUAUUUUAUUUAAUGUGUUCUGGAAUGUUAAAAAUAAAAAAAGGUAGUUGAUUUAUGUUGAUAUAUGGGUUGGUAGUAUCCUAUAAAAUUUUCAGAAUUUUUUAUGAUAAUAUUGUUGGAAGAAUAUGGAUUGAACCCUAUGUUCAUUCUCUGCAUUUCCAGUGAGGAUGUUCGUGCUCUGGAUCAAUCAUUAUUUUUCUCUGACAAUUUUUGGAGAGAUAAUUAAUUUUUGUGUUCUUAAGAUCAUAAGGAGUAUGUCCAAAUAUUUUUGUGUGAAAAUAUUAAUGUCAACAAUUUUAAUAAAAUCUAGAAAAGGAUGAAUGUUCUUUGAUGUUCUGGGUUUUUCUGGGUGAAUGUUGAUACGGUUCUUCACUUACUAGGAUGAAUCUCUGUUGAAUUUUGGGGAAAAAAAUAUUAGGAUGUUUCUGUAUUUGUUUGAUGCAGCUGUAUAAAGCAAUAAAGAAAUAAUAGCUCAAGCUUUUGCUAUAAAUGUGUGGCAGGAAUUGAUCCUACACAUACGAGUUCCUCUAUGCUGUUCUUUUAUUUCCUCUUGUCUAACUUCAUAUAAAGAAUUUUGUAGUCCUUCGGAAUUCCAGUGAAAAGAAGUUGGGAAUGGAGAACAUCUAACUUUCAUCAAUGCUUCCAUCCGAAAAUUACCACACUCAACGUAAUCUACCACCUAUGCUCAAUAACUUGGGGUAUUCAUGAGUGUAAUUGCUGCCUAGAUUAUUUUAACUUUUGAGUUCUGGUGGACACUGCAGUGAGGAACAAUUCAUUUGAUGAGAUGUUCCUGCUGGUGGGAUUGGUACUCUAGAUGAGGUGUUUAAGAUACAGGCAUGCACUGAUUCAGCUUGAAUGGAUUGGACCAGAGCUCUUUGUGUUCUCUUCUAGAAGAAGUGUUUGAGAUACAGGCACUGAUUCAGCUUGAAAUGAAUUGGAGUAUGCCUUAUUUCUCUUUGUCUACAUCACACUGAUAGGUGUUAGACAUAAAAUUAUGGCUAAAUUACUAUGUUGGUCUUGUAUCUCUAUUUUAUAUUGUAAUUUAAGCUUCUAUUUGUUAAAAGUUACAAAAUGAUAUUUUAUUCAUUAAAAGUUGUAAAAUGGUUCCUUACAUAAUUUAUUUAUUGUAUCUUUACUUCUGAAGUAAUGUCUUUUCCAGUUGUUUUGGAUAAGUAAAAAAUAAUUAUUUUAAGUUAUAAUUAAUAUUCACACACUGGUAGACCCAAAGAUAGCAGAGACAAUAAUGUGUUUUAGGUGGCAUCUUCAAUUUGCAAGACAGCUAGAUUGAGAAAGGAUAAAACAAGGCAAGAAGCCAUGUGCAAAGGACUGUUAGAUGAUUAUUGAUUGCAUUGUAUUGAGGAAUUCUUUUGAUUAGUAUGAUCUAUUUUUCACAGGCUGAGAUGACAACAAACUUUCAUCUCAAGUUUGGCACCUUGUUUCCCAUGAUAUAUUUAAUUUCCUCAAACUUUUUUUUUUUGCAGUAUUACAUCUAAUAUUCUAGUUUAUAUAUAUAUAUAUAUAUAUAUAUAUAUAUAUAUAUAUAUAUAUAUAUAUAUAUAUAUUAUAGUUUAAAAAGCUCUUUUUGAUCUCCUAAUAUAUAAAUUUCGUGUAUGAUACGACUGAUUGUUGUGUUCAUUCUAACAUGAAUUUAUUCAUUUAUAUGCAAAUUAAAAUAGAUGAAAAGGAUAAAACAUUGGACACGGAAAAGUUUAGGAAUGUUGAUCGGUGGUAAGAUAAUUUAAGGAUCAAAAUCAUAAAUUAUAAGAAAUUUAAGGAUAAAAAAUAUUUUAUCAAAAAAAAAUUAUAAGGACAAAAAGUCAAUUUUUUUAUUAAAGAUUAAAUACAAAAUUAAAAAAAGUUAAGGGCCAAAAGUAUAUUAUGUCUGUCAAAAAUACUAAUUAUUCAUCUCACGUCCACCAAAUUUUCUUUUUUUUUAUUUUGCUCCUUUCUUUUUAAUAUAUUACUUAUCACUUAUAUCACUUUGUCUCUGUAUCUUUUUUCUUUUCUCUUUCAUCUUUCCAUCUCAAUUCAUCCUAAAACGGGGUAGAAGAAUAUCAUAGUUCUAUUUCUUUUCUUUUGUUAGAACAAGACCUAAUGAAUGAAGGAAGACUUGGCUGCAGGGGUAAACAUGCAUGUUAUAUCCAUCAAAUGAAUUUUUUAAUAUACCAAAAAAAUGUUAGUGAAAAUAAAAUAACAUUACUAAAAAGAAAAGAAAAGAUUAUAUAUAUUAGACCAUGAAAAAAUGAAUAUAUUGAAUUAGAGUUAGAGAUAUUCGAAAUCAAGCAAAAGAAAAAUACUCCGACGAUAGAAUAAAUCUUCAAGACUUGGGUAUAUUUCUUUUUCUUGGAAGCAGAGUCUAAUGACAAAGAAAAUACAAAAUGACUAACGGAGUGAAGUCAGUUGCUGAAUUAACAUACAACGGAAGAGAUAGAAGCUGGGGCAAUAUAAAAAAAUUAAAAAUAAUAAAUAAAUAAAUUGGAAAAUAAAAAUGUGGCCACUUUAUCUCUUCUUUCAUGUUUGACCAAAAAGAAGACAUAUCUUUUUUCCAUAUGGUUUAACAUUUUUUUUUUCUCACACUAGCAUAUUAAUAAGUUGCUCGAUCUGUUUUUUAGACACGUUAAAAAAGUCUCAUUUUUUUUAAAAAUCAUCUGUAUACAAUUAUUAGCGGCAAAGCUAGCAUAUAUAUACGAACUCUUAGGGGCGAAAAGUGGUUUACAAAAAUAUGAGCCUUAAGUGCUAAAUGAAAAAUCAAAAUGAAAUUAUUCCUUUAAAACAAAUAAUCUGAUAAUCACAUUUUGACAUUAGCUGGACCACAAUAUCACAACUUGCUCGCAAAAGAGACGCUGCAAAGCUCAAAGUCUUCGUCUCCGCGUACACAGUGCACUAAGUUACAAAAUAUCAUCUCAGUAUGAUAUAGAUAAAAAGAAUUUAUAAAAAAAAAUCUGAUAACCGACACCUGUUAAUCAUGACUAUAGAACUUAUAAAUAGAGAAUCCUGUUAAUUUUAAAAUUUUAUUGAAAUUAUAUGGUUAAGAUAUUAUCAUAAACAGUGUCCGUGUCAUUGUUUGGCUAAGUACAUUUAUUGGCUAUAUAACGUUGCAGAACAUCAAGUUUUGCACUCACAACAAACCAAAAAACAGAGCUAGCUAGCAAGACUAAAAUGGCAGAAACUGCAGUGUCCUUGGCAGGUCAGCAGGCGCUUCCAAAAAUAUUGGAAGCUGUCAAAAUGUUGAGAGAUCUCCCAAAAGAAGUUAGAGACAUUACAGAUGAACUUGAAAGCUUUCAAGAUUUCAUCAAUGAUGCUGAUAAAGUGACUGAAGCCGAAGAAGAUGAUGGAAGGCGUCAUAGAAUAAAAGAAAGGGUGAUGCGGCUGAGAGAAGCAGCUUUUCGCAUGGAAGAUGUCAUCGAUGAAUAUAACAUCUCCUGUCAGGAUAAGCAACCUGAUGAUCCUCGAUGUGCAGCUUUACUAUGUGAGGCUGUUGCCUUCAUCAAAACUCAAAUCCUUCUCCUUCAAAGUGCGUAUAAGAUUCAGGAUGUUAAAUCCCUUAUUCGUGCUGAAAGAGAUGGUUUCCAAAGCCAUUUUCCUUUAGAGCAAAGACAAACCAGUUCUAGAGGAAAUCAAGAUAUCACAUCGCAGAAACUUAGAAGGGAUCCUCUCUUUAUUGAGGAAGAUGAGGUUGUGGGGCUUGAUGGCCCUAGAGGUAUAUUGAAAAAUUGGUUGACAAAGGGAAGAGAAAAACGCACUGUCAUCUCUGUGGUGGGAAUUGCAGGGGUGGGAAAAACAACUCUUGCCAAGCAAGUUUAUGACCAGGUGCGUAACAAUUUCGAGUGCCAUGCGUUGAUCACAGUUUCUCAAUCCUUCUCUGCUGAAGGAUUGCUGAGGCAUAUGUUGAAUGAGCUUUGCAAAGAAAAAAAGGAGGACCCUCCCAAGGAUGUUUCUACCAUCGAAUCGUUGACAGAAGAAGUCAGAAACCGCUUGCGCAACAAGAGGUAUGUUGUCUUGUUUGAUGACAUAUGGAAUGAAAAAUUUUGGGAUCACAUUGAAUCUGCUGUAAUUGAUAAUAAAAAUGGAAGUAGGAUAUUAAUCACAACCAGGGAUGAGAAGGUUGCAGAAUAUUGUAGGAAAUCAUCAUUUGUUGAGGUGCAUAAGCUAGAAAAACCUUUAACUGAAGAAGAAUCUUUGAAAUUGUUCUGUAUGAAGGCAUUUCAGUAUAGUUCCGAUGGAGAUUGUCCAGAAGAACUUAAAGAUGUAUCUCUUGAAAUUGUUAGAAAGUGUAAAGGUUUACCUCUAGCAAUAGUGGCCAUUGGUUGUCUUUUGUCUCAAAAAGAUGAAAGUGCACCCGAAUGGAAACAGUUUAGUGAAAAUCUUUGUUUAGACCAGUUGGAGAGGAAUUCUGAGUUAAAUAGUAUAACAAAAAUUUUAGGUCUAAGUUAUGAUGAUUUGCCGAUCAAUCUCAGAUCAUGUUUGUUGUAUUUCGGAAUGUAUCCGGAGGACUAUGAAAUUAAAUCUGAUAGAUUGAUUAGACAGUGGAUAGCUGAAGGGUUUGUCAAACAUGAAACCGGAAAAACAUUAGAAGAAGUUGGGCAACAAUAUUUAUCAGGGUUGGUCCGUAGAAGCUUGGUGCAAGUAUCCUCAUUUAAAAUUCAUGGCAAAGUUAAAAGGUGUCAUGUUCAUGACUUAAUACACGACAUGAUCCUUAGAAAAGUCAAGGAUACAGGAUUUUGUCAGUAUAUUGACGGGCCUGAUCAAUCUGUAUCAAGUAAGAUUGUUCGACGCCUGACAAUUGCAACCGAUGAUUUUAGUGGAAGUAUAGGAAGCUCACCCAUUCGGUCAAUUCUUAUCAUGACAGGAAAGUAUGAAAAAUUAUCUCAAGACUUGGUAAACAAAUUCCCUACAAAUUACAUGGUACUGAAGGUACUUGAUUUUGAAGGUUCUGGUUUACGUUAUGUUCCUGAAAAUUUGGGGAAUUUAUGCUACUUGAAGUAUUUAAGCUUCCGGUAUACAUGGAUAACAAGUCUACCAAAAUCCAUUGGCAAGCUCCAGAAUUUGGAGACCUUGGAUAUAAGAGACACAAGUGUGUCUGAGAUGCCAGAGGAGAUUAGUAAGCUUAAAAAGCUACGUCAUCUUCUGGCUGAUUAUAGGUGUUCAAUUCAAUGGAAGGAUAUUGGAGGCAUGACAUCCCUAGAAGAGAUACCUCCAGUGUUUAUAGAUGAUGAUGGAGUGGUCAUUAGAGAGGUAGGAAAGCUAAAGCAGUUAAGGGAACUGUGGGUGGUAAAAUUUAGGGGAAAACCCGAAAAGACUUUGUGUUCCGUAAUAAAUGAGAUGCCACUCUUGGAGAAACUACAUAUUUAUACAGCUGAUUGGAGGGAAGUAAUUGACUUGUACAUUACGUCACCUAUGUCUACACUUUGGCAGCUUGUCCUAUGGGGGACGUUAACAAGGUUGCCAAAUUGGAUUUUACAGUUCCCAAAUCUUGUGCAACUGUCUUUGGUGAGCUCCAGGUUGACUAAUGAUCCAUUGAAUUCACUAAAAAAUAUGCCAAGGUUGUUGUUCCUCGAUUUAAGUAACAAUGCUUAUGAAGGUGAAACUUUGAAUUUUCAAAGUGGAGGGUUUCAGAAACUAAAGCGACUGGAACUCAGAUAUUUGGAUCAAUUGAAGUGCAUCCUUAUCGACAGAGGAGCACUGUGUUCUGUGGAAGAAAUUGUUUUACAAGACCUCUCCCAACUCAAAACAGUUCCCUCGGGAAUUCAACACUUGGAGAAGCUUAAAGAUCUCUAUAUCAACUACAUGCCAACUGAAUUGGUGCAGCGCAUUGCUCCUGAUGGAGGAGAAGACCACUGGAUCAUCCAAGAUGUGCCCCAUGUACGUAUUUGGAGCAGGGGUGCUGAAGAACCUUCGCAUAUAUUCGGCAGAAGUCAUCAUUAAGAUGCGUCCAAAUUUGAAAAUAGAAGGUGCGUCUUUUUCACAUCUAUAACUUUGUAGAAUGACAUUCGUGGCCUUUUUCUUUUCUUCAAUAAAAAAUGCAACCAUUAUCUAAUUCCUAAAAUAAUUACUUUUGCCUCAUUUUCUCUUCUAGUAUUUGCUUCAUUUUUCUUUCUCUACAACAUCUCACGUACAAGUUAGGGAUAGAAUUGUCUGACAAGUAUAUGCCUACACCAACCAAAGUUAACGUUUCUUCAUUAUAAGAUUCUCACCAUUAUAAUCCUUUCUAUUAUUGUGCUCAGAAUUGGUAGAUGUUGACCUCAACUGGAUUGAGUUUUUUAUUUCCAUGUUGAUAAAUACUUGAAAAUUUUCAUUGUAUCAUUUUAAGAAGAAAUUAACUUGGUGUUUUUAUAGGGUCGUAAGCAUAUACUUCGUGUAAAUGUUAUGGGUUUUUAAAGUUCCAUUACGAUUGAAGCCCAAUGUGGAUUUUUUUCAUAAAUUAGAUUGUGUUAAAUGUUCCUAAUUUUGAUGCUUUGAAGUUUGACCUACUUUGUACAACCAUGAAUUUUAGGAAAGCAAUGAGGGAAGAUUGUAAGAGGUGUUCCAAAUUCAAUGUUUUCGACGUUCCAAUCAUGUGGUUUUUUGAGUGUUAAUUAUUGCGCUUAUGUUAGCGUUAUUAACACCAACACAAUACGAAGAAGCUAAAAAUAGUGUUCCUACAAAGGCAGACAAUUUUUGACAACCGGAAAACUCAAGAUUCCCUCAAGUUCUUUCUUUUGCGGCCCGUGAAAUGGUGGAUGCAUGAGUGGAUUUGAGGCAUCAAAUUGAUUUUUUAAGCUUCCUUCUUCUCUUUCUCUUGUUUCCCUUUUUUUCUAAAAUGUGUACUCAAAUUUUUGUUAACUUGAUGUAAUUUGAAUUCUUACCUAUAAUUCAAGUUCAUUUCUUUUAAAUUGAUUAUUUGUCUUUGUUUUAAUUUAAUGCCUUUAUAAAUUGGCAUUUGGUCACUUAUAGUGCGUUGAUCGUAUAUUCCUAUCGACAACUGUGAAAUUGAAAUAAGGAUUGAAUUUAAGAUAAAAUGCAACAAGGUUGGAGAUUCUAUAUAUAGGAAUAAAUAUCAACAAUUACGAUAAUUUAGAUAUUCUUAAACCUAAUGAUUGUCCUAAUUGAGUAAUUCUAAAGAUUUAAAAUUUCAAUUGCAGAAAAGAGUUUUUGAGUUAAGAUAUAUUCACCUUCAAUUACAGUAGUAAAAAAUAAAUUCAGUUUCUCAUUAUGCUUCUAGAACUUGAAUUGGAGUGAAAAUUUGGGUUGUACGUGUUAAGCUUGGGGUGAACUCGUAUUGUAACAAGACAUGUUUGAUUUUGUCUUAGCACUUUAAUACUCUUAGCACAGUACGUACUUCAGCAAUUUUGGUACCCAAACUUUUAUGUUCAGGUUUGAUCCCAUAUUUUUCAAAAACAAUUUAAUACUCGAAUAUAUAUUAUUAAAAUCAAGUUAUAUAUCACUUAUUUGGAGUUAGAUAAAUUUUUCAAGGCUUAAUUUUAUCUUUUUGUGUCAUUCAUUAUUUAUUUUAUUUAAUUUCUUCCUCCUAAUAAUAAAAUCUUUAAUUUAAUCGCUUAAUUCACUUGACAUUGUUUAUUAAUAGUGGGAUGAGAUUGAAUCAAACAAAGGAACAAAUUAAAUUGUUUAUUAAAAUUUAAAAAACAAACAGUGUGAACAAGAAGUUUAUUGAGGGGUCAAGUUGCACCGUUUGAAAAUUAAAGCACUAAAUUAAAUUGUUGAUUAAUAGAGGACCAAUGCUAAAUAAAGAAAUAGCACGACAAAAAAGUAAUGUUUUUUUUUACUUUUAAAAAUUUUGAAAAUUUUAUUGAAUUCUAAAAUAUUCAAUUAACUUGCCUAAUUUUUUGUUUAUUCACUCUUUUUUUUCCUUUUAAUCCUUGAUGUUUGAAAACUUCAAAACUCUUUUUGAUCACAAACAUAUUUUAACUCUCAUAAAACAACACAACAAUGUUUCUAAAAUCGGACUUUUAUAAGUUAUUGAUAAAUCACUUUGUGAGUGAUAUUUUGUACAAACUUUUAUGUUAUUUUGUAUGCAUUUUCUUGAUAGAAUUUACAAUUGGACACUAGUUUUGUAUUCCAAAAGUAUAACCACUCAAUUGAGUGAAAGAGUAGGAAAUUAUACAAAUUUAUGAAAAUUUAAGAACUUUACAUAACUUGAUUACUAUCGUGGUACAUUGAUCACGGUCGUGGUAAUCAGCAUGAUCACAAUAAAGUGAUAAGAGUCCUCCCAAACAGCGUCAAGAUCCAACAAUAGCCAUGGUAAAUUGACCACGAUCAUGGUAAAUCAAGAGGCUUAUAGUCAAUUUAUAAUGGUUCAAGGCUUCAGCGUCACUUCUAACCACGAUUGUAGUGCUCCUUUUCAAACAAAUAUCUUGAGGAAGCUAUAUAUAGGUUUCUAGACUAUGUAAAAAUCAUUUUUCAAUUAUUUUUAGUUUUAUUCUUAUCUUUUACAAAUUUGAGACAAUCUUGAAAGCUUUUAAGAGCCGAAGAACUUAAACAACAUCGCUAGAAUGGAUUAUGAUCAUUGUUCCUACUUAUUGGUAUGUUUAUGUUUAUUUUAUCUAGGAUUGCUAGUGCUGUUCUGAUCAUGAGGAGCUACUCCUCCUAGUCCGAAGAUUAUUAGAUAACUUUUCAUUUGUACCAUUCUCCUCAUUUUAAUGAAAUUUCUCAUUGAUUUUAUUUAAAUUAGUUCUCUUGCUUUUACUGUUUAUUUGAAACCAAUCAUUUUAAUACUUAAUCAAUUGCAUAAUACUAAUCAUGUAAUUGGUAGAUUUUGGUAGAGUGUUUUAUGUCAAAUUGCAUGAUCAAACUCUUUGGGUAAUCUCCAAUACAUUAGUUAAUCUUUAAUUAAUUUUUCCUAUAAUUGAUUUUCUUUUGACUUAAAUUGAUAGAACCAAUGAUCAUUGGGGUAUUGAUUUAGGCAAGAAGCAUCUUCUAACCUGGAUCAUAGACUUUAGUUGAUUUUGUGAAUGAGUAAUUAACUAGAGAAAGCAUUUUAUUACAACUAGGGUUGAAGGAAAAUUAGUACUAGUAAGUCAUAACCCCUAAUCACUCUUAUCAUCAAUGAACUCUUUCUUUAUAUUCGUAUAUUUGUUUACUUAUAAAUCCAAAACCAUAAAAAUAUUUAAAUUAUCUUUUUAAUUACUUCAACUGUUAAUUUAAUAAACUUGACUAAUUGAGAAUACAACUCGUCAUUUGGGUUUGAUAUCCAUACUUUCGAAACCACUAUUAUGAUUGCGUAAGGUACACUUGAGGUAUGACAAACAUAUUGGACAUACAACGAUGGCAACAUAUGAGUGUGUUUGGAUGAGGGAAUUUAAAAUUCUGAGGAAUUUUAAAUUCUAAGAAUUUCAAAUACCUCAAUUGAAAUUCUUUUAUUUUCAAAAUUUUGUGUUUAUAUAAAAAAAUUAAAAUUGAGGGUGAAAGAAAAUGAGUCACGAGUUCAAGAAUACGAUUUCGGAAUUUUAGGUGGAAAAUAGGAUGAAAGUUAUAAAAGAAAUGCGCGAAUUUUUUGGAAAGUUCUAAUGUAAGAAGAGAAUUUCAAUUUUUCACCUUUUAGAAGGAAGUUAAAAUUCCACAUUUUUAGUGGUUUAAAAUUAUGUUUUAAAAUUCCAAAAAUUUAAAUUCUUCAAAAAAAACAUCCAAACAAUAAAUUUUAUAUUAAAGAAAUUUAAAUUUUCUGAUAAAUUACUUUCCUUAGUUAAAAUUCUAUAUUAAAGAUAUAUUGAUAAAGAAAACUGGAUUCGAGGCCAGCCUCCAAACAAGGCAAGAAAGAAAGCAAACUUAGCUUUUUUCAUAUCAUGUCUGCCUUACAAUUGCUUUAUUUAUACUAAUUCCUUGCUAACAGAAUUUGUCAUUUUGUGUCAAGGAAUAUUUUAGGAAAUCAUUGGCUAGCAAUUUACGAUUACGCUUGUCUCCCUAAGGCCAACCAGCCAUCAUCUAGCAAUUCUUCAUUCCAGGUCAGCUUCCUUUCUCGCUUUUCUUUCUCAUGUGUAGUCUAUGAGGUAAGAGGGCUUUGUGAUGGCCCUCUUUACUUUCUUGCUAUCUGUACCCUUGGUUUCUGUGUUUGUACCUCUAUUUUGUGUUCUCUGUUAACUGCCCCAGCUUUUGUAUCAUUCGUCGGCCCUUGUAAAACUACCUUGUCCUCAAGGUGAUAAUCCUCACAUAAUUGAUCCCAAUUCUCCCACGAGGUGUCAUCUGGGGAUAGCCCUUCCCAUUGCACCAACACUUCCCAAGGCCCUUGUUCUAAAGCUCGCUGAUAAUCUAAUAUGGCUAGCUAAGGGAGUAAUGAUUGGUUGGUGUUGAACAAAUUGUUUUGGAAAGUGAACUUCCUGAAUAUGUUCUGGGGAGCCUUUGAAUGCUUUCAACUGGGAGCGGUGAAAAACAGGAUGUAUGCGAACUUCUUCCGGCAAUUUGAAGCGGUAUGCCACAGGUCCUAUGCGUUCCAGAACUUGAAAUGGUCCGUAGAAUCUCUUAGCAGACUUGCCCAUGAUUGCUUGUGGUCCCUUAGCGGAGACUUUUUGGUGGGGCCUUAAUUUAAGCAUAACCCAAUCUCCUGGUUGGUGGAUCACCUCUCUUUGUUUAGCAUCUGCAGUUAUCUUCAUACAGUCUUGUGCUUUGAGAAGCUUCUUGCGAAUGGCCUGAAAUGUUUCUUCUCUGUUGGUCAACAUUUUGUCAACUGCAUCCAGAGCUGAAGAACCCGCGAUAUAAUCUGGAAAAUUAAAGGAUUUGCGCCCAAAUGUGAUCUCAUAUGGAGUGGUGCCUGUUGCCGCAUUCCAUGAAGUGUUAUGAGACCACUCCACCCAGAGAAGAAACUUGCCCCAUUCCCUUGGCUGAUGAUGAACAAAUGUGCCUAGACAUUGCUCUAUGACCCUAUUUAGCACCUCCGUUUGACCAUCACUUUGUGGGUGAUAAGCGGAGCUUAUCCUUAGCUGUGUGCCACUCCGACGAAACAACUAUUGCCAGAAUUUGCUAACAAAUAGGGGGUCGCAGUCGGAGACCAGGCUGCAAGGGAGACCGUGAAUCUUGUCCAUGAUUUCCAUGAACAACGAGGCUACCGCAUGGGCUGUGUGUGUCGCUAAAAGCAUGCCAAGAUGAACGCCUUUUGAAAAUCGAUCAACCACUACUAGUAUUAACUGUGUUGUUGUGAUAUGGUGGGAGCCUAGUGAUGAAGUCCAGGGAUAAGUCUUCCCAAGGUCGAUGGGGAACUGGCAGAAGACAUAGUAAUCAUGCUGCUCUUUUUGUCUCGUACUUAGCAUGCUGACAAUAAUACAUUGCGAGACAAACUUCGUGACAUCUUCUCAAAGUCCUGACCAUUCAAAGUUUUCCGUCAAGCGAGUUAUCAUUUUCGCAAUCCCCAUGUGGCCUCCCAAGGGUGUUGUAUGAUACUCCACCAGUAAUGUGGGAAUUAGGGGCAAGUCCUUUGGUAGCCAAAUUUGUCCCUUCCAGAGGAUCAAGUUAUGAACAAGAGUGAAUCCAGAGUGCUUGUCGGGGUCCGCCAUGAUUGCUUGUUGGAGAUGCCGAUACUCAAGAUGAUCCUCCCAUUGGUGGCGCAAUUCUUCAAAGAAAAGAGGGUAAGGGACAAAAAGGCUCAUGUAGAAUGCAUUGGAACCACGCGAGCGCCCUGCCUUCCAUGUAGAAUGAAACUAUGGUAAGUCUUUCAUUCUUUGGUGUGCCAUGGUAUUCGAAGAAUUGGUUGAUUUUGAAAAUCCAACCAAGUGGUUCGGUGCCAUCAAAACGAGGCACAUCUAAUUUCAUUCGGUGAUUGUUUGCAGGUACCGAUGGUGAUGGUGGAGGUGUUGGAGAAGAAGAUGACGAGAGGAUGAGAGUGACACGAUUAAGGAGUUCAUCAAUUUUCUGAGUGAGUAAGUGCAUGGAUUCGCCGAGGGAUAGUUGAUGAUUGGUGAGUUUGAGUAAAACUUCAUCAAGCUUAUCAAAGGUACCCAUGGUGCGGACUGGAUGGAACGAUAGCACCAAAAUUGAUAGAGAAAACUUGAAAGAAAACUGGAUUCGAGGCCAGUACCUCCAGACAAGGCAAGAAAGAAAGGAAACUUAGCUUUUUUCAUAUCAUGUGUGCCUUACAAUUUCUUUAUUUAUACUAAUUCCUUGCUAACAGAAUUUGUCAUUUUGUGCCAAGGAAUAUUUUAGGAAAUCAUUGCCUAACAAUUUAUGGUUACGCUUGUCUCCCUAAGGCCAACCAGCCAUCAUCUACAAAGGCAGACAAUUUUUGACAACGGAAAACUCAAGAUUCCCUCAAGUUCUUUCUUUUGCGGCCCGUGAAAUGGUGGAUGAGUGGAUUUGAGUCAUCAAAGGGCAAGAUUCAUCAAAUUGAUUUUUUAAGCGAUAUAUAUGUAAUUUAGAUAUCUUCUCGAUUUUCCUAUAAUGGAAAACAUGAAUAAACUAAUAGGAAAUUGUAAUUCUACCUUAAUUAGUGAUUUUGAAUGAGAUUUGAUUAAGUAGUUAUGUUACAUAUUUGGAAAACUCUAUUUAUUGUACAUAAUAAUUAUAUUGGGUUCAAAGAGAUUAUUUUUAAUGGAAAAUAUCUUUUCUUUGUUGAAUUAAGGCAUUUUUCUUCACUUCUCCCUUAAAAAAAUUGAAAGAAAAAAAAAAGUGCAUCCCCUUCGGCGUCCCCUGUCCCCUGCAGGAGACAAUCAUAGAAGAAAGUCGAGCCACCUCUCUCUCUCUCUCUCUCUCUCUCUCUCUCUCUGGCGGCAAUAUAUAACAAUUAAAAGGAAAAUAUAAGCCAUUAGUAUUAUUCAGUAACAACAAGAAUCAUUGAACCAGUCAACGCUUACAUUCGAAUAUAAUAUAUAUUGUGUGUAUUGUGUUGCAUAUUUUAUAACACAUCUUCAAUUAUUUACAUAUAAUAUCAUUCCUGUCUAAAGUCUUCUAUAGCACAUGAUGAUUAAAAAAAUGUCCGAGACUCACCCUAUAACAAUACUCAUAAUUUCCGUUGACAUUUCACAUACUCAACUCAUAGAUUAAAGGAGAGGAGAUGUAUGGUGAAAUUGAAAGGUUCAUCAAAGUAUGGAUUUCAGCCAUCUUAGGUUUAUGUUAUUGUUAUUACAUAGCUGCAAGAAUACCAAAGGGCUUCUUGAGACUUCUCUCCCUUCUCCCUAUUCUCUACCUCUUCAUCAUCCUUCCCUUGAACAUCUCUUCACCUAACUUAGUUGGAUACACUUCCUUCUUCCUUGUUCAACUUGGCAUUUUCAAGCUUCUACUUUUUUCCUUCAACAAAGGCCCUCUUGCCCUAUCACCCCCAAAUAUUGUCCAUUUCAUUUCCAUAGCUUCCCUCCCCAUCACCCCAAAACAACAUCCACCAACCAAUAAAAAUAACACCACCAACACCCAAAAGCCAAAAUGGCUAUUGCCCUUAAAAUUGCUUAUUUUUGCAAUGAUCGCACGUUUUUAUGAGUACAAUGAAUACUUCCACCCUCAUUUCAUAUUAGUCCUCUAUUGUCUUCACUUGUACCUUAGCUUAGAGCUUGUUUUUGCUCUUAUUGCAACCCCGGUUCAAACCCUUUUUGGCUUAGAGAUAGAACCACACUUCAACGAACCCUACCUUUCAUCCUCACUUCAAGAUUUUUGGGGUCAUAGAUGGAACCUUAUGGUUAGACAUGACAAGAAAACUCAUACCGGUGGGUAUCCGCCCGAAUCCAUCCUGACUUUAAUGGAUAAUACCCGAGUUAACCGGAUAUAGGUUCGGGUUCGGGUUCGGGUUUGAGUUCGGGUUUUCCCCGAUAAUCAAAGGUUGGGUACGGAUACGGGUAUGAGAUUACUAGAUCUGUCCCGAACCCGAACCCCUCCCGCCACUUAAAAUCUUUAAAACUUUUGCAUAAUUUAAUCAAAAGACAUAGAAUUUUUAUUACUCGUUAAUUUUAUUUUAGAAUUUUUACAUAAUUUAAUAUUAUUUUCUUAACGAUUUUUAUAAACACAUGCGCUAUGAUAAAUUUAUAGAUAUAUAAGUGGUUAAAAAUAAAUGUUUAACAAUCAAUUUAUUUUUUCUAAAAUCAAAUUUUUAAUAUUUUUUUACAAAAAAAAAAUUAUUUUUCUAUUUUGAAUUGGGUAUGGGACGGAGUCAGGGAUACCCGAUACCCGACAGGUACCCAAUGGGUACGGGGAUGGGAUAAUAAACUUUAACCCGUCGGGUAUCGGGUACGGGUAUGGGGAUAUGUUAGGGAGUCGGGAUAAGGGAUUGUGGAGACAAUAUCCGUACUCGCCCCACCCCAUUGUCAUGUCUACUUAUUGUUUCUCGUCUUCUACGCUUUACAGUAUACAACCAUGUAAGCUGUACGAUUACGGGUUUAGUGGGUCCCUCAUGUGCCACGUCAGCUGCCAUGUUGGCCACGUUCCUUGUGUUUGGGCUUGUGCAUGACUUAAUCUAUUAUCAUGUUACAUGUGUACCUCCCACGUGGGAAAUUAUGUGUUUUUUUGUGCUUCACGGUGUGUGCACGGUGGCCGAGGUGGCUGUUAAGAAGGUGGUUCUCCGUUGUGGAUGGUGGCUGCACCGUGCCGUGUCAGGGCCACUCGUGGUGGCAUUCUUGGCUAUCUCAGUAAAUUGGCUGUUUUUUCCUCAAUUGUUGAGGAAUGAAAUGGAUAGGAAGUCCAGUGAAGAGUAUGUAAUUUUGGUGGAUUUUGUUAAGUCUAAGAUAUACCAUUGAGAAUGUUUAACUCUUGAGAGUAAACGUUAAAGGAUGAGAGAGACUUAUAAUUGUAAUAUUUACCUUAAAGGGUAAAACAUUUCGUUUUUUUUUUAAGAAUUAUUUAAUUGUGAAUAAGGCAUAUAUGUUGAAUAUGUUGAAAAAUGAUGAGUGUGACUCAACAGCUAACAUCUGAAAAUGUGCAAGUCUAAAAAUAUUAAAGUAUUUUAUGUUUUUAUUGGAUUUACGUGGGUGUAUAAAAAAAUAUAUGGGUGUAUGAGUUUAGGUUUGAAGGCAAAAAAAUCUUUAUUUAAAUAUUUGAAAAAAAAAGAAACUUAAUUGCACAUAGUGUUUCAAAUGAAAGACACACAUACGUGGUUUAAAAAAAAAUACCAUCUCUAUCUUGGAUUAAUGCAUUGUUCUUUCUUACAAAAUUGGAAAAAAAAAAAAAAAAAGGAAAAGUGUGUCCCCCCUUGCAGCAAUAACAAUUAGAAAAAUAUCAUCCAUUAGGAGAUUUAUAAUUAAAGUGUGUCCCCCCUUGUAGCAAUAACAACUAGUUAGUAAUAAAUGAUUGAACUACUGUUACAGCUGGCUAAGUUUCCUUCUAGAUUAGUCAAAGGCAAGAUCGAGAGGCACAGAAGCGUGGCAAUUAAUUUGGGUAGCUAUAAUCUGCUGCCUGUAGAACUUCAGAAAUAAAAUUGUCUUUGGAAGUGGUAAUUUGUCGUUUGAUGACUUGCUUGGAAUCUGUAAGAUUUAGAACAUGAUCUUGGUUGCACGCCAGAAUAUUUAAAGGCUUCAGUUAUUCCUUGUUUGAGUGGUUAAACAGCCCAAUGAUGACUAUAAUGGUUUUUUUAUUAUUAAAAUGGAUUAAAAAUUAAAAUUAUCAUAAUGGAUUCAUCAAGAAAGUAUUUAUGAAAAUAGAUGAUUUUUGUCACAUAGGAUUAUAAAAAUGACACCUUAUGUUUUUUGUGUAUUUUAUAGCAUUUUUGUCAAUGCUAAAUUCUCGUAUACUCCAUUUUUGUCAAUGCUAAAUUCAUAUUUAACGAUUAGAUCUUAUGUCACAGUUUUACUCAAUUUAAUGAUGAUCAAGCUAAUAUAAAAUACUUAUAAAAUUAAACUCUUGUCUUUACAACAAUUUAAAAUAAAUAUAAAUGUAUAAUUAAUUAUAAAAAAAAAAAGAUACGUAAGCUUAGUAACGAAGAAUAAAGUAAUAAGAGUAUGUAUUUGUAUUUCUUUUGAUAAUGAAGAAUAUUUUUUUGAGACAAAAUAAGACGUAUAAAUUUCAAUUUUUGUAUAUAUAAUUUUUUGGUUGAGUGUCUUUCAGUAAACGACAUCAUGUUUUAAGAUUUUAGUGUCAGCCUCAACUUUUUGGCAUCUAGAGUUGAAUGGGAACAUUCUUUAGUUGUUAUCACUUUGUCCUGAUUGUUUUCUGCUAGCAAAAUAAAUUUUCAGAAAGUCUGUUGAAAGUCAUUCUAAUUAUCUAGAAUCAUGAGAUGCUCUUCAUCCUGAAGUAGUUAAUUGGUCAAGAUAUAUGCGGGGUGUUGAACAUGUACUGAUUUUCGUUGGCUUGAGAAGUUCUACUGUUUCAUUCACACAAAAAGCUCAUAGAUUCUAGUGGGGAUUCAAAGGAGGCUUUUAUGGGGAGGGGGAAAUGAGAAUAAAAAAAUAGCAUGGGUUAAGUGGGGGGAUAUUUGCAAGGAGUAGAGUGAGAGUGGGCUAGGAGUAAAUGAUAUAAGGUCAUUUAACGAGGCUUUGUUGAGAAAUGGAGAUGAAAUUUAUUCCAUGGUGAGGGGAGGGAGUUUUGGCAAGAAGUGUUAAUUUUGAAGUAUGGUGGUUGGAGGGGCAUUCUAAAUGAGGGAGAACAAAUUCAUGAGUCAUGGUGGUGGAGGGAUUUAAAGAGAGUUUGUGGAGGAAAAAAUGAGGUGAAAUGGUUGAAUGGGUUUUGUUGAUGGGUUUAAAACAAGGUUUUGGUUGAAUGAUUGGGUGGAUAGACAAAGUUUAGCUAAUAUUUUCCCUAGACUUUUUUACUAUCUCCGACCAAUAGGAGGAAGUGAUUGUUAAGAUGGGUUCAUGGAGAGAUGGUUCUUGGCGGUGGGAGGUGAAGUGGAGGAGGAACCCUUUUGUAUGGGAGACUAAACUUAUACAACAGCUUCAUCAAUUACUGGAAGGGGUCCAACUACAAAUUUCAGGAGAAGACAGAUAGUUUUGGAAGCAAUGCCCCUCAGGGCAGUUUUCAACUUCAUCGGCCUAUCACUUUAUUCAACAACUUGGAGGGGCGGGAGAAACUUGACAACUUUUUGAGCAGAUAUGGAAAAUUAAAAUUCCACCUAAAGCUAAAAUUCUUAUGUGGAGAAUUUUCAGAGAUAGAAUGCCAACUCUUGAUAACUUGGUAAAGAGAAAUGCCAUUGAUAGGUAUUGUGAUCAAAUGUGUCCUCUCUGUUUGGGUCAUCAAGAAUCUGCUCAACAUCUUUUCAUCUCUUCUAAUGCCAUUCAAGAUGUUUGGUUGGAAUGCAUCUCAUGGAAAUCUCUUUCUCUUGCACAGCCAAGUAGUUUGGAAGUUCAUUUCAGGUAAUUUGCAGGUUUAGGAGGUUCUAGAAUUGAGUCAGAAUUUUGGCAAGCAACAUGGGGAGCAGUGGUCUUUUGUGUGUAGAAAUUGAGGAACGCAGUUGUUUUUAGACAACAGUUAGUGGACAGAAAGAAAUUGAUAGAGGAAGUUAAAUUCCUUAUCUGGUCAUGGUUACAUAAUCUGGAUUCUGGUUUUAAUUUUUCAUUUGUUCAAUGGUCAUCUAAUCCAGCAGUUUGCGUACAUGGAUGGUUUGGCAGGACAUUAUGUAUGUGGCAAGUAGCUGAGUGCAGGAAAUUCGAUAAAAAAUGUGCAGGAAAGGGUAUGUGUAGCAUUGUGGAAUCUGUCAGGUGGAAAUGCUAAUUAUGGAGGUGAGUUCAUUAAUCUAUUUUGCCACAUACAUGCGAAGAACUUGCACUGUGUUAUUAUUAAGAAAACUUCUCUGCAUGAUAUAUGGCUUUUGGCAGUGGGGUAACUUCCACAUGACUUUGUUUUGCAUAAUUUUAUCCAGCAAAGACAUGUUAUAGCUGGUUAGUGGUGGGAUACUAUACUAUGAGAGGAAAUGAGUGAAUUACAAUACUCUGGUAUGUUGUGGAGCUUUGAACGGUUAUUUUUUAUUUAUGCAAUCAUCGCCUAAAUAUAUUGUAACUGCUGUCAUGAGCUGAUAGGGAAGUUCUAUGAACUUUUUGUAUUUACCUCUGGUACCCUUCUUUAUUACAUAUAUAUAACUUUUGCUGAUUAAAAAAAUGUUUUUUCGAUUUCUUGCUGACACUGUAAAAGAUAGUCAUUGAAGUUUAUUGUUUGUAUACUAGAAAUGGUAUAUUUUAGUUGAAUAAAUCAGAAAUAAUAAUAAAACAGAUAAUGUGUUUUGAGGUGCAAUAAACAGGCUCAAAUCAUUAAUAAUAAUAUUAAGAAUAUGUUGCUAUAAAGAUCUGCUGCAAAUCUUGGGUAACGUAAAACCAUUUUUUUUUUUUAAAUUAACGGGUAUUGCUUUCUAACUCAAAUCAUUUUAGCACCAUAUACUGCUGCCUUUUGGUUGACAUGCAAAUGAGGCAAGCUGAAGAUGCCAUAUUUGAAAUAGAAACCACGGAUAAAGAACAUACAAAUAUAAGAUUGGCCUAGUGGUUAGGAAAGAAGGACUUAAGGGUGAAGGAAGAAAGGAGGGAAGAGAGGUCAUAAGUUUGAAUCUCCACACUGAUAUUUUUAACGAAACUAACAUUUGCCCAUACAAAAAAUCACAUAAAGAACAUUGUGUAAUCAACAUGCUAUGAUUUAGCACAUUCCAUGUUACAAUGUGUCUCACCCUUAUAUUAUUUCUAAAAGUUUCCAUAAAGACUACAAGAAAGCUACAAAGAAGGCAAAAGAAAGGUGCAUAUGCUAUACACCUUAACCUUAUAUUAAUGAUGCAUAAAAAGCAAUAUACCCUUCUCAAUGAGAUGUAGGAAUUAUACCCUGGUUGCGUACACUUGUUUUCUUGGACAUGGGAUAUGCAAGUGCAGAUCGUUGCUUGGUUAACCCUUCAAUGAUAAAAGAAAGUGCCCCAUAAGCAAUGCAGCUCUGUAGAAGUGAUUGGGGUGUACCUGGAGAAUCCUAAAGGAUGAGUCAUAAUAACAAUAAAAACGUACAAGAGAAGAAAAUUAAAUACAUAUUUUUCUUUUUGGUGAAUAAAUUACAUACAUAUAGAGAUAGACUUAUACAAAAGAAUUGAUUGAAAUGCCUGAGUCACUAAAGCAGCUUUUUGUUUUGUUUUGUUAGACCAUUCAACAUAGUAAUAAACCUCAACCUUUCCCCAGCCACCAAUUGGAGACAAAAUUGUCUCAAGUGUUUGGCAUGAAGGAUCAUGUUUAUUCAUAGAUUUCAACAAUGAAAGACAAAUUAAAAUUCAUACCUUUGAGAAAAAAGGUUUGGUCAAAAUAGGUAAGAUUACGGUGACCUUUAUCCUUAAUUUCAAUUGGUGCAGAGACCAACAAGUUACUAAAAAUUUCAAGUAAAGGAUGAUAGUUCAUCAAUUAUUAAAAGAAGGGAUAUACCAGGAAAACUUGUAGCAAGACCAGCGCAGCAUCCAGCUACCCCAGCAUUAAUGGCUGCAGAUGUGAAAGGAAUCACAUUAUCAGUGAGAGAACAUUAUAUUGGCGAGGCUUUUUUAAGUUGGCUUCUAACAUAUUUGGCUGAAUUAGAAGUUUGUUUGCCAAAUUAAACCUCUUUGCCAAAGGAACAUAUUUUUAUGAGUGUUUUUGUAACACUUUUCAUGUAGCAUCUGAACACUACCUUAUCAUAAUUCCUUCUUUCUUUUCAUUAAUAGUUUCCAACUAACUUUUUAGCUUCCAACUAACUUAUAUGUUAAGUUUUGUCAAACACAUCAUUGAAAUUAAAUAUUUUAUACCAUCAUCCUUUCCUCGAAGUCUUCCCAAUAUGCAGACAACCAAACUAUCAACUCCGGAUAAAAUUGCAAAUGUCUAAUGAAAACGAAGACAAAAAAUGAAGAUUAUUAAUGAAUGGACAUGUUCAAAUAGGUAUUAAGUUUGCAAAGUAAAAAGCCGGGCAGAAAAUAAACAACAUUGAUCUCUGGUAUACCUUAGCAUUAGAUCCUGCUUCUAUAAAGGAUCCUUUAAAGCCUUUCUUCUUAAUCAAUCCAGCACCUGAAAACAGACCCAUUGAAAGCAUCCUUGAGCACGAACAGAAAUAUCGACCAACUAUCAAACUCUAAGAAUUUGAAUUUCUUGAUCAUAAUCCUCUGCCAGCAUUUCGAAGAUAGCAUAGAUACACAAAUAUUACCUAUGAUUGAAUAAAGCAGAAAAUUUAGUUCAAAAUCCAUUUCUCUAGUUACUUGUUAGGAAAAUAUUAUAUAGAUUCAAAAUUUUAAGUGAUGUUACACACUCACUCCUCUCCAUCUUCACUCAAAGGUAAUAAAUAACUAAUAACAGAAAAGAUUUGAAGGUGAAAUUAUCUACCAAUAGAUUCCUCUUUAAGUUGUGUACAGGAUAUAAACAAAACGGCAUAUACUCCCAAAUUACAAAUUUCUCAGAGGAUGCUAUAAAUUCAAGAAAGAAAAAACAAUUUCAAAUUGCAAAUUCCGUGUAGCCUAUUUGAUUAAGAAUAAAUCUUAGAUUUAGUUGCAAUUAAUUAAGUGCCUUUAGAGUUAUUCUCCUGUCAGAAAUGGAGAUUUACUUUCUAAAUCUUUAAUACAAAUCUUUAUUAUGUGAAUUACAAGUGAAACUCCAAUUAUGAUUGAAAAACAACAUUAAAAGUACCUAAGGUACUGCUUCUAAGAAAUUUAAAAUACCAGAAACAAGAGAAUGACGAAGAAAAACAGAAAAAAUAAAUGGUAACAUCACAAAAAGUAAACAUAAAGCACAUGCAAGUCCAAGUCAGAGAGAGGACCAUAGCCGAAAAGGGAGCCGGUGAGGGCGCCACAAGCAGUGCUAGUGGCGGCAGGGAGAAGAAGGGAAGCCGUGAGCGACGGAGUAGAGGAAGGACCUACAGAUUUUGUAUGAUUGGGAGCAUUGUUCACAUCACUAACCGAAUUAACUGUUACAUCCGAUGCCAUCACUUUUGAGUUUUGACGAUGUGGUUACCCUGCUCUUGACUUGAAUUUAUUCCACACUAACAACAUUACCUCUUUCAACAAUAAACUAAUCAACACUGCUAUUCACAAUUAUUAAUUAGCUAAGUAAAUAUUUAGGAACACAAGGUCCUUCUCUGACUAUGUCAGUUAUGCAAUCCUCAUUGUUAUUAACGAUAAUCAAAUUCUUUGAAGUAUGAAAACAAAGUUCUGUAUAGAAACCAACGAAAUGGGAUAUUUUUUCUUCCUUUUUUAUUUUAAAAAAAAAUCUCGCAAAGUAUAUAGAGUAAACCAAGCAGAUACACAAGAUAUCACCAUUUUAGUCCUAACCAUGAUUUGCAGAUCCUAAAUGACGACGCAAAUCUGCUAAGAGGCAUCCACAAAGUGAAAACGUUGGCUUAUAUGAAUCACUGGCUUAUAUCAAUCGAAUUGAAUCAUAGUGUUAAAUGAAAGGGAAAGUGCAAGUGCAUGAGCUAGUCCUGGUGCAUUACCAUCAACUACAACUGUCCACUCUUGUUCACUCUUGCUUUAAAUGAUUAAUUUUAUUCCAUUGAAGCUCAAUAUUCAUUUCAAAUGAUGAUUACAUGCUCUUUAAAUGAAUUACUGCAUUAACUUUUGACCACAAAACAUAACCAACUAUGAGCGUGAAAGCACACAUCCAAUUACAUGUUAUCUACUCAUGCAUUAUACAGUACAAACCAAAAAAGCCUACUAUUUUCAACAAUGUUUUAGGUGUGAUUGGUUUGAGGGUGAAACCAACCGAAAUGUAUCAACUGUAAGCUUUUCUUGAGGUAAUAAUCAAUGAUUAUUUUGGCUCCAUAAACUACUCGUUUUCAUUGUGUUUGAUACAGGUACAGGGUAUGAAGAAGAAGGUACCGAGGAAGAAGAAGAUAAGAGUUCAGCUCAAAAGAAGAAUGAGGGGGUGCAGGGAGAAGAAAAGCCCAAAAGAAGGAUUACUAAACCCAGCUACUUAAAGGACUACGUUUAGAAAGAAUUACAUAGCAGCCUCACACACUCAGCCUCAUACUUAAUAGGAAAUUGUUAAGAGAAAUACAUAACCAAUUCUGUUAUUCUAUAUUCUAGAAUGAUUCCUACUUAGCCAGCUCAGCACUAUUCUGUUAGGAAACCAUCUAUAUAAUACCAUGUAAUAAUAAUUACGAGGCAAUGAGAAUAUUCAAGCAUUUCCUUACCUUCUUAUCUUCUCUUCUUAAGGAGGAUUCUGGACCUCGAAUUCCAGAGUUAUCAGUGUUCCUAUUGGUAUUGAAGCUAUUAGUUUCAGGCUAUAAUAAAUUGUAGUAGCUGAAUGCGAUUGUUAGGGAAACAAACCCUUUUAACUACAAUGAACAUCAAAGACAGAACACACUAACAACACCACCAUAAAAAAGAAAUAUGGGAAGAACACAUCAAAGGAUAAAAAACACUAACUGCAACUCCAUAAAAUAGAAAUAGUAGAACAACACAAAUUUAACAUUUUCAGUACUUCUUGCUUAUGUCCACAAAAAUAUCUUAAUAAAUAUUCAUUAUCUCAAAUAAGUUUGGUUUAGGCUUACUAAUAUGUUGGGCCCGGCCCUGAGGAAUGGUCAACCAACAUAAUAUAAUUAAGUCCAUGCAUUCUUAAAUUUUAAGGGACGUACAGGUAUGAUAUAUGCAUGGUGCGAUUCUUGACAGUGGGUGUCUCUCGCCGAUAAUGACAUAAUUACGUAGAUGAGGGGGUGAGUAUGUUGUGUUUGAUGGUUAGUCUUGCAUCUUCCUUUGUGUAUUUAUUCUUAUGUAGAUUAAGAUGUAAGGCGCAGUCAUUUGUUGGGUAAUGCUUUCUUUUGAGCCUUAGGGGUAGGCUAGUAGUUCUUUGCAUUCCAUGUACGGGCCAAUGCAGCCACUUGUAUUUGCACUGCUUGUGCUUCUAAUUAUUAUUAUUAUUAUAUAUAUAUAUAUAUAUAUAUUAUUUCGUCGAUAAAAAGAAAAACUUAUCGUGUGACCCUAAUAUCAAAUAAUCAAUACCAAUCCACAAAAAGAGAAAGAAAUAACCUACUAUAUAGAGUCAAACAAGUAGUAUAUAAUUUGAGUAGUUUCAUGAAAUCAUAAGUUUUAAAUGUUAAGUUUGUGUUCAUCUUCUUAAGCUAUGAUAAAUGAAAUUAUAUAUAUUGAAAUGGAUUUUAUUUAAAAAUAAAUAGAAUUUUAGAAAAACAAUGAGGUUUUUGUGAUUAAAUAAAUCAGGAGAAAUAAUUUUAUUAAUUAAAAUAAUGUUUGUAAGGUAAAUAAAAUAAAUAUAUGUCCUUAGAAAAUAAAAAGAUGUUUUAUUUAUUAAUUUCAUAUAAAUUAAAAUAGAAUUCCUUUUAAUAAAAUAAAUAUAUGCUCUUUUAAGACUUUAACAUAUUCUUUUUUUAUACACUAUUUUCUAUUAGUUGAAAUUAAUUAUUUUAUCUCCAUUUUUAUUUAUAAGACUUUUAAAAUGAUAUUUAUUCUAUUUUAUAAAACUCAAUGUAUAAUAUUUCGUAUUUAUUUAAAAAUUGGGUAGCGUGAUAUGGUAUGGAUACGGUGACAAAUAAUUAACAUUAACAAUGGCAAAUUCAGUGCUGGCAUACACGUUCAGCUUUGUCUGAAUCUAGCGCUGGUCAUAUCUAGCAUGUGUUUUUAAGACAAGUGGAUGAUACUUCAACUAGCGCUGUUCGUAUUAGUUGGUUCAACCAUAAUGGCAUAUUUCAAUACAUUGGAAUAAAUAACUACUUUAUAAAUUAACAAUACAUCCAACUUGCUGAAUCAAAGAAUAUUAAAUAUUAAUCAAUUGUCCUCCUCUUACUACGGACAUGGCUAUAUAUAAUGUUGAAGAGCAUCAAGUUUUGCACUCACAACAAACCAAAAAAACAGAGCUAGCUAGCUAGACUAAAAUGGCUGAAACUGCAGUGUCCUUGGCUGGUCAGCAUGCGCUUCCAAAAAUAUUGGAAGCUGUCAAAAUGCUGAGAGAUCUCCCAAAGGAAGUUAGAGACAUUACAGAUGAACUUGAAAGCUUUCAAGAUUUCAUCAAUGAUGCUGAUAAAGUGGCUGAAGCUGAACAAGAUGAUGGAAGGCGUCAUAGAAUAAAAGAAAGGGUGAUGCGGCUGAGAGAAGUAGCUUUUUGCAUGGAAGAUGUCAUUGAUGACUAUAACAUCUCCUGUGAGGAUAAGCAACCUGAUGAUCCUCGAUGUGCAGCUUUACUAUGUGAGGCUGUUGCCUUCAUCAAAACUCAAAUCCUUCUCCUUCAAAGUGCAUAUAAGAUUCAGGAUGUAAAAUCCCUUGUUCGUGCUGAAAGAGAUGCUUUCCAAAGCCAUUUUCCAUUAGAGCAAAGACCAACCAGUUCUAGAGGAAAUCAAGAUGGAAGAUGAGGUUGUGGGGCUUGAUGGCCCUAGAGGUAUAUUGAAAAAUUGGUUGACAAAGGGAAGAGAAAAACGCACUGUCAUAAAUUGGUUGACAAAGGGAAGAGAAAAACCACUCUUGCCAAGCAAGUUUAUGACCAGGUGCGUAACAAUUUCGAGUGCCAUGCGUUGAUCACAGUUUCUCAAUCCUUCUCUGCUGAAGGAUUGCUGAGGCAUAUGUUGAAUGAGCUUUGCAAAGAAAAAAAGGAGGACCCUCCCAAGGAUGUUUCUACCAUCGAGUCGUUGACAGAAGAAGUCAGAAACCGCUUGCACAACAAGAGGUAUGUUGUCUUGUUUGAUGACGUAUGGAAUGGAAAAUUUUGGGAUCACAUUGAAUCUGCUGUAAUUGAUAAUAAAAAUGGAAGUAGGAUAUUAAUCACAACCAGGGAUGAGAAGGUUGCAGAAUAUUGUAGGAAAUCAUCAUUUGUUGAGGUGCAUAAGCUAGAAAAACCUUUAACUGAAGAAGAAUCUUUGAAAUUGUUCUGUAAGAAGGCAUUUCAGUAUAGUUCCGAUGGAGAUUGUCCAGAAGAACUUAAAGAUAUAUCUCUUGAAAUUGUUAGAAAGUGUAAAGGUUUACCUCUAGCAAUAGUGGCCAUUGGUGGUCUUUUGUCUCAAAAAGAUGAAAGUGCACCUGAAUGGGGACAGUUUAGUCGAGAUCUAAGUUUAGACUUGGAGAGGAAUUCUGAGUUAAAUAGUAUAACAAAAAUUUUAGGUUUAAGUUAUGAUGAUUUGCCGAUCAAUCUCAGAUCAUGUUUAUUGUAUUUCGGAAUGUAUCCGGAGGACUAUGAAGUUACAUCUGAUAGAUUGAUUAGACAGUGGAUAGCUGAAGGGUUUGUCAAACAUGAAACCGGAAAAACAUUGGAAGAAGUUGGGCAACAAUAUUUAUCAGGGUUGGUCCGUAGAAGUUUGGUGCAAGUAUCCUCAUUUAGAAUUGAUGGCAAAGUUAAAAGGUGUCAUGUUCAUGACUUAAUACACGACAUGAUCCUUAGAAAAGUCAAGGAUACAGGAUUUUGUCAGUAUAUUGACGGGCCUGAUCAAUCUGUAUCAAGUAAGAUUGUUCGACGCCUGACAAUUGCAACCGAUGAUUUUAGUGGAAGUAUAGGAAGCUCACCCAUUCGGUCAAUUCUUAUCAUGACAGGAAAGUAUGAAAAAUUAUCUCAAGACUUGGUAAACAAAUUCCCUACAAAUUACAUGGUACUGAAGGUACUUGAUUUUGAAGGUUCUGGUUUACGUUAUGUUCCUGAAAAUUUGGGGAAUUUAUGCUACUUGAAGUAUUUAAGCUUCCGGUAUACAUGGAUAACAAGUCUACCAAAAUCCAUUGGCAAGCUCCAGAAUUUGGAGACCUUGGAUAUAAGAGACACAAGGGUGUCUAAGAUGCCAGAGGAGAUUCGUAAGCUUACUAAGCUACGUCAGCUUCUGUCUUAUUAUACGGGUUUAAUUCAAUGGAAGGAUAUUGGAGGCAUGACAUCCCUACAAGAGAUACCUCCAGUGAUUAUAGAUGAUGAUGGAGUGGUCAUUGGAGAGGUAGGAAAGCUAAAGCAGUUAAGGGAACUGUUGGUGGUAAAAUUUAGGGGAAAACACGAAAAGACUUUGUGUUCCGUAAUAAAUGAGAUGCCACUCUUGGAGAAACUACAUAUUUAUACAGCUGAUUGGAGUGAAGUAAUUGACUUGUACAUUACGUCACCUAUGUCUACACUUAGGCAGCUUGUCCUAUGGGGGACGUUAACAAGGUUGCCAAAUUGGAUUUUACAGUUCCCAAAUCUUGUGCAACUGUCUUUGGUGGGCUCCAAGUUGACUAAUGAUGCAUUCAAUUCACUAAAAAAUAUGCCAAGGUUGUUGUUCCUGGAUUUAAGUUACAAUGCUUAUGAAGGUGAAACUUUGAAUUUUCAAGGUGGAGGGUUUCAGAAACUAAAGCGACUGCAACUCAGAUAUUUGGAUCAAUUGAAGUGCAUCCUUAUCGACAGAGGAGCACUGUGUUCUGUGGAAGAAAUUGUUUUACAAGACCUCUCCCAACUCAAAACAGUUCCCUCGGGAAUUCAACACUUGGAGAAGCUUAAAGAUCUCUAUAUCAACUACAUGCCAACUGAAUUGGUGCAGCGCAUUGCUCCUGAUGGAGGAGAAGACCACUGGAUCAUCCAAGAUUUGCCCCAUGUACGUAUUUGGAGCAGGGGUGCUGAAGAACCUUCGCAUAUAUUCGGCAGAAGUCAUCACUAAGAUGCGUCCAAAUUUGAAAAUUGAAGGUGCCUCUUUUUCACAUCUAUAACUUUGUAGAAUGACAUUCGUGGCCUUUUUCUUUUCUUCAAUAAAAAAUGCAACCAUUAUCUAAUUCCUAAAAGAAUUACUUUUGCCUCAUUCUCUCUUCUAGUAUUUGCUUCAUUUUUCUUUCUCUACAACAUCUCACGUACAAGUUAGGGAUAGAAUUGUCUAACAAGUAUAGGCCUACACCAACCAAAGUUAACGUUUCUUCAUUAUAAGAUUCUCACCAUUAUAAUCCUUUCUAUUAUUGUGCUCAGAAUUGGUAGAUGUUGACCUCAACUGGAUUGAGUUUUUUAUUUCCAUGUUGAUAAAUACUUGAAAAUUUUCAUUGUAUCAUUUUAAGAAGAAAUUAACUUGGUGUUUUUAUAGGGUCGUAAGCAUAUACUUCGUGUAAAUGUUGUGGGUUUUUAAAGUUUCAUUAUGAUUAAAGUCCAAUAAUGUGGAUUUUUUUCAUAAAUUAGAUUGUGUUAAAUGUUUCUAAUUUUGAUGCUUUGAAGUUUGACCCACUUUGUACAAUCAUGAAUUUAGGAAAGCACUGAGGGAAGAUUGUAAGAGGUGUUCCAAAUUCAAUGUUUCCGACGUUCCAAUCAUGUGGUUUUUGAGUGUUAAUUAUUACGUCCAUUUUAGCGUUAUUAACACCAACACAAUAUGAAGAAGCUAAAAAUAGUGUUCCUACAAAGGCAGACAAUUUUUGACAACGGGAAAACUCAAGAUUCCCUCAAGUUCUUUCUUUUCCAGCUUGUGAAAUGGUGGAUGCAUGAGUGGAUUUGAGGCAUCAAAUUGAUUUUUUAAGCUUCCUUCUUCUCUUUCUCUUGUUUCCCUUUUUUUCUAAAAUGUGUACUCAAAUUUUUGUUAACUUGAUGUAAUUUGAAUUCUUAUCUAUAAUUCAAGUUCAUUUCUUUUAAAUUGAUUGUUUGUCUUUGUUUUAAUUUAAUGCCUUUAUAAAUUGGCAUUUGGUUACUUAUAGUACCUUGAUCGCAUAUUCUUAUCUACAACUGUGAAAUUGAAAUAAAGAUUGAAUUUAAGGUAUAAUGCAACAAGAUUGGAUAUUCUAUAGUAAUAAAUAUCAACAAUUACGCUAAUUUAGGGUGUGUUUGAUUUGUAUUUUCAUUUUCUGUUUUCAUUUUCUGAAAAUUAUUUUCAUUUCCAAAAGAUUAGAAUUCUGAAAAUAUGUUUUGUUUGACUUCUUGUUUUCUGUUUUUAGGAAAUUAAAACACUGAAAAUUUAUGAUAUAUUGACUUCUUGUCUUUUUUUAUUUUUAGAUUUACUUAAAAUUACAUUUAUUGUCAUCACAUUUUUAUUUUACCCAAAAUGAGGUUCCUGUUUAUAACUGAAAACGAAAUUUUAUUGUUUUCAUUUUCUGGUUUUUUUUCUGUUUUUAUUUUCACUGGAAACGUUUUAAAAAAUUCAACCAAACACAUUUUCAUCACCAUUUUCUGUUUUCAGUGAAAAUGAAAACAGAAAACAGUCAAACCAAACACCCCCUUAGAUAUUCUUGAACCUAAUGAUUACCCUAAUUGAGAAAUUCUAAAGAUUUAGAAUUUUCAAUUGCGGAAGAGUUUUUGAAUUAAGAUAUAUUCACCUUCAAUUACAAUAGUAAAUAAUAAAUUCAGUUUCCAAUAUGCUUCUAGAACUUGAAUUGGAGUGAAAAUUUGGGUUGUACAUGUUAAGCUUGGGGUGACCUCGUACGAUAACAAGACAUGUUAGAUCCUCUUAGCAUAGUGCUUCAGCAAUUUUGGUACCCAAACUUUUAUGUUCAGGUUUGAUCCCAUAUUUUUCAAAAAAAAAAAUAAUGGUUGAAUAUAUGUUAUUAAAAUCAAUUUAUAUAUCACUUAUAUGGAGUAAGAUAAAUUUUUCAAGGCUUAAUUUUAUCUUUUUGUCUCAUUCAUUAUUUAUUUUAUUUAAUUUUAUCCUCCUAAUAAUAAAAUCGUUAAUUUGAUUGCUUAAUUUCAAAUCGAUUCAAUUUGGUCUCUUUGCUCCAAAUUCACUUGACGUUGUUUAUUAAUUGUGGGAUGGGAUUGAAUCAAAUAAAGGAACAAAUUAAAUUGUUUAUUAAAAUUGAAAAAAAAAAUGAAAAAACAGUGAGAACAAGAAGUUUAUUAAGGGGUCAAAUUGCACCGUUUUGAAAAUUAAAGUACUAAAUUAAAUUUUUUAUUAAUAAAGGACCAAUGCUAAAUAAAUAAAUAGCACGACAAAAAAGUAGGAUUUUUUUUUUACUCAGAAAAUUUGAAAAUUUUAUUGAAUUCUAAAAUAUUCAAUUAACUUGCCUAGUUUUUUGUUUAUUCACUCUCUUUUUUUCCUUUUAAUCCUUGAUGUUUGAAAACUUCAAAAUUAUUUUUGAUCACAAACAUAUUUUAACUCUCAUAAAACAACAAAACAAUGUUUUCUAAAAUGGGACAGUUAUCAGUUAUUGAUAAAUCACUUUCUGAGUGAUAUUUUGUACAAACUUUUGUAUUAUUUUAUAUGCAUUUUUUUGAUACAAUUCACAUUUGAACAUUAGUUUUGUAUUCGAGAAGUAUAACUACUCAAUUGAGUGAAAGAGUAGAAAAUUGUACAAAUUUAUGAAGAUUUAAGAACUUUACAUAACUUGAUUACUAUUGUGGUACAUUGAUUACGAUCGUGAUAAUCAACAUGAUCACAAUAAAGUGAUAACAGUCAUCCCUAAUGUUUUUAUAAUAAAAAUGUGAUAUUGAUUUAAAUGUUUAUUUAAUCUCACAAAAAUCAUUUAAAGAAAUAGUUAGACCUAAAAUCAAAAUAUAAAUAUAAUAACACCAAAAAUAAAAAUUUAAACACAUGAAUUUUUAAUAAUUAUAAAUAUAGAUUUACCUUAUGUCUUGUCGAUCUAAAAGAGUUAAAUUCACUGUAACUUUUAUUGGUACAACUAACACUACUUACAAUUACAAUAAACAUUGUUUUAUCACAUUUACACAUUAGGAAGAUCAGAAAUUCAGUUGAUGUUGUAGUAGGACAAAAAUAAGGAGACAAAAUCACUAACGUGUUCACAAAAAUAUUUAGAAUUAGCUAAGGCUUUAGUUUUUAAAUUUUUUUAAAUUUGAUUUUAAUCACUAAAUUCUUUUUUGACUAGUCAAAGUUUUUUAACUUUUAGAAAUUUUAAUUUUUAGUUCUUGAAUAAAAAAUUAAAUCUAUUAUUUUUAUUAAUUUAAUGAGUUUUUAAUAAUUAUAAAUCGAUUUUUUAAAAGUUUAGAAAUUAAAAAUCUUAAUGAAAAAAAGUCGAGAGACAUUGACCCGUCAAAUAAAAAUGUAAGAACUAAAAAUCUUGAUAAAAAAAUUGAAAGAUCUUGAUGAAUAGAAAAAAAAUUUAAAAAUUAAAAACUAAAUUUUGAAAAAGUUUAGUAAUAAUUAGCCCAAAUAUUUAAGAGAGAUGCUGGAAUCUCAAAGUCUUCCUAUCAAGUCUCAAGGUAGACGUUGCACUAACGUUUUUGUAAACACUAGCGUGGAUAAAAAAAUAUGAUGUCAAUUUGAUGUAGAUAAAAGUAUGUCGUAAUAAAAAAAUCGUAUUAAGUGUAUAUAUCAUUUUUUAAAUUAUUAUUAUAAAAGUUGAUAAUUAAAUUUAUUAUAUAUAUAUACCAUUUAUGAUUAGAUGAGAGAGUAAAGUCUUAUAUUUUCGCAUUAACUAUAUCUUGCUUCUACAAAACAUUUAUUCUUAGCCAAUUUAUCACCAGAAGACUCUUUGUAAGCAUCUUUUAGUAGUAUUAAACUCUCUAGGAAAAUCUUCAUCCAGUAUUUUAAUGACAACUAGGUGAUCCUUGAUCCUGCGAAAAAAUAGGAAAGCAAAUUUUGUUCUUCUAAAUUAAAGACCAACGAAAUAGAUCAAAAAUUUCCAUUUUUGAAAGAAAAAAGAGAGUAAAUUUUAAAGCUUAGAGUAAAACCAUAUGGAAUGAUAAGAAGGAUACACCAGCCUGUAUAUAGCUUUUGAAAGUAAAUAGAAUAGCUUAAUUACCCUCUUUCACCAAUGGUUAACCUAGUUAAAAAAAAAAAACUGUUCCUGUGGAUCAGCAUUUAAUUUCUUACUCAUCAUAUAAUAUAUUAUUAUUGCCAGCAUCGAUUAGAUCAAAUCAGAUGGCUGACCUAUUCAACGACAAUUCAUCAUCUCGGACCAGUUUAAAGAUCAAUCCUCAAAAUGAUGAAUUGUGUAAAUUAUUGGCGCAAACUAAAACACUAGAGCCAAAUGAAUAAUUAAAAUAAUAUAUAUAUAUAUAUAUAUAUAUAUAUAUAUAUAUAUAUAUAUAUAUAUAUAUAUAUAUAUAUAUAUACCUGCAAGGUAAAUACUUUGACAAGUGUAAGAUAUUUUAUUUAAAUUUUAUCCGUACAAUAACACUGACAAAUACAUCUGACAUUGUUUAAUUAAUCACAUUUAUAUACAAUUAACUAGAUAGCAAAUUCACAACUUGCUAUAGCACGACAAAAAUAAAGGGAAAAAUAUCACAACUUGUUCAUAGUAUAUUUAAGAUAGAUGAUGCUGAAAAGUUCAAAGUCUUCCUCUCGACAGAUGUGAUAAAAUUUUUAUAUAACACUUAUGGGUACAAAAUAUAUAACACUAAUAUGCUAUAGAUAAAGGAGAUGUAUUCGAGAAAACCUGAUCGCCAUAAAAGUUAAUCAUAUCUGUAUAAUUAUGCAUAGAUUAUUAUUUUACUUAAAAUUAAUUUUAUAUUUAUUGUAUUUGUACAAUUAAGAUUAAUUAAUCGUGCGUGAGACUAACAAGAGUUGACACAUUUGAUGGAGACUUUUGUCCACACUUGCUAUAACUUGACAGUCUUCCUUGACUUUACAAGAGGUGGCAUGGCUUCCCCUAUUGUAAUUUUUCACCUCAAAAAUAGGAUGAAUAGUACGUGAGAACAUCAUCUUACCUGGAUAUAAAAAGGGCAAUAUGAAAAUAUACAAGAUAUUAUAAUAAAGUUUGUGUCAAUGUGUGUCAUCGCGUGUGGCUAACAUGAAAUCAAUACAUUGAUCGAAUGGAGAAAGAAAGAUCAUAAUCAUAAUAAGAAAAAUAUUAGAGCAUGUUCUUUUAAGACUUUAACAUGGUCUUUUUUACACACUGUUUUCUAUUAGUUGAAAUUGAUUAUUCCUUUCCUGUUCCUAUUUAUAAGACUUUUAAAAUAAUGCUUAUUCUUUUUUUAUAAAAUUUAAUUUAUAAUAUUUCUUACACUCAAUUAUUUUUAAAAUAAAUAUGCAUCAUUAAAAAAAUAACAAAUAUAUCAAUAAACCAUUAGACGAGAGAAAAUUUUAAUGACAAAAAUAAUUUUAAAAAAUAUUAUAAAUGUAAGACAAACUUAUUAUUAUGAAUUAAAUUAGUCACUUUCUUUAAUCAUAAUGAAUUAGGUAAUUGCAUGGAGGGACUAAAAAUCAUAAAAUUGAAUGGAUUUCAUCAGUUCUUAUUUAAAGGACCUUACUCAUGAUUUUUCAUUUUUAACAAAUUUCAAUCAAUAAGAAAGUGUGCUAGAAAGUGUAAUGCCAACACUCAAAACUUUGUGUUGUAAUACUAAUUUAAUGUGGUUAACUAAUUUUCUUAAUUAGAACAAAUGAGUAUUUUCUUUGGUAAAUGCCAACUAGUAUCCUUAACACAUUAGGUAAAGAACUUAAAGUAGAAAUAUUUUAAUGGAAGAUAGAAAAUUACGUUGCUCAUGAUUUUUUUGAAUUCUCUUAAUCUUUACAGUGAAUAUUUUCUUCUUUUAGUUUCUUAACUAGUGUUCUUUUCUUCUUUUAGUUUCUUAACUAGUGCUCUCAGGGCACAAGUUUAGCAAGACCAUUUUUCUUAUAUUUGAGAUCCAACAGAGUAUGAACUUUACAGGUUUUUGUGCAAUUGGUCCGAAUUUAGGUUAAAUUAAGAUUAAAUCCUAAUGAGUCAUGUUGAAUAUAUUAUAUAUUGGUUAUAUUUGAUUUUUUUUAAAAUAAAUCAUUCUAUUGUCAUUUAAAAUUUUUAUCUCCAUUGAGUGUUGAUUUUUUAUUAUCUAAAACUGUAAGCAAAUGAAUAUAUUAGAGAAUCAAACAAACUGUAAUUGGAUAUUCAUAUUUGAAGUAAAAAAAAAAAAAAGAGAGAGAGAACUAAUCAAUCAAACCAAUUUGAAUCAAAAUAAUUGAUUUGAUUUAGAUUGUGAGUUUAUCAAGUCAAUUUGAUCAAUGCUCCUAAAAUAAAGAAAACAAGUGAAAAAAAGAGGGAAAAGAAGUUUAAAAUGACCCAAUUUGUUAGAUUUUCUUUUCCGUUUGUUACUAUAUUAUAGGUGUAAAAGUAAUCUAUCAACUUUGUCAAUCAAUAUUUCCGUUAGAGAAUGUGACUCGUACACCAUUAGUGAUUGUUUGUUCCUCCGUUUUCUCGGAAAAUAAACAAAGCUUGAAAGAUUGGCCGCUUGAAUUGAUAUUGCACUGUAUCUGUUUAACAAGUGGUACUUUAAACAUUAAACUGUUUUUUUAUGAUAUAUUCACAAACAUAUUUGUCUUUUUUAUUCGUUUAAACUUUGUAGUUGCAGAGUUCAGAUGUAUAUUGUUAAGCAAAUAAGCUGGUAACGGAAGCAUGAGCCUAAAGCUACAGAGCCAAUAGAACAAGCAAACAUUAAUUUAUUCCUAACAGGCAAUUAAGUUGACAAGCAGGGCCGUUUAAUUUUGUUGGUAAAACUAAUACCGACAAACAUCAUUAUUUGAAUCGAAUAAUUAGUUUUCAUACUUAUUUAAAAACUGGGUAGCGUGAUAUGGUAUGGAUACGGUAACAAUUAAACAAUUAACAUUAGCAAUGGCAAAUUCAGUGCUGGCAUGCACGUUGUGUCUGAAACUAGGGCGGGUCAUAUCUAGCAUGUGUUUUUAGAAGGAUUCCACGGAUUUGUUUCAAGGUCCCGCAAUUGAGAAAACUGCUAUCUUCCAAGCAAACUCGUUUGAUUCGAUCUAGACUAAGUUAACACAAGUUUAGUCUGCGUGUCUACUGAGUCUUGUCUCAAUAUGCUAAAAAUGAAUUUAAAUACUAUUAAUUUAACCCGCAUGAAUCAAAUAGACUAUUAAACUCAUAUGAAUAGUACGUGAAAAUAGACUUGUGAGUUAACAGAGUUUAGUUUGAGUGUCUAGUGAGUCUUGUCUCAAUAUGCUAAAAAUGAGUUUGAAUACUAUUUAACCCGCAUAAAUCAAAUAAACUAUUAAACUCACAUGAAUAGUAACUGAAAAUAUCAUCUUACAUACCACUGGUUAUAAAAAAGGUAAUAUGAAUAAUAUGUGAGAACAUCAUUUUACAUACUUAUUGGAUAUAAAAAAUAGCAAUAUGAAAAUAUACAAGAUAUUAUAAUAAAGUUUGUGACUAUGUGUGUCAUCGUGUGUGACUAACAUGCAAUCCAUCCAUUGAUCGAAUGAAGAAAAAAAAAUCAUAAUCAUAAUAAGAGAAAUAUUGACAGCGUGCUCUUUUAAGACUUUUAAAAUGAUUUUUUUUUAUAAAGCUCAAUUUACAAUGUUUUUUAGAUUAAUUAUUUUUAAACUAAAAAUAUUCAUCAUUAAAAGAAUUAAGAAAAAGAAUGUAUUUACAAAUCAGCCUUAUUCAUGAUUUUUUUUUAGUUUUAACAAAUUUCAACCAAUAAGAAAGUAUGCUAGAAAUGGCCAACAGUCAAAACUUUGUGUGGUAAUACUAAUUUUAAGGGCUAACCAUAAUUAGGUUUUCUUUAUGAGAGAAAAGUAAUACUUCCUUUAUAAGCUAAAAUUUAUUUUUUUAGUUUCAAAUAUAAGAAAUUUUCAAGUAAAUUUACUUUAUUUAAUGUUAUUAUCUCUAAAAUAUCCUUCAUUUAAUUGAGGUUUUUUUCAAUGAUUUUUUAUGUUUAAUAUGAAGUUUCAAUGAAGGAUAUGUUGAGAAAAAAAUAAUUUUUAAUUAAGAUUGAUGAAUUAAAUGUUAUUAAUUAACUUUCUUGGUUAGUACAAAAAAAUAUUUUGAGACCGAAGGGAGGGAGUAUGAAUUUUACAAGUUUUUGUGCAAUUGGUCAAAAUUUAGAGGAAAUUAAAAUUAAAUCCUAACCAGUCAUAUCCAAUUAUAUAUUGGUUAUAUUUGAAAUUUAAAAAAAAUAAAUCAAUCUAUUUUCUUUUAAGUUUUUAUCUUCACUAAGUGUUGAUUUUUAUGAUUUUAAACUUUAUGUUAAUGCAAGGCAAAAAAAGACAAAUUAGAGAAUCAAACAAAUUGUAAUUUUUUAAAGCAAAAGAAUAUAGUAGAGAAUCAAACAAACUGUAAUUGGAUAUUCAAAUUUGAAGUAAAAAAAACUAAUUAAUCGAACUAAUUUGAAUCAAAAUAAUUGGUUUUAUUUAGAAUGUUGAGUUUAUGAUCAAGUCAAUUUGAUCAAUGCUCCUAAAAUGAAGAAAAUAAAUGAAAAAUAAGAGUAAAAAAGAAGUAUAAAAUGACCUAAUUUCUUAGGUUGUUUAUGUUAUUAUAUUAUAGAUGCAAAGUAAUCUAUCAGUUUUACCAACAAAUAAUUUCUAUUAGAGAAUCUGAUUUGUUCAUCUUUAGUGAUUUUUUAUGAGAGAAAAAAUUAAAAAAAGAAUCUUUAUUUUAUAUUUAAUUAUGUAGAAAAUUUUAAAAAAAGUUAUAUAUACUCAAAAUAAGAAGUAUAUAUACUAAAAAGGAUAGUUUUAUAUCGUCCUUCUUGCAUGUUCCCUCCGUUUUCUAGGAAAAUAAACAAAGCUUGAAAGUUAGCCCGCUUGAAUUGAUAUUGCACUGUAGCUGAUUAACAAGUUGUACUUUAAACAUUAAAAUAAGAAGUAUAUUCACAGAUAUUGUCUUUUCUGUUCGUUUAAACUUUAAACAUUAAAAUGAGAAGUAUAUCAUAAAAUUGAAAAGAAGAUUCAUAAAUCUGAAUCUUAAAGUUUUAAAUUAAAAUGUGUUGUAAAGUUUUUUUAUUUGAUUUUUUAUGGUUCAUUCCUGUAAAUCUUCAAUUAUGUGAUAGCGUGAUAUGGUAUGGAUACAAUGACAAACAAUUGACAUUAACGAUGGCAAAUUCAGUGCUGACAUCCAACUGUUAUAUCUAGCAUGUGUUUAUAGGACAAGUGGAUGAUACUUUAACUUCCACAUGCCAACUAUUAUGACUUCGUAUUAAUUGGAAUAAAUAACUACUUUAUAAAUUAGCAAUACAUCCAACUUGCUGAAUAAAAUAAUAUUAAAUAUUAAUCAAUUGUCCCCCUCUUACUACGGACAUGGCUAUAUACGUUCAAGAACAUCAAGUUUUGCAAUCACAACAAACCAAAAAGCAGAGCUAACUAGCUAGACUAAAAUGGCAGAAACUGCAGUGUCCUUGGCUGGUAAGCAUGCCCUUCCAAAAAUAUUGGAAGCUAUCAAAAUGGUGAGAGAUCUCCCAAAAGAAGUUAGAGACAUUACAGAUGAACUUGAAAGGUUUCAAGAUUUCAUUAAUGAUGCUGACAAAGUGGCUGAAGCUGAACAAGAUGAUGGAAGGCGUCAUAGAAUAAAAGAAAGGGUGAUGCGGCUGAGAGAAGCAGCUUUCCGCAUGGAAGAUGUCAUCGAUGAAUAUAACAUCUCCUGUGAGGAUAAGCAACCUGAUGAUCCUCGAUGUGCAGCUUUACUAUGUGAGGCUGUUGACUUCAUCAAAACUCAAAUCCUUCGCCUUCAAAGUGCGUACAAGAUUCAGGAUGUUAAAUCGCUUGUUCGUGCUGAAAGAGAUGGUUUCCAAAGCCAUUUUCCUUUAGAACCAAGACUAACAAGUUCUAGAGGAAAUCAAGAUGUCACCUGGAAGAAACUUCGAAUGGAUCCUCUCUUUAUCGAGGAAAAUGAUGUUGUGGGGCUUGAUGGCCCUAGAGAUACAUUGAAAAAUUGGUUGACAAAGGGAAGAGAAAAACGCACUGUCAUCUCUGUGGUGGGAAUUCCUGGGGUGUGAAAAACCACUGUUGCCAAGCAAGUUUAUGACCAGGUGCGUAACAAUUUCGACUACUAUGCAUUGAUCACAGUGUCUCAAUCCUACUCUGCAGAAGGACUACUGAGGCGUUUGUUGGAUGAGCUUUGCAAAGUUAAAAAGGAGGACCCUCCCAAGGGUGUUUCUAACAUGGAGUCGUUGACCGAAGAAGUCAGAAACCGCUUGCGCAACAAGAGGUAUGUUGUCUUGUUUGAUGACGUAUGGAAUGAAACAUUUUGGGAUCACAUUGAAUCUGCUGUAAUUGAUAAUAAAAAUGGAAGUAGGAUUUUAAUCACAACCAGGGAUGUGAAGGUUGCUGGAUAUUGUAAGAAAUCAUCAUUUGUUGAGGUGCUUAAGCUAGAAGAACCUUUAACUGAAGAAGAAUCAUUGAAAUUGUUUUCUAAGAAGGCAUUUCAGUAUAGUUCCGAUGGAGAUUGUCCAGAAGAACUUAAAGAUAUGUCUCUUGAAAUUGUUAGAAAGUGUAAAGGUUUACCUCUAGCAAUUGUUGCCAUUGGUUGUCUUUUGUCUCAAAAAGAUGAAAGUGCACCCGAAUGGAAACAGUUUAGUGAAAAUCUUUGUUUAGACCAGUUGGAGAGGAAUUCUGAGUUAAAUAGUAUAACAAAAAUUUUAGGUCUAAGUUAUGAUGAUUUGCCGAUCAAUCUCAGAUCAUGUUUGUUGUAUUUCGGAAUGUAUCCGGAGGACUAUGAAAUUAAAUCUGAUAGAUUGAUUAGACAGUGGAUAGCUGAAGGGUUUGUCAAACAUGAAACCGGAAAAACAUUAGAAGAAGUUGGGCAACAAUAUUUAUCAGGGUUGGUCCGUAGAAGCUUGGUGCAAGUAUCCUCAUUUAAAAUUCAUGGCAAAGUUAAUAGGUGUCGUGUUCAUGACUUAAUACACGACAUGAUCCUUAGAAAAGUUAAGGAUACAGGGUUUUGUCAGUAUAUUGACGGGCGUGAUCAAUCUGUAUCAAGUAAGAUUGUUCGACGCCUGACAAUUGCAACCCAUGAUUUUAGUGGAAGUACAGGAAGCUCACCCAUUCGGUCAUUUUUUAUUAGCACAGGAGAAGAUGAAGUAUCUCAACACUUAGUAAACAAAAUCCCUACCAAUUACUUGCUAUUGAAGGUACUAGAUUUUGAAGGUUUUGGUUUACGUUAUGUUCCUGAAAAUUUGGGGAAUUUAUGCCACUUGAAGUAUUUAAGCUUCCGGUUUACAGGGAUAAAAAGUCUACCAAAAUCCAUUGGCAAGCUCCAGAAUUUAGAGACCUUGGAUAUAAGAGACACAAGUGUGUAUAAGAUGCCAGAGGAGAUUCGUAAGCUUACUAAGCUACGUCAUCUUCUGUCUUAUUAUAUGGGUUUAAUUCAAUUGAAGGAUAUUGGAGGCAUGACAUCCCUACAAGAGAUACCUCCAGUGAUUAUAGAAGAUGAUGGAGUGGUGGUCAUUAGAGAGGUAGGAAAGCUAAAGCAGUUAAGGGAACUGUGGGUGGUACAAUUAAGUGGAAAACACGAAAAGACUUUGUGUUCCGUAAUAAAUGAGAUGCCACACUUGGAGAAACUACGUAUUCGUACAGCUGAUGAGAGUGAAGUAAUUGACUUGUACAUUACGUCACCUAUGUCUACACUUAGGAAGCUUGACCUAAGUGGGACGUUAACAAGGUUUCCAAAUUGGAUUUCACAGUUCCCAAAUCUUGUGCAUCUGCAUUUGUGGGGCUCCAGGUUGACUAAUGAUGCAUUGAAUUCACUAAAAAAUAUGCCAAGGUUGUUGUUCCUCGAUUUAAGUUACAAUGCUUAUGAAGGUGAAACUUUGCAUUUUCAAUGUGGAGGGUUUCAGAAGAAGAAGAAGAAGACACAGAGGUAAGAAAAGGGAAAUAUCAUUUUCUCAUUCAUCCCCUUGCUUGUUAUUUACAUGGAUAUAUAUAGCAUUCCUCUUAACAAAUCUGUGCUAUUCUGCUCAAGGAAUAUUACAUCAUAACAGAAUUUGUUAUGCACGAAUCAAGCAAGAUUUUCCUAAUUACUGUAUUGCCCAUACUGCCCUCUGCUUCAAACAAAAUCACGAAGGUAUGAUGGCCCUGCUAUCCUUCUCGUGGACCUUUCUUUUUACACCUCUGGUUUGCUGAUUGUUACCAUUGCCUUCUCUGUUCCAGCUUCCUUGUUGCCUAUUUCUGGUAUCCUAUCAUUUCCCGCCCUCAUCAAAAACACCUUGUCCUCAAGGUGUUGGGCGUUCAAACUACAGCUUCCAAAAGCAAUACCGGGGUCCCAAGGUUCAUUCCGACGAACCUGCAAUUCCACUAAGUAUCCGUGAGGAAGGAACAUCACGCGAAAAAGAGUUGGAGCAGUCCAACAAGGUAAGCUCAGAGAGAUCAAUAGUGGAGGCUGGAAGAAGGUGUGGGGACUUCUCCCAACAACAAGGAGGACCUCUCGAAUGCCGGAGAGAAGGCCGGCAAGGCGCAAAAUUCCCGGUGUGAAAUCUCCCGAUAAGGAUUUCAGACCAAUUUGGGCCGGGUCCGGUUUGGGUGUGGGGUGUGCGGCCGGGUCGUGUGUGGGUUUUGGCCUUGGGUCAGGGGUGGGUUUUGGAUCUGGGUCAGGUAUGGGUUUUGGGUCAAGUCCUGUGGAUCCGGGUGUGGGUAGUUGCGGGUCAGGGUGCUUUAUAUUAGGACCCAAUGGGUCUGUGGGUUCCUCAUUCACUACGAUGAAGGGAAGAACCCUAGAGACCUCGCGACGGCCGCCAUGGAGCUUCUCCUCGCCUGUGAGGCACAGCCCGUGCUCAUGGCGCGAGGCUAACUCCUCCGGGGUGAGGCAGCUAAUGGUCGGGGCCUGUGGGGGUCGCGGCGGGGAUGGCAGCAAAGGGGGCAAGGUUGCGAUGUGAGGAGGAACCAAAGGGGCGGACGGUGGAGCUACCAGAGGUGGGGUUCGCGGCCGCGAAGACGUUUGCUGCUCCAGGAGCUUCGCGAGGCCGGCGGCCUGGUCCACAGUCGUAGGCUGAUGGGCCUGAACUGUACGGCGGAUCUCCGGUUGCAAACCUGAGAUGAAGCAAGGCAACAGGAAGGUGCCUGGCAAGCCGAUAAUUCUACUGGCUAAGGCUUCAAACUCCAGUAGGUAUGUGAGCACUGACCCCGUCUGAGUGAGUUUGAACAGGGCACCGACAGGGUCCUCAAAUGGAGAUGGUGCAAACCAGGGUGUUGCAGGAGCAAAAGUGGCUUGAUGAGGAACCGGUGGGGAUUUGGAUGUGGGGGGGAAAGGCACAGGAGCAUGGCGGGUGAAAAAUGGGUUCAGGUGGCGGUUCAUGGAGUGCAUGGCGUCGUCCAGACGAGCAAGGGCCUCGUCGAGGUUGCGGGAGGCCAUGAGGAACAAUGAUGAAAGCACCAAUUGUUAGGGUAUGAACCCUAAAGCUGGCUUCGAGGGCAGCAAACCUCCAGCAAGAAGAAGAAGACACAGAGGUAAGAAAAGGGAAAUAUCAUUUUCUCAUUCAUGCCCCUUGCUUGUUAUUUACAUGGAUAUAUAUAGCAUUCCUCUUAACAAAUCUGUGCUAUUCUGCUCAAGGAAUAUUACAUCAUAACAGAAUUUGUUAUGCACGAAUCAAGCAAGAUUUUCCUAAUUACUGUAUUGCCCAUACUGCCCUCUGCUUCAAACAAAAUCACGAAGGUAUGAUGGCCCUGCUAUCCUUCUCUUGGACCUUUCUUUUUACACCUCUGGUUUGCUGAUUGUUACCAUUGCCUUCUCUGUUCCAGCUUCCUUGUUGCCUAUUUCUGGUAUCCUAUCACAUACUCUGUAUUGUUCUGACUGUUGUCUUUAUUUUUUUCCCCUGUUCUUGUCCUUUUUUGUCUUAAGUCAUUUUAUCUACCGGGAUCAGUUGAUGCAAACGACAGGCAGAUAGAUCAGUGGAAUGUAAAGCCACCCCAGCUCUACCUUUGGACUGAUAAGCAUAAGGCCAUAGCUCGGAAACAUGGUCACUUUAUCAGCCAGCGGGGGCUGUUAAGAAUUGAAAGCUUUGAUAAAGAAAAAUCACCGGCCAGUCAUACUUUGGAUGAUAGUUAUGGUGAGAAAGGCUGAUAAGACCUCAUGGAAGAGGAAACGAACUGAGGAAAACGAUGGAAGAAGACUAGGUGUGACCUCACCACCCAAUCCAAUUGAUGGGAGACCCUAUGUCAGGGAGGAUGAGAACUACCUUAGGGAAUUAGAGACAAGGCAACAGACUCGCCAUUAUGGUAUUCAGAAUCCUAAUUCUGUAAUGAGUAAUUAUCUAUCUGUGCAUGAUCCUGCUAAUAGCCACCACAUGGGGCCAAGUUAUCCAGCCCUUGCUUUAGCAUCUGAGCCUUAUGUGAUGAAUACACCAGCCAUGCAGCGAUAUGCACCUCGCCUAGACGAAUUAAACCAUGCAAGGAUGGAUCCUUUGGGGUCUGAACCUGCUAUAGUUGGUAGAAACGGUGCUUUUGAACGUAG
rnacentral:lncRNA from 1 species